rnacentral:lncRNA from 1 species
UUUCCUUUUCCUGUGAAGAUAACUCAUUGGGGAUGAUCAUCUCAAAGUCAUUUGGAUAUUGAGAUUCAUAAUGAUGGGGAUUGGAGAAAGGAGGUGUUCUUCUAAUGACUCUCUCGAAGUUUUACCUUUUAAUUAAACAGAAGAAGUUGUAGUGAACACUGGUUUAAAAUCCAUUUAGGUAAUAGUUGGAACCACAAUGAUACAUGUUUUAGGGGAUGAACUAAUCCACUUACUUAUUUAUAAGUACUUAAGAACAUAUUAUCCAAACUAUCAUUACAAUCUAGGUAAUGUUUCCGUGAAAGCCACUAAAUAUUAUUUAAAACAUGAACUAGUUAACAUCAAAAGUGGGUUAGAAUACUUUAAGAGAUGAUAUAACCUAUAAAAACAACUUUUAACUCCUCUUUGUAGAUGUCCUUUAUUAAGGAUCAAUUGUGAACCUUUAUAAGCUGAUAAUUAGUGAAGGAAUUAGAACAUUUUAAGAGCCCUAAAGAAAUAAAAGUUUUGCAAAGUGAAAAUAUGGAAAUUGGGUGAAAAUAGAAAAUUGUGUUAACAUUCUCUAUCUGCCCACUUUGUUCCUAUCAACUUUCUUGUCGCGUUGUACUUAACAUCAAAAGUUCUUUUAUGAUAUCAUUUAUGCUAAAUGACUUACUGAAUGCAUAGCUAUCUUCAAAGCUACCAAGUUCAAAACAAAAUUGCAUAACAAUCAAAUUUUUUCUUAAAAAAAUGACUCGGUGAAUGCUGUAGACCUUAAUUAGCUAGCUGAAUAACUGGACAGAGGUCCAGGCUUUUGAUAGAGCUUAAAGUCAAAUUGUCCAUAAAGAUCUAUUCAAUUUAGUCCUGAGGCCCGUCUUGAUCUUUUUACGCAUCAAUAUAGUCUUGCAUUAUUAUGGGGUAGCCACUUUAUGGGGGUCUCAUGUCUUCCUUUCAACAAUUUUGCACUCCCCUACAACACAAUGUUUGCAGUUCUGCUAAAUCCAUGUUUCAUUCUAUUAUAACUAUAUAAGAAUAAUUUUGUUUUCACAUCAGAUGCAGCGCUAGACCAGCAAAAGAGACUAUCAUAAUUUCUAUAGGCCUAAAGGAGAUCAAGUUUUGUACUUUAUGGUAUUCUGACUUAUUUAAUUGAAUCGAUUUAAUUUCUGGCUUGGUGUGCGUCAAGCUUAAAGAUAGUAAAGGGUGUUGUGCUGAAUGCUAAUUUGCUUUGAAAUCAAUACCUAGAAUUAAUAACUUCUUAAUGAAAAUGUGGGGAUUUUAUGAGGAGUACCAAUACAGAGUACUAAGAAAGUACAAACGAAGAGUACAACAGAACAAGUGUUUUCCUUCUAGAUGUUGAAAGAAUACAAUAGAUUUAACAGUGUAACUUUAUCAGAUACAACAUUUUCCCUACACUGCUACACCACAAAGAUAAAUUCCUCAAACAUCUAGAUUUUACAUAAGAGAUGCUCCGUUUUACCCGAAAAACAUCUAUUGUUUCUCUCUAGCCAGAUAUUCCCAGAAAAUGCAACUGGUACUGCAUUCCAGUAGAGACUCCUUCCCAUAUUUGAUGUCUGAUUGUGGCGACUGUUUAAGGCCUGUUUGGCAUGAUUAGUUGAAUCCCAAAAAUUCCAGGAAACACAUAUCAUAAACUGUCUGGAGAAAUUACAAUGGAGAAGUAGGUGAUCAACUGAUUCACAAGUUUCUUCAUGUAGUAAGCAUCAACUGCUAAUAAUAAAACCCAAGUAAAGCAAGCAUCAUGGAUUGUCAUGAGUAACACAAGCACCAAGGAUUGCAAUCUAAGUAAAGCAGGCAACUCUAGUUUCCAGAUUAUCUUUCAUGGCCAGUUUUCAGGAUUUCGUACCAUUUUCAGCAUUGAACUUUAUAACAUACCUUGACCCAAAAUUCUGUACCUCUCCAUAGCUAAGAAUCAGACAGCUGCUCAUCAAUCUUGACAGAUUCUAGCUUUUGAAUUAUUUAAUUAAUAUAUUUUAGAAGCUAUUAACUACUAACUAAGAAAAUGGUUAAUUAUCAGUUUUGCUUAGCUCCUUUAACUUUUGCGCCUGGAUUUUAAAGUUCUCAAUGUUUGUGAUUAUUUGUGGAAGCAUGGAUUCCAGGAUUUAAAUGUGUGAAUGUCAUUACUGAUUGGUGACUUCGAUUUGUGGUUCCUAAUGGUUUCUUAAUUGUCAUUUGUAGCUUAUAUUUCUAAAUUCUCAAAUUUGGGUACACCUAAUAAGAAAAAAGUCUUAUUUGAUUGUCCAUGGAUCUAUAGCUGAAUCAAAUAUCAACUAUUUUCUAACUAUCAGUUACUUUAUGGACUCACCAUGGCAGUUCAAGUGCUCUUUCAAAGUUGCAUAACAUUAAAUGGGUCAUGUCCCAUGCUUUACCACUGUUUAUGACCUUUCUCUGACCACAUGGUAGUUUUGAAAUGAAUUCCACUUAGAAUGUUGAAUUUUGUUGGGGCUAUCUUAUUGUAACUUUUUGCUCCGCUAAUCAAUUUCAAUGGUUAUAAACCUGGUUGCAACAGAGCAGAAGUUGUCUUGGAUGCUGUAUGAAUUCUCCUCAUGUUGUUUCAGUGGAUAAGCCAUCUAAAGGACUGAAAGUUCCGAGCAAACGAUUGAGGAAAACUAGUUUAAGAGACGACUUUUGGAGCAGUAGUGCAUGCGAGAUGGAGAAUAGCACAUUUCCCUCCCAGAGAAGCAUCUCAUCAAUUAGCACAUCUAAUCCGGCCCUUGAUCCUCACAGUAAUUCUGGCACCACGAGCAGCACUUCGGAAUUUGUAAAUCAUGGCAAGUGCAUACUUUUGUCUCCUUUUAUUUUGAUGUAAAUCAUCCUAAUUGUUUACUAGUAGCAAGUAAACUUGCAUGGGGAUCAGCAACGUCUUAGUAUUUGUACACAAAUACAGCGACAUGAUUCAUGAUGACGAAUGGGUAAGGUAGAUCAGUGUUCAGGGAAGCGUGACGCGGAAAAAAGCAAUAAGGCCCCGCUUCACGCUUUAAGCGAUGAAGCGCUCACAUACUCAUUCUAGUCUGUGAAGCGUAGAAGGCUCUCAUCGCUUCGCUUCAUCGCUUUAAGCGUUGAAGCGCUCGCUUUCCUGAACACUGAGGUAGAUAAACCUUACUUUUCUGGGAACACUACCAAAAAUGGUUAAAUAAUUAUCUGAUAGUUUCUCAACUUCAAUUACUUGCUUUCUAGGGUCACCCUUGAACUUUGGCCUGUCUAGAGGCCCCAAACUGCCUCAUUUUUUUGGUCAUGCCACUGCCUCAUUUGGAUGGCCAAAAAAGGUCCCUUGUAUUAGGAUUUUAUUGCAAACGUUCCCAUUUCAUCGAAUUUUUACAAAGGGUCGACCCAAAAUUUCAUAAACACUUGGAAUUUCUGUUAUUUUCAAAGGGGGUGGGUAUCUUGAUUAACUUCCAUUUUUCUAUAAAUGGCUUAUGGCUUUACUUAUCCAGGGGAAAGAAUGGCUUAUGGGCUUUGCAGAAAUCCCAUGCACAAUUUGAGGCAUAAACUGGAGAGACCAUAUACAAACUUGAAAGCAUGAUCUUGUGGUGUUCUUUUCAUUUUAGCUCAGUUUAAAACUCCUUUCUGUAUUUUGUUUAUCGUAUCAUUGAAUUAAACAUUACCUGGAACAGGUUUACUUCUUUGGAAUCAAACGAGGCAACAAUGGUGUGGAAAUAAAACACCGCAGAAGCGUGCCUCAGUUCGAGAACCCAAAUUAAGGUAAGUUUCUCACAUCUUUGGAAGUGUAAGCAUGAAUGGUUCUUUGAGUAAAGGGAAAAAUUAACUGAUGGAAGAAAGACAAAGGAAAAGGCAUGCAGGCCAUAGUUUUGAUACUGUGUCUCGACUUGGGUGAUUUUUGCUGGCAACUGUUUUUUAGGAAUUCCUUCGACACAAUCCUGAAACAAUUUGGUUUUUGAAUUAGUAAUAUCGUGUUACUGCUUUCAACUAUCGCGCACUAUACUGGAUUACAUACAUUUUUGACAAGUUUAUUCUACCACCAUAAAUUGCAGUGCAGAUACAAGUUAUGAAACGUUGCUAGGGACCAAUAAGCUUUUCCCUCAGCCAAUCCCUCUACCGGUAAGUUAUCGAAUUAGCUAAGAUAGUUUUUCUUUACAUAUUACAUGUAGCUAGUUGCUGACUGUCGUGCAAUUUAUAUAUCAGGAAAUGGUAGACUUUCUUGUUGAUGUGUGGGAGCAGGAGGGGCUUUAUGAUUAAGCAGCCACAUAACUCAUCAUUCUCAGCAACUGCAAAUUGUGUUCUGCAAGUUUUUAUCACAUUAAUUUGAUAUUUUAUAAGGACUUCUAAAAUAAUAAAAUAAAAAAUGAUAUCCAAAAGUUAAAUGAAUUUUUUUUUAUUUUUAUUAGUUUAUAUAUUAAAUUUUUAAAAAGAAAAUCAAAUAAAUGCAUGGAUAAAAGCUUUUCUAAUUUCUAUUCGAACCUAAAGAUUGGGAAUUGUUCAUACAUUGGGAAUGAGUCUCAAAGCUGUGAGUCAACAUUGCUCGAACCUAAAGCUUGUUGUAUUAAAAAAGUGUCUACUCAUUGGGGAUCAAGGAAUUGCGAAUCUCUUUCGUUCAGCUGCUCAUGUUUUAACAAAGUUAAAUCUCAAAGAUAUUAAACAUCAUCGACACCUCUCUAGAUAUUAUUUCACAUUAUGGAUCUGCACUGACAAAUCUAGCUUUUGGUGGUCUUGAAGAAGUAAAAGAGAAGGGUUUCUGGGUCCAGGGAUCUGGUCAGCAUCUGCAUGACCUUAAAUCUGAAGCUGUUUUGCAUCUGAAAAAGUAAUGUCCUUUCAGAUAAUGGAUUGAUUGCUUGUGUCAAAGCUUCAGGUUCACUUAACGAACUCGAUGUUUCCAAGUGCAGAAUCACCGAUUAUGGGAUCACAACUUUGGUCUGUUCUACACAGCUUCAUUUGUGGAUCCUCUCAUUGUCCGAUUGCCUUUUGUUGUCGGACAAAUCAGUUUCAACCAUAGUUGAGAGCUGCACUGGGAAUCUCUGAAGUCUCUGAUCGUAGAUGGUUGCAGGCAUGUUACUGAUGCAACCUUAGUAAAAAUUUCAAACUAUUUAUGGUUGCUUAAUGAACCCGAUGUUUCCAAUUGUGGAAUCACUGAUCAUCCAGUUGCCCUUUGGUGUCGGACAACAACUUACCCUUCUUGCUAAAUUUGGUGUUGGGUUCGAAAGUGAUUAGGGCGUAAUGCGGAAGCUUACAAUUGUAUAUCAUAUGGUUGAUAAGUCAGAUGAUAAACUUAUACUAAAAAUUAAAACAUUAUUAUAUGAUUUGACCAAUUGACCUAUAUAUUUAAAAACUAAUACUCCCUCCGUUUCACAAAAAAUGACCUGGUUUGACUUGGCACGGAGUUUAAGUAAAUAAAGAAGACUUUUGAAUCUUGUGGUCCUAAAUUAAAGUUAUGUCAAAUGUACAAAAUUGUCCUUAAUCUUGUGGUCUUAAACAUGUCACGUGGAAAUCAAAAAGUAAAAUGUUACCAAAAAAGGAAAGAUGUCAUUCUUUUUUGAAACUGACUAAAAAGGAAAGGAGGUCAUUCUUUGUGAAAUGGAGGGAGUAAAAAGACAUUAAAAAUAUAGAGAGUAAAAUUUCCCAUAAACAAAACUCUUUAGUGACUACAAUGUGGAUACUAUUGUGUAUUUUGAUAUGAGAAGAGGAGUCUUCAAUUUAUAGGAUUCCAAACAUUUCCCCUAAGGAAGGAAUAACCCAAAUAUGGAAGAAAAAUAUAUUUUUUUUUCAGGAAAAGUAAAAACAUUUAUGAUAAUGUUUUGUCUUUAAUUAUAGGAAAAAAAAAACUUCAAAUGAGGUAAGAAAAUCAGGGCAAAACCCUAACAAAUAUUCCCUUUUGGCUGGAUUAAUUUUCUUGACAAAAUUUGAUCCACCUUCUUCACUGCAUGAUAAUUUUUGUUCUUCACAUAGUCUUCAUCACUGUUGUUUCCAUGGUUAAAAAUAAGAUUUAAAAUAUAUGGGUUAAAAAUAGUGUAAAAAUAUUUCAAUUUUAUUUUUAAAAAUUGUAGCAAUAAGAAUGUUGAAAAUAUGAUUUAAAACUUCUUCUCCACAUGUAGCUAGAUAAAAAAUUUCAUUAUCAUCAAAUUGAUUACAAUUGAUUUGAAACAAUCUUGAGCCUGUCUUCAACCUCAAUGAACCAUAGGACCAUCGGACCAUGGAAUCUUUGGAUCAUGUGCUCUGAUGCCACUUGUUGAGUUUAAAAGUGAUUAGGGCAUAAUGCGAAAACUUACAAUUGCAUAUCAUAUGAUUGAUAAAUCAGAUGACAAAAAUUUAUACUAAAAAUCAAAAUAUUAUUAUAUGAUUUGACUAAUUGGCCUACAUAUUUAAAAACUAAUAAAAAGACAUUAAAAAUGUAGAGAGUAAAAUCUCUCAUAAACAAAACUCUUUAUUGAAUACAUUGUGGAUGCUAUUGUGUUUUUUGAUAGGAGAAGGGGGAACUUCAAUUUAUAGGAUUCCAAACAUUUCCCCUAAGGAAGGAAUAACCCAAAUAUGAAAGAAAAAUAUAUUUCCUUUCAAGAAAAGUAAAAACAUUUAUGAUAAUGUUUUGUCUUUUCUUAUAGGAAAAAAUAAACUUCAAAUAAGGUAAGAAAAUCAGGGCAAAACCCUAAUAUUUGGUUCAAGACCUUGAGAGCUUGAACAUACAACAUUGUCCCGGAAUCAUCUCUACUACUGUUGAUGCACUUGUAGAGAAACACCCUGGCUAUGAUAUCCUUUUCUAAGUAGGUUGUGGCUUAGACCCCGUGCAAUUUACAAGUUGGUCACUGUGAAAUUUUCUUGUGGUUACAUGUUGUUUUUGGGUCUAGCAACUUGAGUUUUCUUCUGUUCAGUAUUUUUUCGACGAAUGUGGCUUGGUUCUUUAUACAAUUAUGGGAUAACUGAUUCCUAUUCUUGAAUGACUAUUAAUGUGUCACUAUUCCUAAUCCAAUCCCUUCAAGACCGUUUAGGCUCAUUCAAUAGCAUUGAGUACCACAUAUUGACAAUUGAAUGAUAUUCUUCAUGAUCAUAACCCCUAUUUUAUUACCUAACAAUCAUUGUAGUAUUCUUCUUUUGAGAGAGGAGAUUAAGAGAAAUUCCCCCUUUUGUAUUCUUAUAUAUCCUAGUAUGUUGGGUUUUCUUUGGGUGUAUCUUCAUUAGUUUCUGGUUCUUAGUUUUAUAGUAGAAGAACUUGUUGAAUCCUAGGAAUACACCUAUAUUUAGUGAAAUAUCCUUAAUGAUAGUUUUUGACACGCCUCAAGCUAUGAUGAUUUCCUACAAAAGUUUGUGGUGAAGAAUUAUCAAUGAGAAUGUCAAACACUUUAUUGGUAGCUUCUUGAAUGAAGGUGUUAUUAGGAUUUUUGUCAUAAUUCUCUGAGAAUACACAUGCUGGGUUUUUUGGAUGGGAGAGACUUAUGUAUGAUUCUAGCUCCUUUUGUUUAUAGUUUUUAGCUUCUAUUAUUGCAACAAAAAUGCAACAUCCUUUAUUAUAUACAAUAAAAAAGAAAAAGAAAGCAACAAAAAAUGAAAUCUAAGUGAAAAUUGCAAAUGAAAUAAUAGAUAUAUGAAUUAUAGACCUUUAAUUAGAAAGAUACAUACAAGCACCAAAACGAAAUAUAAGUCUGCUAUCUGAAGGUAUUGUAAUAUAUGGCAAGAGAUGAAAAUAAGAGAGAGUUGAGGAUGAUGAUGAUUUAACUUGAUAUAUAAUACUAUCAAAUUAAAAUAUUUAAUAAUGUAUCGAUGACAAUUCAAUAAACCUUUUGAUUUUCAGUGAAAAUUUAACGCUUCUUGUAGUUGGUUUCUAUACAAUCCUUUUAAUACUAAAUCAUGCAAUUUACUCCAACUUCCCAUAUAUAUAUAUAUAAAAAUAAAAUUGUAAAUUUUACAACAUUUUGAUUUAGUGUAGGAGUAAAAUGCUAAUUCAAUUUUGCAUUUUGGAGCUCCACACUUUUAAUAUAAAAUGAUAUGAUAUGUGAAUGCUGAAAUAAUGUAUAAGUGAAUUUUUUUGUGUGUGUUGAGUUCAAUAAUUGAAUUGAAUCAUGUUAAUUUUAUUAAUUUUAUUUGGUCCAUGUUAAGUUCUGACCCAAAUUAAUAAUAACAAAUAAAUUUAUAGUUAUUAUUUAAAAAAAAUAUGUUUUCUUUUUAUAACAUCAAUUUGACAUUUUGUAAGGACUUAAAUACAAAAUGAUAUCUGAAAGUCGGUAACUAAUGUAUAAUGAAAAAUAAAUUUGUAUGUUAGAUUGGUUACUUGAUGCACAUUCAAUAAUAAGUCCCAACCCGGCCCUUAUAAAUUGGUCCUCCUUCUUCCCCCCUAGGGUUUUCAUAUAUUUCUCCAAAACUUUCCGCCGCCGCCGAUUGUGGUAACAUAAGGCUAAGAUAAGGAGGUAGAAAUCUAUUUUCAGCGAAUGCUUCUUCUCUCUUCACGAUAAUGUCUUCAGGUAUGUUACGUUUCUAUAACUUCAAUUUGAAUUAAGAAGAUGAGAAAAUUCAUGUAAAGACUAAAAAAAUUGAUAUCCUUCCUUAUAUAUAUCUAGUAGCAAUAAUAAGAAAAAAAUUAUUAUUUUCCAAAGUUGUGAUUCUAAUCGAUCCAUCUCAUAACUGAUAAUAAAUCACGCUUUAUUAUAUAAAAAUGAUUAUUCUUUUAAUGAGCAUGAGAUAAUUUAUUAUGAUUAAUGCCGGUUUAACAUUAUCAAAUAAUUCAGUUCAUGCUCGUGAUAAAAAAAAAGGUUCAAGAACAAGAAUGUAACUUCAAAGUUUAAGUUUUUGAAUGAUUCCUAAAUUUGUCAAGAUAUGAACAAAUAGUUUAUCUAUAGGAAUAAGCAUUUAGAAAUCACUUAUGUGAGGGUGAAGUGUAAGCUGCUUCAAGGAUAAUGAUAUACAUACCGAUUCUUUACGCACUCAUGAUUUUAGGAGGUGUUCACGACUGAAACAAACUCAACCUUGAGAACUGUAGACGAUUAAGGGUUAGUUGCGUGACUUGUAUUAUCUAGGUAUACAACAAAGUUUGACGGUUCAAAUAUAUCACAUCUACCAAUAAAUCGAGUGCAUCCGGUAUGAGUUCACUACUGAAAGUUCAAAGGAAACCUACGUAUCCAAAUGCAAUUAAUCUUUGCUUGUAAUCAUACACUUGUCCAUAUUCCUAUUUCAUAUAGUCAUUCCCCAUUAAUGUGGGGAAUUGCUCAGUUUUAAAAAGUGUGAAUGAGAAAUGAAGUGACUUUUUCGAAAGGUUGUGACUUUUUUGAUAAGGCACAAUUAUAAACACUACUAUCAUUUUAUUCUUAACAGAGGGGUUUCCUUUCAUUUUUUAACUACAAUUUUUUUGAUUUUCUACUUUUUUUAUUCUUCAUAAAAACUCAAGUGUGAUUUACAUUUGUUGAGUGAGUAGUUUGACGUCCAACAAAAUUUGAGGUAUCACUAUUCUGGUGAACUAAAUCGUUAUAUCCUAUGGGAUAUAUUCCAUAACCUAGAAUGGUUGAGGGAAAUAAUUUUCUUUAGAAUACACUGUGAAUUUAGUAGGCUUGAUUUUUCAAUAUUUUUCGUUCUUUCUAUCUUUUAUUAUUUCGUUAAUAGUGUUUAAUGUUCAUAUUAUAUUGAAUACAGAUUUGAGCCAAAUAACAGGGAGAGCAAGAAAGAGAGAAAAUCGAACUGAAAAUGAGGAAGAAGUGAUAGAAGGUAUUUUCAAUGUCUUUCUUUCAAAGAUUUUUUUUUAUAUAUUCUUAAUUCAUAGGUAGUAUGAAAGGAAUAUUGUGAUAGGUUGAACACUAGAAACAUUGAAAAUAUAAGUUGUGCAUUUGUUUCUUUACAAUUACGGGUUCAUAUUGAAUUUACUAUAGGAAUGAAUUACAAAGUCAUGCCAAUUGAAUUUGAAGAAACCUUACCCCUAGAACAAGAACCAAGUUCUUGUAUAUUUGCCUAUGACAGAACACUUUAACAGCCACACAAUACUUUUUGUUAAAACCUUCCUCACUCAAGGAAGGAAAAACCUUAUUUUAUUAUUUAACAACUAUGUCACGAUUACAGCUCAAUAAUCAAUAACCUCAAAAAAACUCUCGACUAACUAUAGUCGACUAACUCUACUCUCCAAGAGGCCAAACCCACCUCUUGUUACAAACCUCUCAAUAACUCAACUCUACAAGAAGCCAAACCCACUUCUUGUACAAAAGAUCUAUGACAAUGAUUCUAACUAUGAAUCAAAAACACUUUUCUCACACAAGAAAUUCUAACUAUAGAACUUCUUGAAUUCUAUUCCUAAGAACUCUCAAUUUAGUAGGCUUUUGCGUAUUUUCUCACUCUUUCUUCCUCUUGUUUAUCGAUUCUGCAAAAGACAAUUUGUCCCGUCUGCUUUGACAUCUUUUUAUAGAGUUGGAAGAUUAGUGUCUGAUGUGUACAAGGAAACGAAAUAAAGUUGUGUACGAAAAGGAUUUAUUUUGACCUUUUAUUACAAAUCCUGUUAGUACACAACUUCCUCUUUUAUUUGUUCCCUUCUUUAGCUCUGCUUUCUUGCUUUAAAGUUUUCCUUCUUUGACUCUUUUUUUUGAACUCCUUUUGAAAUCGGAUUGCAUAUCAAGAUGUGUCUACCAUCAAAACUUCAUAAAUCAUCAUUUCCCCCUUUUUUGAUGAUGACAAAUCAUCUACUCCUAUUUUCUCGUACAAAUCCAUUAUACACAAUGCACACGACUGUUAUAUGUACAAGACUAAUAUAUAAUACUAACUUCCCCCUUUUGGCAUAUCAAAAAGAAGCAAACAGAAUGAACAAAGCUAACCAAAACUCAAAGCUCUGAAAGAGCAACAUCACACAGAUCACAACCAGAUGACUCUAGGCAAAUGAAAGCAUCAAUCUAUAAACAUAGGCAAUAUGCAGAAACACAGGAAACAGAGAAUCCAAGAUACAUCAACAUUUUAAGCUCAUGCAGAGCCCCACAAAAAUAUUCAGUCUAAGCAAAAUCACAAAACAAGCAUAACAAAGGUCGUUAGUUCAAAGAAACAUAAGAAGCUGGAGCAGACAACAUGAGUCAAGAGAAAGAACGGUUGAGGUUUGGAGGAUAGGAUGAAGAAGAAGCAAGCAACUGGAGGACCCGGUCCACUCGAGCGUUGUUAUCAAGUUGCUGCUGUACCAACUGAUCUUUGAAUCUCCCAACCUCUUCUUUAGACGUAGUUAGCUCAGUUCGCAAGGACAUAUUCUCAUUCUAUAAAGUCUCACACUGGUCCCUUGCAGCCUGCAGAUCCUUGAGUAAACAAGUGACAGGGCCAGACGCCCUUGGAGAGGCAAUGGGAACUUGCGCAGGGUCAGCAAUCAAUCCACACUCAGCAGGAGUAGACUGAGUGAACAUAUCGGCAAGCGUUAAGGCUCGCCCCUCACCCAAUGGGACAACAAAUACAGUGAACACUCUCGUGAGAAAAUUUCCAAAUGCCAACUGGUGAGAACCAGGUUGUGGAUCAACGACUCUGGCCAUAUGUUUGAUCAUAAGACUCGGCCAAUCGACGGGCUCCUUUCUUUCUAAGGCAUUGGCAAUUCCCAUGUCACGAAAAUAUGCUAUAUGCCGCCUAUGUCCCCUAGGUAACACCCCUUUAUGAACCAGUUCGAACAACAAUUUAUGCACAUGUGCUAUCUCACCUUUCAAUACCUUCCUAGCCUUGGAGGUAACCCUUCCUUGGGAAUAUUUGGUUGGGAGAAUACACUGCUCAUCUGUUGCCCAAACAUAUUCAGCAAGUCCAACAUAGGGUAUACAUAGAAUCUCCCCAAGUCGACUACGAUCAAAAACCAACUCCACCCUUUUCACAAUGGAUGUCACCACAUUUUCUUCCAAAACCUUUAGAUUUAUUUGUAUAAAAUUCCACAACUUCCUUUUCGUGUACCAGCAAUUCAGUAUCAAGAAAUAAAUCCCCCCACCCCUGAAAGUUAAGCAACUCAUAUACCCUUUUUACCACAUAUAUUGAGAGAAUAUCCGGGUGAAAAGUUCUACCCCUAAGAACAAGUUUAGUUCUGAAAUACUUUUCUUUUCCCAUUUCCAAGAAUUUUUUCAUGUUUUUACUUGCCUUUUUCGACUGGGAAUGGGCUCCAGAAGGGUUAGAUGCAGAGAUAUCAUCAGACUCAGAAUCAAGAAUGACCGGCGAUGAAGAUGGUGGAACGGGGGACUUACCCAGACGACGAUAUUUAGCCCUUGACUUCGCACCCUCUUGCAGUUGGGCCUGACUCGCACUACGAGUAAGUGGUGUGCGAAAGGGUUUCUGUUUGACUGCAAUGUGCUUGCGUGGUCGUUUUGGUUUCUGAGGAUGUAGAACACUGAGGGGAACAUCAUCAAGAUCUUGUUCGAGUGGGUGAGUGGGUAGUGAUGGAGGAGAAGUGGUGACGAUAGUGGAAAUAGGGGUUUCGAUUGGUGACAGUGGUGGAGAAAAAUGGCUAUUAGGGGUUGGGGUUUAUGAUAGUGGGGAUAAUGGAGAUGAAGUGAAGGGUUUGCCGGAGGCGUAUGUUGGCAAUGGUGACUGUGGGAAAACGAGGACGGGAUCAGUGGGAAUUGAGUCAUGGGGUAGUGAGGUGAUGAAGGUGUCUGUGGAAUGAUUUUCUUCCCCCUGAGACUGUGCAUUGGGGGAUGUUAGCAUCGAACGGGAUCCCGUCGACUCAGAGGAGCUCUCAUCGUCGGAGUAGGCAACAAGGUGAUUAGCUAUGGGAGAAAAUUUGGGAUUUUCUUGGAGACAACUUUGAUUUUUUGGGGGUUUUGUGAUUUGUGAGGGAUGAAGUGUUAGAAUAGUCUUUUGAGAGGAAAAUAUUGGGAAGGAGAAAGUAAUUAUAAGGGUCUGACAUUGAUUAGUGACGGUUUAGGUUUUCUUCAGAGGUGACUUAUGGGAAAAGAUAAAAGCAUGUACAAUUUUGUAGGAACUUUCCCGCGUAGGAUAUGAAAAAGAAGUGUGGACCAAGUGUCUUAUGCAUUUUGAUAGUUGACAAUGUUAACUAUAAAUGUGUAUUGCAUAGAUAAUUAUUAAGUGGGAUGAGAUGCAUACCUGCUAUUCUGAGAACCCGGUUCUAGUCACGUCAGCAUUCUUGCUCAUAGUCAUGAGAGAUAAUGAGUAAUGUCAUUUAAAACAGGUCCAUAGGUUGUGUCCUUUUGAUGUAUACCUAAAAAAGUACCAUGAUGAGUAAAGGAGAGCAGGUUCAAAGUUUACAACCUGUAUCAAAAGAAAGGAGAAAGAAAGAUUUAUCAGUCUUGAAAUACGAGUCCUAGAGCGAGACGAUUUUUCUGGAAUGAUUCUCUUCCUAGUGCUUUGGUGAAGAUAUCAGCGAUCUGGUCCUAAGUCUUGCAGAAUGUCAUCAUAAUGAGCCCUUUUUCAACAUUAUCCCGAAGGAAGUGAUGCCGAAUGUCUAUAUGUUUGGUGCGUUUGUGUGGGAUCGGGUUCUUAGCCAUGUUCAUAGCACUGGUAUUGUCACAUCUGAUGGGAAUGCACCCAGUCUUGAUGCCAAAGUCUUCAAGCUGCUGUUUUAUCCAGAGGAGUUGAGCACAACAAGAAGCAGCAGCUACGUAUUCUGCUUCAGCGGUAGAAAGAGCUACAGAGUUUUGCUUCCUAGUUGCCCAGGAUAUCAAACAUGGUCCUAAGAAGUGUGCCAUUCCAGAAGUACUUUUCCUGUCUACCAAAUAACCUGCAUAGUCUGUGUCUGCGAACCCGACUAAAUCGAAUGAGUCUCCAGCUGGAUACCAUAGAACCAGGUUCACUGUGCCUUUAAGAUAUCACAGAAUUCUUUUUACAACCUUUAGAUGAGAUUCCUUAGGACAAAACUGAAAUCGUGCACAUAAGCCAACGCUGAACACAAUAUCAGGUAUGCUAGCAGUUAAGUAUAGGAGUGAUCCGAUCAUCCCUCUGUACUUUGUAUCAUUUAUUGGAGAACCAGGUUCAUCUUUGUCAAGUUUUGUUGUUGUGCCAAUAGGCGUGUCAUUUGUUUUGGCUUCAUUCAUAUCAUAUUUCUUUAGCAAUUCUUUGAUGUAUUUCUGUUGAUGAAUGGAUGUACCUGUUGGGGUUUGUUUAAUUUGGAGUCCUAGGAAGAAGUUUAGUUCACCCAUCAUACUCAUCUCAAAUCCGCUAUUCAUUAGUUGAGCAAAUUCAACUCCUAGUACUUCAUCAGUUCCUCCAAAUAUGAUAUCAUCAAUAUAAACCUGAACUAUAAAUAGAUCUUUACCUUGCUUUCGAAGAAACAAUGUAUUGUCUAUUUUCCCUCUAGAGUAACCGUGUGUGAGAAGGAACGUGGACAAUCGAUCGUACCAUGCUCUUGGUGCUUGCUUCAACCCAUACAGUGCUUUAUCUAGCUUGUAUACAUAUUCAGGGUGUUCAAGAUCUUCAAAGCCAGGAGGUUAUUUCACAUAUACCUCUUCUUGCAGAUAACCAUUUAAAAAGGCACUUUUAACAUCCAUCUGAUAAAGCUUGAAUUCCAUGUGAGGAGCAUAUGAUAUCAACAUUCUAAUUGCCUCCAUUCUUGCUACGGGAGCAAAAGUUUCAUCAUAGUCUAUUCCUUCUUCUUGAUUAUAUCCCUGCACGACUAGUCUGGCUUUGUUGCGUGUGACCUGCCCUUGUUUGUCAAGUUUAUUUCUGAAAACCCAUCUUGUUCCUAUCACUGUUCUGUUUGAGGUCGUGGAACUAGAUUCCAUACUCUGCUUCGUUCAAACUGAUUCAGUUCUUCUUGCAUAGCAGUAAUCCAGUCAGGAUCCAACAAUGCCUCUUUUAUAUUCUUUGGUUCAAUUAAGGAUACAUAAGCUGAGAAUGCACACAUGUUUCAUAAUUUGGAUCUUGUAUGGAUUCCUGAAUCUAGAGGAGUGAGAAUAUUUUGGAUAGGGUGUGAGCUUUGGUGUUUUCAGUUGUGAGGUUGAUUUUCAUGGGUGCUUUCAGAGGAAGGGGGACCUGAUUCAAUAAUAUUUUCAUCUUCUGUCACAGGUGUUUUUUUGAGGGAAUAUGGGAUCUGGCUCAUUGAUUUUUGAUUAUGAUGGGUUUGUCAUUCCUAUUUCGUUUUGAUCAUCCUCUGAAUUCUCUUCUAUUGAGUUAUUUCCUUCAUCAAAGAUAACAUGGAUGCUUUCCUCCAUACGAUUUGUUCUUUUGUUAAGUACUUUGUAGGCUUUACUUUGUGGUGAAUAUCCGAGAAAAAUUCCUUCAUCACUUUUGGCAUCGAAUUUUCCUAAGAUAUCUUUGUCAUUGUUAUGUAUAUAGCAGGUGCACCCAAAGGCUCUAAGAUGUGUUAAGUUUGGCUUUCUUCCCUUCAGCAAUUCAUAUGGAGUCUUGUUUAACACCGACCUGAUCAUACACCUAUUUAUAAGAUAGCAUGCCGUGUUUACGGCCUCAGCCCAGUAGGUUUUUGGAAGUUUGCUUGAGAUCAGCAUGGUUCUUGCGACAUCUUCGAGUGUUCUAUUUUUACGUUCAACUACACCGUUUUGCUGUGGUGUUCUAGGUGCUGAAAAGUUAUGCUCAACACCGUUUGUGGCACAGAAUUCCAUGACUUUUGAGUUUUCAAACUCUAGUCCAUGAUCGGAGCGGAUGCUAGUGAUUUCCUUGUUGAAUUUCUUCUGGACCAGUUUUGCGAAGAUUUCGAAUAUGGUAUAUGUCUCAUCUUUUGUUGCAAGGAAUAAUGUCCAUGUGAAUCUUGAGUAGUCGUCUACAAUUACGAAUACAUACCUUUUGCCUCCUCUACUUUGUACACGCAUCGGCCCACAUAAAUCCAUGUGAAGUAGUUCUAGUGGCCUGGUAGUGCUAACCAUCAAUUUAGGUUUGAAUGAGGAUAUUACUUGUUUCCCUCGAAUACAUGUUCCACAUACCUUAUCAUAAUUAAAGCUUUUGGUUGGAAGCCCUCAAACUAGAUCCUUGGAUAUGAGUUUGUUUAUUGUCGAAAGACUGAUGUGUCCCAUCCUUUUGUGCCAGAGAAUAGACCAAUCAGUGACUGCGCUGAGACACUUGAGUGUAUUUUCCUUAGGAUUCAUGAUAUUUGUCUUAUACACAUUCUUAUGCCUUUUUCCUAAAAGAACCAGUUUCCCGGAAGCUGAGUUUGUCACCUUACAUUCUUUAGCUGUGAAGAGCACACUAAUUCCUUUGUCGCACAUUUUGAGAUACGCUAAGCAGAUUAUGUUGUAGUCCCUUCACAUAGUACACAUUGUCAAUUGCAUGAGUAUGCAUUGAUUCAACCUGUCCAAUUCCUUGUAUUUCUCCAUUUUUUUCGUUUCCAAAGGCCACGUUUUCGCCUUUGAAGUUUCUCAGUGAGAGAAAGUUACUUUUGUCCCCAGUCAUGUACCUGGAGCACGUGCUGUCCAGGUACCAUUGCUUCAGCUCUUUCCUCACUAAUCCCUGCAAUUAACAGUUAUGAGUUAGUUUUGGGUACCUAGAUCCACUUGGGUCCCUUUUUAUUAGAAAAAAGAUGAAUAAGAUUCUUCUUAGCCUAUCUAGGGAGGGGUUUGGUGUUAGGAAUUUUUUCUGUAACUCUCUUGGGAUGUGGCUUUCUUAAGUAGGUUAGAUUAUUUUCAUAAGCAGUUAAUUUCCUAUGACAAUCGUAACUUUUAUGCCCAGUAAAUCCGCAAUGCACGCAUAGACAAUCUAUGUUGGGAUUUUUUACUUGGGAAUUUUUGUCGAAACCUAUUCCAUGUUUUGUAGAGGUUUGACUCUUGUGAAUAUUAUCGAGUAGUAUGGAGGACCUGGCCCAUCUCAUACUAUUUUCUGCUUCAGCUUUAGACAUAUGAAGUUCUUUGUUCAGUUCUUCAUUCCUCUUAGUCAUGGAAUCUAAGUUUUUAUUUAGCUCUGUUAUUUUGCUUAAAAGGCGGUGAUUUUGUUUUUCAAGAUUCUCAUUUUCUUCUCUUAGUGAUGCAUAGUCUUCCAUUAUUAAUUCCCUUCUUGAGUCUGCAGACUGAUAUGCAUUAAUGAGAGUGUAUAAUAAUGACUCUAAUUCCCUUUUUGAAUAUGAGCUAAGAUUAUUUUUUACGUGAUGAAGACUUACCUUGCCAUGUAUGUCUUCCUCCUCAUCCUCUUCAGAAUCUGAUCCAGCCAUAAGUGUUUGGAUUGUUUCUUGUGAUUUACAGAUGUUCCUCUCUUCUUCUUCUGAUUCUGAUAUGGCAAGUAGAGCAAGAAAGUCAUAUUCAUCGGAUUUCUCGAUCGCAAGAAAUGACUUAUUUUCCAGUUCUUCAUCCUCAGAUUCUUCUUCAGACAGAUUUCCCAUUGCUGCGAAAGCUUUCUUCUUGGACAGAUCUGCCUCUUGAUUCGUCAUUCGUCUGUUUGAGGGAAUAUAUUUGUCAUUCUUGAUUUCCCUUAAUUUUUCCGAGGUGCCUCUUUUCUGCUCCAAAGCCCAAAGUGGGCAAAACUUGAUGAAGUGAUCUGGACUUCCACACUUAUGACACACUUGUUCUUUUGUAUUCUCAUUUAUUUUCUGAAGAUUUCUUCUUUGAAAUACUUGCCUUCUCUUUAACAUUCUGGAAAACCUUUUGGUCAUUAGUGCAAUAUUUUCAUCCUCAAAGUCUUCUGGUACAGUAGCCUUUAGGACUAGGUUCCUUUCCUUUCUCUUCCCUCCGAUUUCUUUUUCUUGAGUUCAUAUGUGAUGAGAUUUUCAAUUAAUUCGUCCAUAGCUAGCGCAUCCAAAUCACGAGCUUCAGUGAUUGCUUCAACUUUGCUUUCCCAUGAUUCAGGGAGAACACUUAAGAGUUUUCUUACUGCCUUUCCAUUCGGAACUAUUUCUCCUAAAGAGUACAUCUCGUUAAUGAUUGAGGUGAACCUGGUGUGCAUUUCUUGUAUAGUUUCACCCUCUGCCAUUCGAAACAAUUCAUAUUGCCUGUUUAGAUUAUCGACUUUAGACUUCUUUACUUGAGUUGUUCCCUCGUGAGCAGUUUGUAAAGUUUCCCAUAUAGAUUUAGCAUCCUGACAUGAUGAGAUUUGAUUGUAUUCAUCUGGACCUAUACCGCAUAUCAAGAUUUUCUUGGCCUUGGCAUUGUUCUGGAUAGCUAGUUUGUCUGCAACGUCCCAUUCCUUCCUUUCUUUUGGUAUCUUGGUAACUCCAUCAGUUCCAGUUUUCAUAGGUAUGGUUGGUCCGUCCAGAAUAACUCCCCAUAAAUCAGGGUUUUCUCUGAUAAGGUGAUCCAUCAUGCGAUUUUUCCAUCAUCCGUAGUGCUUUCCAUUGAACAGUGGUGGUCGAGUUUGUGAAGCUCCUUCUUGUGGGGUUGGUGGUGCUGCCAUUGAUUCUUUUCAAGAUAUGAAUCUUUUAACGAAAAAGACCUGCUCUGAUACCAAUUGAAGAAACCUUACCCCUAGAACAAAAACCAUGUUCUUGUAUAUGUGCCUAUGACAGAACACUUUAACAGCCACACAAUACUCUUUGUUAAAACCUUCCUCACUCAAGGAAGGAAAAACCUUGUUUUAUUAUUUAACAAUUAUGUCACGAUUACAACUCAAUAAUCAAUAACCUCAAAAAAACUCUCGACUAACUAUAGUCGACUAACUCUACUCUCCAAGAGGUCAAACCCACCUCUUGUUACAAACCUCUCAAUAACUCAACUCUACAAGAAGCCAAACCCACUUCUUGUACAAAAGAUCUAUGACAAUGAUUCUAACUAUGAAUCAAAAACACUUUUCUCACACAAGAAAUUCUAACUAUAGAACUUCUUGAAUUCUAUUCCUAAGAACUCUCAAUAUAGUAGGCUUUUGCGUAUUUUCUCACUCUUUCUUCCUCUUGUUUCUCGAUUCUGCAAAAGACAAUUUGUCCCGUCUGCUUUGACAUCUUUUUAUAGAGUUGGAAGAUUGGUGUCCGGUGUGUACAAGGAAACGAAAUAAAGUUGUGUACGAAAAGGAUUUAUUUUGACCUUUUAUUACAAAUCCUGUUAGUACACAACUUCCUCUUUUAUUUGUUCCCUUCUUUAGCUCUGCUUUCUUGCUUUAAAGUUUUCCUUCUUUGACUCUUCUUUUUGAACUCCUUUUGAAAUCGGAUUGCAUAUCAAGAUGUGUCUAUCAUCAAAACUUCAUAAAUCAUCAGAAUUUUUUUAAUUGAUAUAUAUAAAUUUUCCCUAUGUUGUUUCAGUGGAUAAUCCUUCUGAAGGACUGAAAGUUCGAAGCAAACUAUUGAGGAAAACUAGUUUAAGUGACGACUUUUGGAGCGCUCGUACUAGUGCAUGUGAGAUGGAGGGAAGCAAUUCAGAAUUUGUUAAUCAUGGUAAGUACAUACUUUUCACUCUUUUUAUUUUCUUUUAUGUUAUGAUUGAAUUUAACAUUGCCUGGAACAGGUCUACUUCUCUGGAAUCAAACGAGGCAACAAUGGUGUGGAAAUAAAACACCGCAGAAGAAUGCUUCAGUUGGAGAACCCAAAUUAAGGUAAGUUUCUCACAUUUUUGCUAGUGUAAGCAUGAAUGAACUAUGAAAUUUGUGUUGCUUCUUUCAACUAUCGCGCACUAAACUAUAGUACAUACAUUUUAAUAAGUUUGUUCUAUCAUCAUAAUUGCAGUUUAUAUACAAGCUAUGAAAUGUUCCUAGAGACCAAUAAGCUUUUUCCUCAACCAAUUCCUUUACCGGUAAGUUAUCAAAUUAUGUAAGGUAGUUUUCUUUCCAUUUUGUUUGUAGCUAGUUGCUAACUGUUGUGAAUUUUUUACUAGGAAAUGGUAGACUUUCUUGUUGAUGUGUGGGAGCAGGAGGGGCUUUAUGAUAAAGCAACCACAUAACUCAUUAUUCUCACCAACUGCAAAUUGUGUUAUGGAACUUCUACACAAGUCAAGACAUAAAAAAAAAUCAUAUAGGGAUACCAACAAAUGAAACUUCAAUUUUAUUUCCCAAUUCAGAUUAAACUUUGACUUCUUGUCCUUUUUUUUCACAUUAAAACUAGCGCAUUUUAAAGGGGUUAUUCACAGAAAUAUCUUUAUUGCGCGGUGGUCUUUAAUUUUUAUCUUUAAAAUUUGAUGGUUACUUUUUUUCUUCAUCACUUUAAGUAAAAAGAAAAUGAACUCAAAUAUCUCUAGUGUGUGUGUUUAUAUGUAUAUUAUUUAGUAUUAAAUAAGCUGCUAGUAAAGAUUUAAAAUAUCAUAAGGUCAAGAUCCAAAAUUAAGUAUUUAGAGUUAUUUACAUACCCAUAGAUAUAAAAACCGUUUAUCAACUCUGGUAGUAUACUUAUGCUAUUAUUAGCUUUCUUAAAAGAAGAGUAAGAUUUAUCAUAUUUGGAAAUAUGAAAAGAAUUGGAAGUGGCCGUCCUUUUCUUCAAAUAUUCAACUCAAUUCUUUGAUAGUCUUGUGGUGAAUUUUGAAGUUGAGAGUAGAAAAGAAUUGUGCUAGAGAAAUUGGGAUUUGGGAGUGGUGGAAGGCCAAUGGAGAGAAGAAAGAAUAAUCGAGAAGCCGAAAGACCAUAGUCAAAAGACAAAAUUACCCUCACUUUUGAUUUAACUAUCAAAAUUAGAAAUCUGUCCAACUUUUGUUGCACAAUGUACAAUAAAAUUAAGCUGUGGUCGUCCUACCUUUCAUGCUUCUACAUAGUAUAUAUAUAGACUAGAUGGUUCUUGCCCGUGCUAAGCACGGGCCCAACAAUUUAAUUUAUGAUAUAAUUUUAUUGUGUUUGAUCUUUCUAGGAAAUAUGUUCGAGAAACCAAGUACCAUAAUUAACAUUUUUAUACAAAAAAAUUACAUUAGACAAAAAAUAAAAGUACGAACAUUAAGUAAAAGCUUUUAUAAUGAUCAAUAAUCUUAGUGAGCUCUAGCUUUGAAUCGAUCAAGAAGUUCCUAAAUUGUAUCAACCUUUUUUUUAGGGCUUUUGUUCUUGCACUUGAACUCCACUCUGAACAGUCUUUACCCAAGUACAAAUAUAGUUGUGAACUGCCAGGACAUCGUGGGGAGGGAACUUACAUUCAGAAAUUUUACAGAAAUCUCCACCAACAGGCAACAUAUUCACUAAUCUUCAUCUUGAUCACACUAAAUAAUAUUGAUCCACAAAAGUUAUGAUCAAUCUUCUACUCUUAACAAAAACAAACAAAUAGUAAUAAUAAUUACGAUCAGUAGGUCAUUUCUGAGUUUCAGUAUCUCUUGCUCAAGCACCUCGGAAUGUGAUCCCUAUGUAAGAGGUUUCAUCCCAUAUUAGAUAUUUUUGUGCAACUUAUGAAUAUGAAUCUUGAGAUCGAGACAAGACAAUCACCUGAAGUUUCAUGCGUAGUACUUCCAUUCCCCUUUUUGGCUGCUUAAGGCUACAUCAUUUAGCAUUUACAAAGAAGUUGAACUACAAUAAGCUUAGCCUUAGACGUCAAAGAAAGAAGCUAGUAAUUAAUAAUAAGUUUCAUUAUUUGGUUCCACUGGGAAGAAAAUUUGCAAGAAAGGAUUCUACAAGGAUGAAACUUGUUAUUUGUAAGAUAAUAAAAAUUAAAACCAGUUAAAGAAUGCUCUAUAUAUACUGCUUGUAGGUAAAACUCACCUCCCUUUUGCUUUAAAAAUUGGUGCUCGAAUAGAUGUUUUAGACUACACUCUAUAGCAUCGAUAUACCAACACGAAAUUAACUAUUGCAUCAUUUAGGAGUUUUCAGAAAAAAACAAAUCUUUUUGAAUGAGAUUUGUUAAACCUUGGUUAUGACACAAAAAGAAUAUAGUGCCUAAGUGCUGAAAUUGCAUUGGAGCUUGAUUUGAAAGUUUUGAAUGCAAGGUAUAGUGUAGAGCCGUCAAUAUGGGCUAGGUCCGUUGGGUUGGCCUGGUCUAAUCCAUGAUUUGAUAGGGUUGAGCUACGAUAUUUAGAGCCCAUUUAAGAAAAGGGCUUUUUAACCCGGCCUGAAUAAGCUUGUCGAUUUGAAGGGCUUGAGAAAUAUGGAUAGGGCCGGCCCGUGGGCCAAAUAAAAAUUAAUUAAAAAAUAAAAAUAAAAUAGAUUAUUAAAAAUAACAAGAGUCUAAACUCAAAAUUUGUUUAAAGUUUGAAAUAUUACAAUUUAAAUACAAAUUAUGUUUAUAAAAUAUGUACUACAUAAAAUAAAAAUUCCCUAAAAUUUCUAGGGAAUCACUAUAUAGGCCAUAUCCUAUGAAAUAUUGUCAUAGUUUUUGUGUUUUAUUAUGAUAAUUGGAAAACAAUUCGAUUAAUAUUUCUAUUUAGCUAUUUAUGCUUUUACUUGAUCAAACUUAAUAAAUAUUAUAAAGAUAAUUUUAUUUGUGUAUUUGAUUAACAAGUAGUAACACUAACACCAUGUAAUAUUGUUUUGUUGAUAUUUAUGAUAAUAUUUUUAAAUUAUAAUUUAAUUUAAAAAAUUAUAAAAAAUAUACUUUUAAGAAAAGAGGGUUGGCCUGGCAAAACCCGUAGCCCACAUACUAGUAUAGUGUCUUAGGAACUAAUGUUAAACUAACCUGAUUAUAGUAACAGGAAAACUUCUACUCACCGCAACAUACGUGACCAUUAAAUCUCAUUAGAGUGGAUCAUGAACAAGUAAUUACAUAAAAGGAAUAGUAAAUGGAGGCAGGCCUCAUUGACUUGAACACAGUUGGUGAUCCGUUUAACUCUGCUAGCAAAUUGGAGUAUUCCCUUUAAUACUACACAUAACUAUUAUGAUUUGGGUAUCAAUGUAAAAUUUCAAACAAAAUGAGAAUCAGCUUGUGUCGAUUUGCGCUGCUUCAAAUCUUAGUUGUUAAAUGGAACUAACACCGUCUUUUUGAAGGAAAAAAAGGGACAUACAAUGUAUGUAAUCUAGAAACGCAACUCAAUUGAAGAGAUAAAAAUAUAGAAUAGUGCCAUUGAUUUAGAGAAAUAAAGAACUAGCUAAGAGAAAAAUGAAACUGAAAAGGAGAACAAAAAUGACUCGCAAAAAAAAAAUGAAGCAAUUGUGCCGCCGGCAACUAACCCUUCUCUUUUUAUUUUUUCAAUGUAUUUUCAACUCAAAGUUUCAGUAGUUCCUUCCAUUGAUAGACAAAAAAUGUUGAGCAAAGACCUGGCAACAACCACCCGUAGCCCACAUACUAGUAUAGUGUCUUAGGAACUAAUGUUAAACUAACCUGAUUAUAGUAACAGGAAAACUUCUACUCACCGCAACAUACGUGACCAUUAAAUCUCAUUAGAGUGGAUCAUGAACAAGUAAUUACAUAAAAGGAAUAGUAAAUGGAGGCAGGCCUCAUUGACUUGAACACAGUUGGUGAUCCGUUUAACUCUGCUAGCAAAUUGGAGUAUUCCCUUUAAUACUACACAUAACUAUUAUGAUUUGGGUAUCAAUGUAAAAUUUCAAACAAAAUGAGAAUCAGCUUGUGUCGAUUUGCGCUGCUUCAAAUCUUAGUUGUUAAAUGGAACUAACACCGUCUUUUUGAAGGAAAAAAAGGGACAUACAAUGUAUGUAAUCUAGAAACGCAACUCAAUUGAAGAGAUAAAAAUAUAGAAUAGUGCCGCUGGUUUAGAAAAAUAAGGAAAUAGCUAAGAGAAAAAUGAAACUGAAAAGGAGAACAAAAAUGACUCGCAAAAAAAAAAUGAAGCAAUUGUGCCGCCGGCAACUAACCCUUCUCUUUUUAUUUUUUCAAUGUAUUUUCAACUCAAAGUUUCAGUAGUUCCUUCCAUUGAUAGACAAAAAAUGUUGAGCAAAGACCUGGCAACAACCAAUGGCAUAGCCAGAAAUUUCAUUAAGGGUGUCCAAACUUUGAAUAAUAUUUUUUUUUAAAAUGACGAUUUAAAUUACCAAAAUAAAUAAUCAAGUUAAGCAAUAUUUAAUUAAAUAUAAUAAUAUUUUUAAUAGAAUUACAAGUGUAUAAUUCAAAACUAACAUAAAGACAAAAGAAACUACUAUUGAAAACAUAAUUUAAAUAUAUUAUUACAAUGGUACUCGACGAGGUUUCAUAUCCUGAAACGUUUUUAUAAUAGACUCAUUAGAAAUAGUACGAAAUACUUUCUUUUCUGCAUAAGGCAAUAUACAAUCGUCUAAAAACUCAUCAUCCAUUCGAUUUCGCAAAUUUUGAAUACACUUCAUUUCUGAGAAAGAAAACCUUAUUCCACAAGAAAAAAAUAUUAAAAUUUAAGAAAAUCUUAUUCCACAAGGAAAAAGUAUUAAAAUUUAAGGAAAUAAUUCAAUUUUAUUUGAAAAAAAUCCACAAGGAAAAAGUAUUAAAUUUAAGGAAAUCUUAUUCCACAGGGAAAAAGUACUAAAUUUAAGGAAAUAAUUCAAUUUUAACUGGAAAAAAAAUAGUUAGUGGAGGUAAGAUUCGAACUUGGGUCCUUGAAGCCAAUAAUAACACUAUUAACCACCAAGCUACUGAACAUUUCUGUUAAAGUUACGCAUAUUUAUUUAAUUACCAAAUUCAAGAAGGUAAAAUAAUUACAGAAAAAUGAAACACUCCUAUAGGGAAUCAAACUGGGGCAGAGAGUAGGUUUGCGACGGCUAUAGCCAGCUCCACUACACAUUACUUUGUUAUUAAAGGGUGUCCAAAUUCUAUAUAUACAAAUAUAAAGUCAAAACUUUACAUGUAUAUAUAGUAUAAUUUUUCGACGAAUUGGACACCCUGGAGCCUACAUGGCUCCGCCCCUGGAAACAACCAUGAAAUGAGACCUGGCAACAUCAACACCUCAAAUCACGAUGUUCCUAAUUCCCAUCAUUGGAGACGCUUGGAGAGAAAAUAUGUGGACAACAAUCAAUCUCCAAAAGAAAUGACAAGAGUUAGGUGAAGGAAACAAGUGAUUCUAGAUAGACAAAUUUAGUUGAGGAAGAAGAACAUAUUUCUUCACCUGCAAGGAGUAAGUUAAGUCCUCAAAUAACCAUAUUUGUACCUUCAAGUAAGGCAAAUCCAUUUAUGACAGUGAAAAUUGAUAACUCCACCUAAGAUCUUGACCAUUACCACCAAGGUAUUGAAAAAAAUCCAUGAGCCAUAAGUUGUAGUUUCAAGACUUAAUUAGUCCAACUACAACUUAUGAUGGUGACUUGGGCAGUGAAAUGUUUGACGAGGAUGAUGAGGAUGAUAUGCUAGACAUAUUAUUUGAUAAGGUAUCUAAGGAUAGGGAUAUCUCGCCUAGGCAACAAAUUAGUGGAAGCAACAAAAGCAAAAAGAAGACACAUGAAAGACAACAUAGUUGGGAUGGUAAGGUGACUGGGGAAUUUAUUCCAAGGCACCUACAAAUGCGACUGAAAAAGCAAAAUCAUAUGAUCGUUUCAACAACAACAAGAUCCAAUAAAUCCAAAAAAAAGUGAUGAAUUAUCAAGUUUUGUUGGACAUAUUUGACGAGGAAGACAAGAGGGAAAUACUUCAGGUUACUUUACACGGGCAAUCCAUCUCUUUUGAUUCUUACAUAUACAAAAUGAAGUUUGAGGUUGAUAACUCAUAUUCUUGGAUUUUAUAUUUUUGCAUUACUUAAGUAUCCUCAUUUGUAGUAUCAUCACAAAAUGUAUUAUAAACUCUAUGAUGAUCAUAGAAUAUCUACUUUUCUCUAGCUUUUAUUUUUCUUCAUGCUUGUUAAUUAGUAGACGUUCGUUACCUCAUUAAGAUUAGUAAGGUAAGGCCUAUCCCCCCUUGCUUUUACUUUUUUCUUUGAGAUCCUUUUCUCUUUAUUAAUAAAACUAUCCCUAAGCACACCUUGCAUAGCGGAAUUGCUUAAAUUUUUUUGGAUAUCCUUUCUUAUAUAUAGUAGUACUACCUUUUUAAUUUACUUAAAAAGCUUUGAUGGUUAAUAGUUAUACUUAUAAAUGUAAAAAUGGUCAAAAUUUAUUCUUUACUUCGAGAAAAAAUCAAUUUUAUUCUUCAUUAUGCUAUUAAUUUAAAAUUACACUACCAUUACUUGAAUAAUUCAAAUAUAAAUGUAAAAGGUGAACACUUGAUCCAAUAUAAUAGCAGACAUUUUGAAGAAACAAAUAUUACGUGGCAUGUCAUCUCAAUGUCCCAACCCAUUUUAGCCUCCCCUCCACUUGUUCUUCCGCCAUUAAUGUUUCUAUUCUUAUAACAAUCACUAAUAUUGUGUGAUUAAAAAGGGUGAAGUGUUGUGCUCAAAUGAGAUGAAUAUUAUUUAUCUAGAUGAAAAUAAUUAGUGAUGGAAGAACAAGUAAAAGGAAGAGGUAAAAUGCGUUUUUAGGAUAUUGAGGUAGGAUGUCAUGUAGUGUUCAUCUCAUCAUUUUUUUUAAAAAAAAGAAGAAGAUGAAGGUGUUUAUGUAAUUGGUAAUCUUUCUUUUGGUUGAUUGUCUAUUUUUGGUCUCAAUAAGGAGUUUUUUGAGCUUGAAAGAUUCAAAUAUUAAAUUCCCAAUAGUUUUCAACCAUACCCACGUGUAGAGUCUUGAAAUAUAGAGGUAUCUUCUUGAUUCUUUCAUCUUUUCGCUUAAAGCUUGUGCUUUUUUUUCUCUUUCUUCUUCUAUGAUUGAUUUAGUCCAUUAAGAGCAUAUUUUGUGACUAUCUGUUGAGGCAGAAUAUCAAUUCAAAGGAUAGUUGAUGUAGGAUGGUCUUUGUCUGAUGUUUUUAAUCUUCUAGUUUUUCAGAAACACGAAGCUUUUUCCAAGCUUCAUAUCCAAGUAGAAAUAAAUCAUCUAUGCUUUUAUCAUGUGGGGAAAAUGGGAAGAGGAUUUGUGUCACUACCGCUUUUGGAAAUUUUGAGCAGAGGAAUCAUUCUUCCACUAAAAUCUUUAUUGAUAAAUUCCUCUUUGAGGUAUUCAAGCGUCUACCCAGUGGCAGUGAGACAAGUGCUUAUGCUUGUGUUUCUAAGCGAUGGCUCACACUUUUAAGCAGUGUUCACAAGGAUGAGAUCACAGAAUCUAAGAGAUAUCUUGCCAGGUCCCUUGUUGGUAGGAAAGUCACAAUUGCCAGACUUGCUGCUAUUGCCAUUAGAACUUCAAAACAUGGAGGUUUAGCAAAGAUAUCUAUUCGGGGAAACAACGUUUGUCGUGGUGUGACUGAUGUUGGUUUCAAGGAUAUUUCUCGAGGUUUCCCUACUCUCAGAGAACUUUCCUUGUGGAAUGUGUCUUCUUUUGGUGAUGAAAGUUUAUUUGAUAUUGUCCAUGGAUGUCAUUUGUUAGAGAAACUUGAUCUUUUCCAAUGCCCAAGAAAUAGAGGUAUUCUUGAUUCUUUCAUGUUUUCGCAUAAAGCUUGUGCCUUUAUCUUAUUUUUUAUUUCCCUUUUAAACUUUUGGGGUUCUACAUUUUGCACUAAAAUUGGUUCUUGAUUGUGUAGUGAAGAUGCUUUGCCUUUUUUUCUUUUCUUUCUUCUUCUGUGAUUGAUUUAGUCCAUUACACACCCAAUUUCUACUGUAAGACAUAAUCCACGGGGAGCCUCAGAAUUAGUCUGGAUGCCUCGAAACCUAAACAAAGGUUUGUUCUAGACCAAACUAAACAUUUUAGGACUAACUGCGCUGAAAGAAUUCUCAUUCGAGCUUGUUUACUCAAAAUAUUGACUAAAGUCAAACUUAGGCCUUAACUUGAAAGUUAAAACGCUUAAUCACAUUGACUCACACUGAAAGCCUCGGGACUUGUGUCAACUUUGCCACUAGCCUAAAAUGACCCUUCAGGACAUGAUGGAAACGUCAGAAUUGGAUUCUGAGGUCAUCUUCCUAAACUUCUAAUAAAAAUUGACAGUUCAAGGUUCAAAAGCUCCAAAAUACUAAAACUCGUAUAAUUUUUUUUAAAAAUGAUGUUGAUAUUAUAUUUCGAAAUGAUUUCCGUUACACCAUCAAUAUGUGUAAAGCUUUCAUAGCAAAAUUUAUUUACUUCUGUACUUCCAUCCAAUUGAUGUAGCCUAUUUUUUAGGUCCGGGUGGUUCUACAUGUCUGGAGCAUAGGAGUCCUGAUGCGGUGAAUGAGAGUCGAAUGAUGAAUUCAUCUAGGACACACACUUGUGAUCCUACUCUUGUUCCUUCCCGGAAGUAAGUACCCUUCAUCGUGUACAAUUAUUACUAAUUUGAAUUCAACACAUGCCUAUUUUUUGAUGGCCCAUCAUUGCUAGUAUUCAACUGUCUGAUUAACCUACUCUUUGGAAUUUCCCUAUUGAUAAGUACGGAAACAUAUAUAAUACAUUUUUUCAACAAUGUAAUGUUGGUCCAUGAGGAGAUGGCCUAGUGGUUAAGGCAUAUGACUAACAACUUGGACAUUCUAGGUUUGAAUACCAGCUAAAACACAUGGUGUGUCCAUCUAAUCUAGCCUUACUGGGCAGCAUUACCUUGUCAAUAUGUGCUUGUGGGAUGGAUAAGUUGUCCAAUGAAUUAUUUGGGGUACAUGCAAGUUGGUAGGGACACCAUUAGUAUUGCUAAAAUAAUGAGUAGCCACUCAAAAUAUAUAUGACAUAAUGAUAAUCUGAGUGUGUACUGCUUAGUCAGAUGAUAAUUGAUCUAAUCUCUCUUCCUCUUUGCAUUUCAGGGGGAGUUUUAACAUAUUAGGUGCUUUAAAAUUUGUACCUGGGAUGCUCAAUAGUUGUAUUUGGGCUCAUCCUCCUCCUUAUUUUUUUAGUUUACUUGAAAAUUCUAAGAGACAUUGAUCUUUUUACACAAGGGGUUGUUCCUCUAGAAAGAAAUUGCUAGUUAGAUUAUCAGUUUUGCUUUCCUUUUUGAAUAUUUAUUGCAUGUUGUGGCAUUUAAUUCUCAUAAAUACUGUUGUAUCUUUUAUGCAUACAUAGUCCUCUUCUUGUUUUAAAAAUAUUCAGCUUUUUCUCUUCCUUUUAGAUAUUGCAUGCUGGGCUAUUAUGUUGAUGUACCAGUGAAUUGGUGUUGUGAAGAAUGUGAUAUUGGCAAAGGGAUAAUGUCUUCAUCAAGCGGACUAGAAAUUGUGCAUUAUGAGGGAUCCAAGUUACAUGCCUCUGAAAAGAUUUGUCAGAGUAUUAUGCAACCAAAGAAACAUAGUAAGUUUCCUGGUGGACAUCGUUUUAACUGGGAAAAAGAGGUACGGACCGGGAAAUUGAGAUAUCUACCUGUUGAAGAAGCACUUGAUUUGUCAUCAAGCAUCAAGAAAUAUGGAUCUCCGCUGAUAGAUACGGUCUCCUCAAGAGUUGUGUCAACCAAAUCCAUGGCAACUAUGACGAGAGGGAUUUUUAGCAAGCCUAGAGCUCAAAUUUCAAACUCUUUUCGUGAGAAGAGAAAAAUGCAGCUGCCUUUAGGAUCAACAGGAUAUACGAAACCUCAAAAUCUUCAAAUUGCCGAAAACACUAAACAGAGCAAAAAAACAGUACAAUUAUCUAAAGGUUAAGUGUUCACCAAUAUAUUUUGUAUUAAUUACUUGAUUUGAUUUAUCCUCUUCUUAUACCUUAAUUAUUCUUCAGAAAUUUCAUUUUCUAGCAUAUACUCUAAAUAGUUUUUAAAAAUAAAAUGAUGUUGAUAUAUCUAGAGUUGAUAUUAUCUUUCAAAAUAAUUUCCGUUACACCAUCAAUAUCUAUAAAGCUUUCAUAGCAAAAAUUAUUUACUUAUGUACUUCCAUCCAAUUAAUGUAGCCUCUUUUUUAGGUCCGAAUGGUUCUACUAGUCUGGAGCAUAGGAGUCCUGAUGUUAUGAAUAAGAGUCGAAUGACGAAUUCAUCUAUGACACACCCUUGUGAUUAUGUUCUAGUUCCUUCCCAGAAGUAAGUAUCCUUCAUAGUAUACAAUUAUUACUAAUUCAAAUUCAGCUCAUGUAUGUUUCUAGAUGGCCCAUCUUUGCUAGUAGUCAGCUGACUAAUUAACCUAAUCUUUGUAAUUUUCUUAUUGAUAAGUACGGAAACAUAUAUAAUACAUUUUGUCAACAACAUAAUGUUGGUCCACGAGGAGAUGGCCAUGUGGUUAAGGCAUAAGACUAACAACUUCGACAUUCUAGGUCUGAAUCCCAGCUACAACACAUGGUGCGCCCAUCUGAUCUAGCCUUACUGGGAAGCAUUAACGUGUCAAUAUGUGUUUGUGGGAUGGACUAGUUGCCCAAUGAAUUAGUUGGGGUACAUGCAAGUUGGUUGGGACACCAUUAGUAUUGCUAAAAUAAUGAGUAGGGCACUGAAGAAUAUAUGACAUAAUGAUAAUCUGAAUGUGUACUGCUUAGUCAGAUGAUAAUUGAUCUAAUCUCUCUUCCUCUUUGCAUUUCAGGGGAAGUUCUGACAUCUUAGGUGCUUUGGAAUUUUUACCUAGGAUGCUCAAUAGUUGUAUCAAGGCUCAUCCUCCUUCUAGAGCUAGACGUAAGGUGUAUGAGUUCUCAGGUCUUUUUCCUGAUACUCUUAAAUUUGAACUUGUUCCCUGUGGGGAUAUUUGGGAAAGUCUAUUUAACAAUCAUAUUCCGAGUAAAGAAGAUAUAGGACUAUAUUUUUUUUGCAAGUGAGAAAGAAAGGUCAGCUUCUGCCUUAUAUAUCUAUCCGUAAAGGGGCAAUGGGUUGCAAAGUAGAAGUACCCCCUUGCCCAUGAACAUUUUUACUAGAAAUUGAUUCUCAGUUCCCAUUAUAUGUAGGUCUGAGAGAUAUAUUGCUCUAGUGGAGUUCAUGCGUAGCAAGGAUUUGGUGAUGAGAACGCUUAUAAAUGAUGUUGAGCUCCAUAUACUUGCAUCCAUAGCCAUGUGCACUGAUUCUCAAAGUACAUCUAUAAUUUCUAUGUUCUUUUCUCAUUUUUGAUGAAUUUUUAGGUAAUAAUAUAUUUACCUGUAUAUGCAGAAGAUUAUGCCUUUUUAAAGUGGGUUACUUGUUUGGUUUCAUUUGUUCAUCAAGUUUUUUGCUCUAUAACAGAUUGUCCAAAACAAGAUGGUAACAACAGCUAGAGUGUGUCUAAUGAUAUAACAUUUAAGUAAAAAACAACAAACUUAAAUAGAAUACUUGGAAUGCACUGGUGGAUAUGCUCACGGCAGGAAAAAUGUGAAUUACGUGGGAAUUUUCCUAGGGAUUGGUAUGAAAAUCCGCAGGAACCUUAUUUUCCUGCAAAUUUUCAUAUUAAUCUCCAGGAAAAUUCCCAUGUAAUAUAUUUUGAGGGAAAAGGAGAACUUGAUUUUGCUGAUUAUGAUUUAGCUUUCUGUAUCUGAUAACAUUUUGCCUCCACAUAUCAUUCUGUUCAUAUGGUAAUCUUAAUUCCAAUCAAGUAUCUGUCAACUUCUAAAUUUCUUGUGUUUUCUAUGUGAACUUGCAGAAAAAAAAUGUAAAAUUUGCGGUGACACAGGUUUUGACAAAGAAAUUACUACAUGUUAUCAGUGUGACAAUGUUGACGUACAUCCGUAAGUUCUCUCUCUCUUUUCGUAGCAUGAAAAGGUGGACAAUCAGUUAGAAAAUCCAAAAGUCAUGUCUCUCUUUCAAGCUUCAUCACCUUGUGUCAUAUCUAUAUGUUCUUUGUAAAUCUCAAACAUUGGCCCAAUCCCAAACCCCUUUUUUUAGUUUACUUGACAUUUCUAAGAGAGAUGUUGAUCUUUUACACAAAGGGUUGCUCCUGUUGAAGGAAAUUGCUAGUUAGAUUAUCAGUUUUGCUUUCCUUUUUGAUUUUUUUUUCAUGUUGUGGCAUUUAAUUCUCAUAAAUACUGCCUAUAUCUUUUAUGCAUACAUAGUCCUCUUCUUGUUUUAAAUAUUAUGUGUUUUUCUCUUCCUUUAAGAUAUUGCAUGCUGGGCUGUUGUGUUGAUGCACCAGUGGAUUGGUGUUGUGAAGAAUGUGAUAUUAGGAAAGGGAUAAUGUCUUCAUCAAAUGGACUAGGAAAUAUGCAUUAUGAGGGAUCCAAGUUACAUGCAUUUGAAAAGAUUUGUCAGAGUACUGUGCAACCAAAGAAACAUAGUAAAUUUCCUCGUGCACAUCGUAUUAACGGGGAAAAGGAGGUACAGACCGGGAAAAUGAGAUAUCUAUCAGUUGAAGAAGCACUUGGUCUUUCAUCAAGCAUCAAGAAAUAUGGAUCUACGCUGAUAAAUACGAUCUCCUCAAGAGUUGUGUCAACCAAAUCCAUAGCAACCAUGACUCGAGGGAUUUUUGGCAAGCCUACAGCUCAAAUUUCAAACUCUUUUCGUGAGAAAAGCAAAGUGCAGCUGCCUUUAGCAUCAACAGGAUAUACUAAACCUCAAAAUCUUUGAAUUGCCAAAAAUACUGAACAUAGCAAAAAAAAUGUUCAAUUAUCUAAGGUUAAGUGUUCACCACAAUAUUUUGUAUUAAUUACUUGAUUUGAUUUGUCCUCUUCUUAUACCUUUAUACUUCAGAAAUUUCAUUUUCUAGCAUAUACUCUAAAUAAAAAAAAUUCUUUUAAUGAUGUUGAUAUAUCUAGAGUUGUUAUUAUCUUUCAAAAUAAUUUCCGUUACACCAUCAACAUCUAUAAAGCUCUCAUAGAAAAAUUUCUUUACUUAUGUACUUCCAUCAAAUUGAUAUAGCCUAUUUUUUUAGGUCCGGGUGGUUCUACCAGUCUUGAGCAUACGAGUCCUGAUGAUUUGAAUAAGAGUCGAAUAAUGAAUUCAUCUAUGACACACCCUUGUGAUCCUUCUCUAGUUCCUUCCCGAAAGUAAGUACCCUUCAUUGUGUACAGUUAGUACUAAUUCAAAUUUAGCUCAUGUCUGUUUUUGGAUGGCCCAUCUUUGCUAGUAAUCAGCUGACUGAUUAACUACUCUUUGUAAUUUCCUUAUUGAUAAAUACGAAAACAUAUAUAAUACACUUUUUCAACAACAUAAUGUUCGUCCAUGAUGAGAUGGCAUAGUGGUUAAGGCUUAGGACUAACAACUUGGACAUUCUAGGUUUGAAUCCCAGCUACAACACAUUGUGCGCCCAUCUGAUUUAGACUUACUGGGAACCAUUAGCGUGUCAAUAUGUGUUUGUGGGAUGGACUAGUUGCCCAAUGAAUUAGUUGGGGUACAUGCAAGUUGGUUGGGACGCCAUUAGUAUCGCUAAAAUAAUGAGUAGGGCACUGAAGAAUAUAUGAUAUAAUGAUAAUCUGAAUGUGUACUGCUUAGUCAGAUGAUAAUUGAUCUAAUCUCUCUUCUUCUUUGCAUUUCAGGGGAAGUUCUGACAUCUUAGGUGCUUUGGAAUUUGUACCUAGGAUGCUCAAUAGUUGUAUCCUGGCUCAUCCUCCUUCUAGAGUUAGAUGUAAGGUGUAUGAGUUCUCAGGUCAUUUGCCUGAUACUCUUAAAUUUGAACUUGUUCCCCGUGGGGAUACUUGGGAAAGUCUAUUUAACAAUCAUAUUCCGAGUAAAGAAGAUAUAGGACUGUAUUUUUUAGCAAGUGAGAAAGAAAGGUCAGCUUCUACCUUAUAUAUCUAUCCGUAAAUGGGCAAUGGGUUGCGAAGUAGAAGUCCCCCUUGCCCAGGAAGGUUUUUACUAGAAACUGAUUCUCAUUUCCCAUUAUAUGUAGGUCUGAGAGAUAUAUUGCUCUAGUGGAGUUCAUGCGUAGCAAGGAUUUGGUGAUGAGAACGCUUAUUAAUGAUGUUGAGCUCCUUAUACUUACAUCCACAACCAUGUGCACUGAUUCUCAAAGUACGUCUAUAAUUUCUAUAUUUUUUCCUCAUUUUCAAUGAAUUUUUAGGUAAUAAUACAUUUACUUGUGUAUGCAGAAGAUUAUGACUUUUUAAAGUGAGGAUACUUGUUUGGUUUCAUUUGUUCAUCAAGGUUUUUGCUCUAUAACAGAUUGUCCAAAAGAAGAUGUUAACAACAACUAGGGUGUGUCUAAUGGGAUAACAUUUAAGUAAAAAAUAACAAACUUAAAUAGAAUACUUGGAAUGAACUGGUGGAUAUGCUUCUGCUAGAUAUUAUGAGAGAAAAAGAGAACUUGAUUUUACUGAUUAUGAUUUAGCUUUCUGUAUCUGAUAACAUUUUGUCUCCACAUAUCAUUAUGUUCAUAUGGUAAUCUUAAUUCCAAUCAAGUGUUUGUCAACUUCUAAAUUUCUUGUGAUUUCUAUGUGAACUUGCAGAAAAAAUGUGAAAUUUGCGGUGACACAAGUUUUGAAAAAGCAAUUACGUGCAUCAGUAAGUUUUCUCUCUCUCUCUCUUUCUCUUUUUGUAGCAUGAAAAGGUGGAAAAUUAGUUAGAAAAUCUGAAAGUCAUGUCUCUCUUUCAAGCUUCAUCACUUUGUGUCAUAUCUAUAUGUUCUUUGUAAAUCUCAAACAUUGGCCCAAUCCCAAACCCUUUUUUUUUUAAGUUUACUUGACAUUUCUAAGAGAGAUGUUGAUCUUUUUACAGAAGGGGUUGCUUCUCUCGAAGGAAAUUGCUAGUUAGAUUAUCAGUUUUGCUUUCCUUUUUGAUUUUUUUUUCAUGUUGUGGCAUUUAAUUCUCAUAAAUACUGCCUAUAUCUUUUAUGCAUACAUAGUCCUCUUCUUGUUUUAAAUAUUCUGUUUUUUUUCUCUUCCUUUAAGAUAUUACAUGUUGGGUUGUUGUGUUGAUGCACCAGUGGAUUGGUGUUGUGAAGAAUCUGAUAUUAGCAAAGGGAUAAUGUCUACAUCAAGUGGACUAGAAAAUGUGCAUUAUGAGGGAUCCAAGUUACAUGCAUUUGAAAAGAUUUGUCAGAGUACUGUGCAGCCAAAGAAACAUAGUAAGUUUCCUCGUGCAUAUCGUAUUAAUGGGGAAAAGAAGGUACAUACCGGGAAAAUGAGAUAUCUACCUGUUGAAGAAGCACUUGGUCUUUCAUCAAGCAUCAAGAAAUAUGGAUCUACGCUGAUAAAUACGGUAUCCUCAAGAGUUGUGUCAACCAAAUCCAUAGCAACCAUGACUCGAGGGAUUUUUGGCAAGCCUAGAGCUCAAAUUUCAAACUCUUUUUGUGAGAAGAGCAAAGUGCAGCUUCCUUUAGCAUCAACAGGAUAUACUAAACCUCAAAAUCUUCGAAUUGCCAAAAACAUUGAACAUAGCAAAAAAAUGUUCAAUUAUCUAAAGGUUAAGUGUUCACCACAAUAUUUUGUAUUAAUUACUUGAUUUGAUUUGUCCUCUUCUUAUACUUUUAUUCUUCAGAAAUUUCAUUUUCUAGCAUAUACUCUGAAUAGUUUUUAAAAAAAAUGAUGUUGACAUAUCUAGAGUUGUUAUUAUCUUUCAAAAUAAUUUCCGUUACACCAUCAACAUCUAUAAAGCUUUCAUAGAAAAAAUUCUUUACUUCUGUACUUCCAUCAAAUUGAUGUAGUCUAUUUUUUAGGUUUGGGUGGUUCUACCAGUCUUGAGCAUACGAUCCUGAUGAUUUGAAUAAGAGUCGAAUAAUGAAUUCAUCUACGACUUACCCUUGUGAUCCUUCUCUAGUUCCUUCCCGGAAGUAAGUACCCUUAAUCGUGUACAAUUAUUACUAAUUCAAAUUUAGCUCAUGUCUGUUUCUGGAUGGCCCAUCUUUGCUAGUAGUCAGCUGACUGAUUAACUACUCUUUGUAAUUUCCUUAUUGAUAAAUAUGAAAACAUAUAUAAUACAUUUUUUCAACAACAUAAUGUUGGUCCAUAAGGAUAUGGCCUAGUGGUUAAGGCAUAAGACUAACAACUUGGACAUUCUAGUUUUGAAUCCCAGCUACAACACAUUGUGCGCCCAUCUGAUCUAGCUUUAUUGUGUCAAUAUGUACUUGUGAGAUGGACAAGUUGCCCAAUGAAUUAGUUGGGGUACAUGCAAUUUGAUUGGAACGCCAUUAGUAUUGCUAAAAUAAUGAGUAGGGCACUGAAGAAUAUAUGGCAUAAUGAUAAUCUGAAUGUGUACCGCUUAGUUAGAUGAUAAAUGAUCUAAUCUCUCUUUCUUUUUUUACAUUUCAGGGGAAGUUUUGACAUCUUAGGUGCUUUGGAAAUUUUACCUGGGAUGCUCAAUAGUUGUAUCCAGGCUCAUCCUUCUUCUAGAGUUAGACGUAAGGUGUAUGAGUUCUCAGGUCUUGUGCCUGAUACUCUUAAAUUUGAACUUGUUCCCCGUGGGGAUAUUUGGGAAAGUAUAUUUAACAACCAUAUUCCGAGUAAAGAAGAUAUAGGACUGUAUUUUUUUGCAAGUGAGAAAAAAAGGUCAGCUUCUGCCUUAUAUAUCUAUCCGUAAAGGGGCAAGGGAUUGCAAAGUAGAAGUCCCCCCUUGCAAAGGAACGUUUUUACUAGAAAUUGAUUCUCAUUUCCCAUUAUAUGUAGGUCUGAGAGAUAUAUUGCUCUAGUGAAGUUCAUGCGUAGCAAAGAAUUGGUGAUGAGAAUGAUUAUAAAUGACGUUGAGCUCUUUAUACUUGCAUCCACAGCCCUGUGCAGUGAUUUUCAAAGUACGUCUAUAAUUUCUAUGUUUUUCUCAUUUUCAAUGAUUUUUUAGGUUGUACAUUUACCUGUGUAUGCAGAUUAUUAUGCCUUUGGAAAGUGGGGAUACUUGUUUGGUUUCAUUUGUGCACAUUUUCAAUGAUUUUUUAGGUUGUACAUUUACCUGUGUAUGCAGAUUAUUAUGCCUUUUGAAAGUGGGGAUACUAGUUUGGUUUCAUUUGUGCAUCAAGGUUUUUGCUCUAUAACGGAUUAUCCAAAAGAAGAUGUUAACGGCAGCUAGAGUGUGUCUAAUGGUAUAACAUUUAAGUAAAAUAACAAACUUAAAUAGAAUAUUUGGAAUGCGCUGGUGGAUAUGUUUCUGUUAUAUAUUAUGAAAGAAGACGAGAACUUGAUUUUGCUGGUUAUAAUUUAGCUUUCCGUAUUUGAUGACAUUUUGUCUCCACAUAUCAUUUUGUUCAUAUGGUAAUCUUAAUUCCAAUUAAGGGUCUGUCAACUUCUAAAUUUCUUAUGUUUUCUAUGUGUACUUGCAGAAAAAAAUUGUGAAAUUUGCGGUGAUACAGGUUUUGAAAAAGCAAUUCUACAUGUUAUCAGUGUAACAAUGUUGACGUGCAUCGGUAAUUAUCUCUCCCUCCUUCUUUUUCUCUCUCUGUCUUUUCUUAGCAUGAAAAGGUAGACAAUCAGUUAGAAAAUCUGAAAGCCAUGACUCUCUAUCAAGCUUCAUCACCUUGUGUCAAAUCUAUAUGUUCUUUGUAAACCUCAAACAUUGGCCCAAUCCCAAACCCUCUUUUAUUUAGUUUACUUGCCAUUUCUAAGAGAGAAGUUGAUCCUUUUACACAAGGGGUUGUUCCACUUGAAGGAAAUUGCUAGUUAGAUUAUCAGUUUUGCUUUCUUUUUUGAAUUUUUUUUUGCAUGUUGUGGGAUUUAAUUCUCAUAAAUACUGCUUGUAUCUUUUAUGCAUACAUAAUCCUCUUCUUGUUUUAAAAAAAUUCUGCUUUUUUCUCUUCUUUUCAGAUAUUGCAUGCUGGGAUAUUAUGUUGAUGCACCAAUGGAUUGGUGUUGUGAAGAAUGUGAUAUUGACAAAGGGAUAAUGUCUUCAUCAAGUGGACUAGAAAAUGUGCAUUAUGAGGGAUCCAAGUUACAUCCUUGUGAAAAGAUUUGUCAGAGUACUGUGCAACCAAAGAAACAUAGUAAGUUUCCUGAUGGACAUCGUAUUAACUGGGAAAAGGUGGUACAGACCUGGAAAAUGAGAUAUCUACCUGUUGAAGAAGCACUUGGUCUGUCAUUAAGCAUCAAGAAAUAUGGAUCUCCGCUGAUAAAUACGGUCUCCUCAAAAGUUGUGUCAACCAAAUCCAUGGCAACCGUGACUCGAGGGAUUUUUACCAAGCCUAGAGCUCAAAAUUCUUCCUGAUGAAUGCCUUUUUGAGAUUUUCAAACGUCUUUCCAGUGGUCAAAAGAGAAGUGCUAGUGCUUGUGUUCCCAAGUGAUGGCUUACACUUUUAAGCAACAUUCGCAAGGAUGAGAUUGCAAAAUUUAAUGGAUAUCUUAACAUGUCCUUUGUUGGUAGGAAAGCCAUAGAUGUAACACUUGCUGCUAUUGCUGUUGGAACUGCAAACUGUGGAGGUUUAGCAAAGUUAUCCAUUCAGGGAAAUAACCUUUAUCGUGGUGUGACUGAUGUUGGUCUCAAGGCUAUCGCUCAAGGUUGCCCUACUCUCAAAGAACUUUCCUUAUCGAAUGUGUCAUUUGUUGGUGAUGAAGGCUUGUCUGAGAUUGCUCAUGGUUGUCAUCUAUUAGAGAAGCUUGAUCUUUUCCAAUGCCCAAGAAUUACUAAUAAGUCCUUGUUAGGUAUAGCAAAGAAUUGUCUCAAUCUCAACUCUGUCAACGAAUGAUUGUUCAUAUAUUGAGAAUGAGUCUCUCAAAAUUAUGGGUCAAUAUUGCCUGAACCUUAAGCUUGUUGGAUUAAAAAUGUCCUUGAGUAGGCAAUGCUACCAUUGAUGUAAUACAUAGACUAUGUCACAAAUUAAUUCAUCUAGAGCUGAAUGGGCUUCUUCGUAUAACGUCAGUGUUAAGCUUGUGAUGAUUUGUUCAUGUCCGAGUCUUAUGUAUUUGUCUUUUUAUAAUAGUAAUAUCCAGUGAAUUUAAUUUCAAAAUUUCUAAUUAUAAUAUCUAGCAAUGUCUAAUCUUUGCGACUAAAAAAUCAUUUUUAUUUACUAGAUAAAGAAGAAAACUUAAUUGGUUAUUAUAAAUCUCUUAAUACAAGUAAUAGUACUAUCUAAGAAUGAUAACUUUUUAGCUUGCCUUGUAUGUGACAGUGAAAGUCGGAUCAAAGCACCACAAGUGCUAUGAAGAGAGGUGAUUUACAAUAAAUUAGACCAUCAACGUAAAUUUUGUCAAUUCAUGGUAAAGUUUAUCAAUACAUUUAGCUUAAUUAAAAUAAUGAAAAUUUGUAUAGGUGAUUUCAACUUAUACAAGGAUUGGGUUUUAUUUAGAGUGAGUUAAGUUCUGAACAAAUUUAUUUAUUUAUUUUUUACAGCUAUCAUAUCAUUAAAUUGGUAUCGAAAAAUUAUAUUUUCAAUUAAAAAGGAAUGCGAGGAUAACUAAUUAAUCAACUAUAUAAAUCAUUUGGAUUGGUUGCGCUCUAUUUAGGUCUAUAUAUUAAAUUAAAGAUUCACCUUAAAUUGUUCAUUUUUUAUAGGAUAAAUUUCUUAAAUGAUCACUAGCUUAAUUGAAUAGUAAAAUCACUUAUUUAUUGUCAUAUCAAUAAUAUCACACCAAUAGGAAAACAAUUUCAACACUAAUCUCAACUUAUUCAAUUCCAAAUCAUCUAUUAGUAUUUUUAAGAAACUUAUUUUCCAUAGAAUAUUUUUCUCCGUACCAAAAACAUUUCUCUAAUAUUAUGACUGUUCUUAUAGGCUACUAAAAUAUUUCCAACAAAAAGCAAUUUGCUAUUAGCUAUUCAAUUUGGUCCAAUCAUUUUAAUAUGUCAAUCAAUCUAUUUGGAAAACCUACCAAUUCUAUAGGAGGAAAAAGCCAUAAUUGUGGUUCCUAUUGAAAGGAAUAAUUGUCUUUUUAUUAAGAACGGUGUUCGAUUCAACUUGUGCACACCUAGAUAGCCUGUGGGAACUUGCUACAUCCUACGAGCACAGUCGAGUUGAAAGAAAUCACCUAGGGUGGUGGCUAGCUCUGACAUCAUAGUUUCAACCCAAGGAGAACCACACCCCAAAAAAACACUAUUGAGGUGGGAGAGACCGACCCCGAGGCUAUAUAAACCCCACAUCAACACUUUGCAGUAUCAAUAUGGGACUUGCAAUGGACCAUAACACAAAAGUUCAUACUAGAAAACAGCUCCAAUAAAGUACAUGGUCUUUUUACUUUUUAUAACAGAGAAAUCGCAAAGGUCCAGAGGGGCACGAUUCGAAACUCAGAGGAUAAGGUGACUACACUACACUGACUCGAGGGAGGAAAAGAUUCAUAAUACCUGAACAAAGCUAGAGCAUCAUGUAAUGUAUAUGUAAUUUAUAAAUACACCUUAAUAAACAAGCAACAACCAUUUGGUUCAACAGAACAGUUUCAGCAGCCAGUAUUGUCCCCAGUUUUCUGCAACUGCAAAGUACUCAACUAGUAGAAAAGACAAAAAUUCUUAAGGAUUUCUGGCUACUCAACAUUUAGAUAACAGAGGCAAGCAGUCUGCAUAUUUCUGAUGACCACACUCAGCAAUCUUGAAAGAAGAUAGACCACUACAAAUUCAACCGUGCUGCGCUGACUAUAGACAAAAUGGUGAUGUUUGACCAGUACAAUAUCAAGUGCAUUCAUUUCUCAUCUUAUUCAUACCUUUGCAAUACUUCAGGCAAAGAGCGAAUGAAGAUUGCUCCAUGAGUAUAUAUUCGACUUCAGUGGUUGCUUCUAAUGCUCGAUUGUGACGUGUUCCUGCACCAGAUUAGUCUCUAUUCGAGCUUUAACACCAGUCUCAGUCUGGCUCGGUUCAACAACUGAUACAAUCUCACACUCUUGACCAUCUGCGUCAAAUUCAGUAGCUUGCUUGUGUUGGUUAUUUGAUUGAGAAGAAACUUCACUUGUUUCCUUGGGUAAAGCAUUCAGCAGAGAUGCAGCUUCAGUUGAUUCCUUGGAUGAGCUAGACUUGCGAAUGGAAAGCUUUCUUGUUUCAUUGGAUAAGUUGGUUUUCUCAGAUGGCAGCUUAGGAAGUGACUUCCUUUGAGGCUUCUUAACAAUGAGAGGAGAAUGCCCUUUGACAGGGUUACUUUGGGAUGCAUUUUCGUCCAAGCUUAACCUACCUGGGCGCAUGACACUCUCAUUGAUUCUUUCUUUGGUGGGCGAGCUCUUUCUCCUCCCAAGUUUGGGGGAUUUAGCUCUGGUUGGUGGAAUCUAGCAUCAUAAGAUAGUGACAGAAGGUGUUAAUUAAACACCGGGAUAACUUGUAAAUUUCAAAAUAAACAGGAAGAAUAAACUACUUUAGGAGGGGCUUCAGCUGUACAUAAACAAAACUAGCAAGUAAGAAAGCAAAUAUUAGAAAAUUUCUUUAGAUAAAACGCACAAGAGCAUGACAUACCAGCAUCCUAGCAUGACCAGCAAAGGUAAGGCAUCAAAUUCAGGUUAAGAUAGAUAUAUUUUACAAAUGUAUAGGGCAGCCUGGCACACUAAGCUCCCGUUAUGUGGGGGUCCAGACCUACACAGCCUUAUCCUGCAUUUCUACAAGAGGUUGUUUCCACAGCUCGAACCCGUGACCUCUUGAUCAUGUGGCAGAAACUUUACUAGUUACGCCAAGACUCCCCUUCAUUUUAGAUAUGUAUAGAUACAAAAUAUACAUGCACAUGAUAAAUAGGGGCAGAUGUAGACAUAUAUACCAGAAUUUCCCUUCAGAACAGAUAAUUUUUGCUCAACACUUUGGAGAGAUUGACACAAGAUAGAAGUAUUUCCGCAUACUAUCUAGUUUCCCAACUCCAUUUCUUUGCCAACUGAAUAGUGAAGUGCCUGAAGGGAGCUCCUAAAUCAUCUCAUACCACCUACUUAUAAAAGCUAGCUUUGACCAUAACUUGCCUGCUUGACCCAUUAACAUUUCCUGAUCUUAAGUAGAGUAGAUGGAGGAACUAUAAUUUAUGAUUGUUAUGGUGAUUAAGGACGGCAUGUAGUGUUUAUAGCACAAAAGAGAGUGCUUUCAAGAAAUAAUAAAUAAUGAUCCAAAGCUAAGAGAAAUUUUACCUAGUCUUAGAUUUACUGAAUCAGGAAUAUAUCUAGCCUAUGAUGAACUGUCAAGAACCACAUGUGUACUCUUCACAUUUCUAUCAUGCUUAACCACUUUGCAUCUCACUGAGUUUGCUUACAAUAAGAGUCACUAAUCCAGUAUUAAGAUAGCACCUUAUGAGGCUCUGUACAGGAUGCAUUGUAAAUCUCUCACUGCUGGUUUGGGCCAAGGGAGAGGAGGCUCUUGGGACCAAAUUGAGUACAUGAAUCCUUGAAAAAGGUUCAGUUCAUUAGGAAAGGACUAAAAACAGAUCAAAUGGGUAAAAGUCGUACACUGACAAAAGAAUUAGAGAGUUUGAUAUCAUGCUUGGUACAACGAGUGUUUGUGAAGGUAUCAUCCAUGAAGGGUAUCACGAUGUAAGAAAAGAAAGGAGAGAUAUGCCCGAGAUUCAUGGAUCCUAAGCAUCAUUGAGUGUGUGUGUAGGUGCAAUCGUGUACCUGUAGACACUACCGCUAGAAUUUACAACUUUACACCCAGUCUUUCAUGCAUCGCCUAUUAAGUGUAUACAUGAUCCCAUGCACAUCAUAUUAGCUGCCUUUGGCCCAGCUAAGUCAGCAAAGUAGCACUUAAAAUAUGAACAUCGUCCCUCUUACAAAACCAGACCUUAGUAGCCUUUGUCCCAACUGUCUGCAAACUAGCACUUAAAACAACGGUCCCAUCUGUGUCAGCAAAAGGUCAGCCCUUCAGUGCUAAAGAUCUAUCAGGUCCAACCAUCCAACAAUUUCACUAACAAAUAAGAGCCAUAACAAUUUCACAAUGUUGAGAUGGCACACUAACGAGAGAGGAUUGAUUCCAAGACUAACUUUUCCACAAUUUAACUUGCAUAUAGUGUCCCUUUUAAAGUGAACAGGUAAUGAAGUUGACCUUGUCUGAUACUUAUCCAGGAAAAAAGUAAAAGGUUGACCUGAUUUCCAGUAUCAUGUAUUUCUACACCGGACUCAUAUCCUUUUCUAUUGCUACUUAAGCACCAAAAUCACAUCUUACACACCUAUUCUAUCAAUUCAGGUACUGUAUCAUCAGAUUUUAUUCUUGUUGAUUUUUUCCUCAAAGAUCAGCCACAUCAAUUAUGCAUCAAAAAGUAGAGCUUCACAUAUAAUACUGGAACUUCACCAAGAGACAAGUUUAUUAUGCACUUCUUUUUCCCGAUCAUGCUAAGCACUUAAAAUAUCACAAGAAAUGAUGAUGAAAUUCCACUAGCUAACAAUAAAGUCAAUCUUCACAUAAAUGUAUCAAUUGCAAUGCUCCAUUUGUGGUAAAAAAAUUCAAGAAAAUGAACACCCAACUCUACAAAGCUAUAUCCAGUUUAACUAUUGAUCUAUGACUUUUUUAGGAGCUCAGUAGUACUGCAAUUUCACAUAAAUAUAUCAAGGGCGAUCGCCAAUAGUGGUUUAAAGUCAAGACACUGAACCUCCCAACUCUACCAAGCUAUAUCCAGUUUAACAAUUGUUAGCUAAGGGUAUCUUUUCAGAGCUCAGUAGUACUGCAAUUCCUUUCUUCAUAGUUCAUCAUAUUUAGACAGAACAUGCAGUUUCAGUGUCAAGUUGAAAGCAUUCAAAAGAUCAGCAAAAGGAUGAACUUGAACCUAACUCGUUUACUAUAUUUUACUAGAGCUUCAAAAAACAAAAACAAAAAAUAAACAGUGCUCCACAUUACAUUACCUGACACCAAAUAUAUUUUUAAAAAAUCAGGAUAAAGCAAAUGAUAUUUAUCAAUUCUGGUAACAAAAUCAUUUUGAGCCAAAGAACCACUAAAUAUUCAAUAUACUAUGUCUAAGAACAGCAAAAGGCAUUUCAUACCAUACAAGAUUGUAUUUCUCGGCAUUAUAACAUACAACACAGCAAAAAAUUACCUUCUUCAACUCCAUCUUUGGAGGUGCAGGUUCCUGAUAAAAGCUUGGCAUGGGUGUUGCUUUAAAUUUUAAGCUCUUCCUUAACAUUUUGAUCUCAGCUUCCUGUGUUUCCUGUUAGAGAAAUGAAAGAAAAUAAAAUGGGAAUGCUACAAGAUAACCCUACAACAAGAAAUUUUCUACACCAAGAGAUCCAGAAGCAGAAGUGUCACAACACCUUAGUCUUGGCUUGCAUAUUACUUUUCUCAACUUCCUUUGCCUGGGUUUUUUCUUCAAGCUUGGAGUAAAACUGUCCAAAUAACAAGACAAAUGUUCUUAGAUUGACUUCACGGUGCAAGACUAUCAAGCAUAUAUUAUAAGCUUCAGUGAUGCAAGCAGAGGGCUAACCUCUUUCCUUUUCUCAGCUCUUUCAUCACACUUGAAACUGAUAUUGUAGGUUGGAAGAGUACCUACUUUGCGAGUUUUGGCAUCUGAUGCAGCAGUAGGACUGCUAGGAAGUGAUUUAAGGAUAAACUGAAAGACUUUUAUUAUGCUAAUAAAAAUAAGAAUUCCAAAUCUAAGGAGUGAAGGGAAAAAAAAAGAUUUGACACAUUUAGGAUACGAAGAUGAUUCUGCACUUCCAUCAGCUUUAUUAGGGAGCACUUUCUUCAAAGGCAUCAGUUUUGUUUUUCCCUGCAGUAACGAAAUUAUAGUUCACAAACCACUGGGGAAAAGUUAUCAUUGAUUGUUUGGCACGUUUUGAAAGCAUUCUCAGUACAAUUAUCAUAGGACUCCUCCAAGUAAUAGGUAAGAAACUACAAGAGAAAUCGGACAUACUUAAGGCCUUCAGACUGAGCAGCACUCGGAGAAGCUGAUGCUGCUACUUCAGCAUGACCAGGUUGCUGCUAGAAGACAGCAGAAAAGGAAUAUGAUAUUGAUGACAAUAAACAGAUGCAUAUGAAGCUGCAAUAUUGAAAUUCAGAUUGCUGUUACUCUGGACUGCAGGUCAUAAAUUAGACCCAAGACAUUUACCUUAGCACGAUCAACAUUUAGAUGAGCCAAUGCAGGUUUUGAAUAAUACUCAACAGUUUUCUUGUCACUGAAUGAUUUACCCUUUGCAUCAAGGGAAGAUGGCUGCUUAGGACGCGGUUUGGAGGCAAGGGUACCAUUUGAUGCCUCUUUUCCAUCUUUGCUUUUCUUGGCUACGCCAUUUUUGGGGCCUGAAUUCUUAGCAUUCCUUGCCCUAGGUGGAGUCUUUUGCUCUUUACUGUUCGUUGCAUCAUCAGAUUCUUUUGCUUCAUGUUCCUGCAAGUAAAUAAGCAAUUACCUAAAUGUGGUGUUCAAAAUGUCCUUAGAAAGUAAAAACUGGAUAAACUCCCUUACCUCGGAACUGACACCAGCAUUGCUUUCUACAGUAAUUGUAGUUUCAUUACUGACCUCUUGGACAGAAGAUCCAACUGUUUCACUAUCAGUCAAUACGACAGUGCUCUGGAAACUCCUCUCUAGUUCUUCAUUACUGGGACUUGCAUGAGGCAUCCCAUUGGAUAUGCCAGCAACAACUUCUGGAAGUUGGUGGACUCCAUUUCCAAAGCCCAACCCAUUUCCAGAAACAGCUAUGUUAUUGACAACAUCCAUCAUGCUCUAUAAUGUUUCAAAAUUUGCAACCACAAUUCUACAUGUCAACCACACAAACAGAAAAUGCCUCAUGAGUCAUGAUUAAAACAGGUGUUUUUAAAGUAUAAUCAAACCCCAAUAGUAGGGUCUAAAGAAAUGCAAUCUCAUACUAAAAAACAACCAAUCCAGCAGAAAACAAAUUGUAUAUAGAGGAUUACCAAAGCAAUGCUACAACCACAAAAAGCUCAACUUUCAAAAAAUUCAUACUUUAGAACACUACAGACUCUCAUCUAAUACUUCAAUCACUUUGUUCUUCAAACAAACUAACAACACACAAAUCAAAACUCGGGCUUUGCAUCAAGUCAAUACCAUUUCUACUGAGCUGAGAAACAAGGUUAAAUCACCCUAAAAAUCAAACAUUUCCAUCAAUUACAAUCCAAUUCCAAUUAUGAUGUGGAUCUUGGGUAUCCAUUCCACUCUAUUCAAGUUCAUCUAUGCAAAGUCUCAGCAAAUGACCACAAACAAAGAACUCAAAAACCCAAAUCCAAAUACAGUACCAGAAGACGACAAAAUCAGUAGACCGACACUUACUCUACUUAGAUCUCCAACCGCAAUAAAAAGAUCCAAUCUUUUUCUCAAUCCAAGAUUCACCACAGCAAAUCCAAAACCCCAAAACAGCAAAACCCAUUUUCACAAAGCUAAAUACCCACAAGAUAUACAUAAUGUACCAAUAUUUUAUAAACACAAACCACAACAAAUGCAGUUGCUAGCUACUAAAUGCAAUUUACUUACCUAAACAACCAUAAAAAGAUCACAAGCCCAUGAAAUCCACAAGGGAUCUGAAAGAAUCUUGACACAGAAAGCCAAACACUUGCAAAACAAACAAGAAUCUUGAAAUCUUAGAAACAAUUUAUGAAAAUGCUUUAAAGAUGGUGUUUUCUUGAACUUGAAAGUGAAAAGUUGAGAACUUUGAAGAUGGGGUUUCUCUAUUUCACAAAAUUCUCAACUCAAAAAUAGAGAAGGGGGGGACAGUUUUGCUCAUGUGUGUGUGUUGGGGAUGGUUUUUUUUUUUUUUCCAAUUUAUUUUAGUAGUUGUAUGUGACAGAAGUAUUCAAAUCUAUACCAGGUCACUGUCUCAAAAGAAAAAAAAUCACCUUAAAUUUAAGGAUAGGGAGGAACAGACAUGUACCAGCCCCAUGAUCAUGCUUACCUGGUAAUAUCAGUGGCUCACAAUUGAAGAUUAUUCCUUUUUUUUAUAUAUUGGAUUUAAUUAAUUAAUUGAUUUUACCUUUUUUGUGGAAUUUAUAUUCCGUUCAUUUUAUUAUCCAAAAAAGACAGCUUUGGUUGAGACCAAAGUCACAAUUUUAACGAGGACAGCGGUAACCCCAAGUCGCACAAAUUUGAAAAAUUGAAGAAGCAAAUAGUUUUUUUUAUUUGAAAUUAUUUUGAAGUUGAAUUUCAAGUUUGAAAAGGUGCUUUAGACUUACUUUUCAAGUGAGUUUUUCUCAUGAAAAUUUUUAUUUUAUUUUAAGUUAAAUGUGUAUUUAACCAUAACUUAAUUUUUAAAUAGUAUUUUUCAUUUAAAUAAAUAUCAUAUUUUUCAUGUUCAAACUUCAAAAACCUAUUCAUGAUUUUCUCCUGUCACAAUUUUCAUGCUAAAUCGAUCCAAAAUAAUUCGUCAUAACCUUCAUUAAUAGAUGAGUUUGAACUCUUCUAUGUAAUAUUUAUUUUGUUGAGAUGACUCUUCGUUUAUGAUUGGAGAGAAAUCAGAAAUAAAAAAAAAAACUACAAAUAAAGGUUUUUCCACUGCGAAUCAAUGAGAAAUUUGUGUUAUAGAACCUGAUUUUUCCACGCAUUUUUUAUUAAAGCAUUUCACUGAGAAAAUGAAUGGUGAAAAACAGAUUCUCAUUGAAAUAGUGAACAGUUCUGUAAUUUUUCCAUAUGAAAAAUUACUAUUUUUUCUAUUCUCACUAAAAAAAUAAAUAUAUUUUUAGCACAAAUUUUGCAAUGAUUCUACAAAUGUUCAUCAAGUGCUAAUACUUAAAUUGCUGAUAGAUUAAUACUCUUGUUUUUGCUCAUAGACUUAUGUAUUGAUUAUUUCUGUGAGAACAAGUCCGAAAAAGUCUAUAGACUAGCAUGUACAUAAUUUACACUUUUUUGGUUGAAUAAAGACUUUUUUCAUUUAGCUAAGAAAAAAAAAACUUUCAUAUCCUAAAAUUACUUAUGUUUCAAAAAUCUUUUCCUAUUUUAUCCAUAUACUUUGUGUAUGAAGGUAUACCGGUUAACAUAAAAAGCUAUACAUAUAUAUAGUUGAUUUUGAAUAUGUUAUUAGUUCAAAAAUGUUUAUUUAUAUAGCUUAAAAAAUCCUACUAAUUAAUAUUUUACCCAUCAAAAACAGUAAUUUUUCAAUUUAAUCACAAAGUCAAAAUGAACGGGACAUAAGGAAAACAACAGCAUCAUAAUUUUGCACGGGAAAUCAAUUUCAAAAUAAUAUUUCUAAGAAAAGAAAGAUGCAAACAUCAAAGUCAACAAUUUUUUGACAAAAUUGAGUUAAUAUUCUUCACUCAAAUCCUAUAAAUAUGGCAAAAUUAGAAUAAAAGAUAUUCUUGAUAGGUAUUAUAAAGUUGUUUUACUUUUCUGAAUGAGUAAAUUUUAGGUUUAGCAAAUAUAAAAUUCAUAUUUGUAUGUUAUAGCUAUAGUUUGUAUACUUGCGGUCCAUAGCAAACUUUAUGUUUGCUAUGACUAUUAAUCUGUAUAUUUCGGUAUACAUAUACAUACAAAAUAUGUAUUUGGGUCUAUUUGUAUAUUUCGGUAUACAAAUGAGUCAUGCAUUUGUAUAUUUUGGUAUACAAAUGAGUCUUGCAUUUGUAUAUUUCGAUAUACAAAUGGGUCCUGCAUUUAUAUAUUUCGGUCUAUUUGUAUAUUUUGGUAUACAAAUGGGAUGGCAAAAAACAUGGAAUGUUUACUGCGAAUUACAAAUAAAAGAAACUAUGGCUAUAACAUUUAAUUUGAAUUAAUGGUUUAUUAUUUCAUACAAUUUUCCCUUUUUGAAAUGUGCAUUUUUAAUAGAUGAGUUUCCUAUAUAUAUAGAGAGAGAGAGUUUUUCUAUAUCUAUUAUUUUUUACUUUAAAAGGUUUCAAAAGUAAUUUCCGUAUCUUACUUAUCAAUUAUUUUUUAUAAAAUAAACUAAAUAAUGAGAGGAAUAAUGAAAGUGUGGCGGAUUUUUAAUUUUAUUUGUUAAAAGGGAUGGGGAUAUGGAAUAUUACCCCUCUAAUUAUUGAUCAUGAAAACCAAAAGUACGAAGUUUUUACGAAUAUCGUGAAAUGCAUAUUUGAUAAAAAGACUAAUAUAUAAAUAAAAUAUCAUAAAUUAUUAAAAUAUUUGACAAAAAGUUAAUCUAUCAAGUCUAAUUAAAAAAUGAUUUGUAAUGUGAAUUCAAUAUUACUAAAACAAAUGAAACUGAAAAUGUAACAUAUGUUAUAAAUUCAAAACAAAAUAUUUAACAUAAUACUCUUAUCACAAAUUUCAACAUAGCAUACAUAAAUAUGAUUUAUUUUUUUUAUUUUAAAAAAAAAAAAGCGUAACUCUAUAACCUUACUUAAGAAUAAAUCUAUUUUAAUUUAAAAAUUAAAAUACUAAUAAAAUUAUGCUAAUGAGAAUAUAAGCAUGGCAUAAAGAAAUAGAUAAUACGAAAAACUGCAUAGAAUCACGUGAAGUAAGGUUGAAAAUGAGAAGAAAAUGAAAUAUAAUAAUAUAAAAUAAACUUUUAGAAAUUUUUAGAAUAAUAAUAAAAUAAAAAAACUUAAAAUAAUAAUUAAAAAAAAAACAAAAAAAAAAUUAAAAAGUAAUCAGCUGGUAGUUACACGAUGUAAAUUUAGGGGUGUGCACUAUUCAGAUUAAACCGAAUAACCAAACUAAAUCAAACCGAAUUUUUAUUUGGAUUGGUUUUUUGGUUUUUCGGUUUUUCGGAUUAACAAAUUACUUUGUUUGAUUUUUUGGUUUGGUUUUGGAUUUUAAAAAAUAAAAACCGAAAAAAAUCGAAUUAUAUAUAUAUAAUGUUUAGGCUUAGAAUUAAGUUGGAGUUAACCACUUUUGUCCCUUUUUGGUUAUUGCCUUUCAUGAUGAUUUCGUUUAUAUUUUAUGUUUGAAUUACAUCUAUAAUAGGUAUACUUAUAAGUAUUGUGUUUUAAGUUUUACUUAUGAUUUAUAUUAGAAAGUAUAUUUAAGGGAUUAAAUAUUAUUACUUUGGUUAUAUAUGUUAUUAAUUAUUGACAUAACCGAAUAACCAAACCGAAAAAAGCCAAAUCGAAUAGAGGAAAACCAAACCAAAUCAAAUUUAUUUUGGAUCGGAUUGGGUUACACUUUUACAAAACCAAAAACCAAAAAUCCAAACCGAAUAGUGUCAAACCAAACCAAAAAACCGAAUGCACACCCCUAGAUGUAAUUACCAGCAAUUCACAACCUCUCUCUGUGAAUUGGAGAAUGUAAUUACCCCCUGUCAAUUACAUGCUAACCAAUAAUUACAUGUCCAACCAAACAGGACAGACAGUGUAAUUACACCCAAUUACACCAAAUUCAAUUACCAGGGUGGCUUUCCAAACAGGCCCAAGUGUUUAGUAUAAAUAUUAGGUGUAAAAAAAAUCUUACAUACCAAUUUUUGCUGAUUUGGAAUUACACGUGGCAAGAAAAUGCUAUGCUGGACAUAUUAGAUAGAUUCUUUCUUACACAUGUGACCUCAUUAUAGGAUAGUUGCUUAAAAUGGACGAAAACUUUUAGAUUAUUAUAGUGGCGUGGCCAUAUAAAUCAGGGCGGAGCUAGCAUAUCGAUUACAGAUUCGAUAAAACUCACUAUAGAUCAUGUCUUUAUAAUAUAAAAUUACUCAAGAUGUAUAAAUAAUUUCUCAAAGAUCUUUAUAAUUUUUUAUCUAAAAUUCAUAAAUUUAAAAUUUUAAGUCCAUCUCUCGCAAUAAUUUAGUCAUCAAAUGAGAAAUGGUCUUGGAGUCAAUGACACAAAGAGCAUGAACAAAGAAAAUAAGUUUAUUGAAGUGGCCCUAAUCUUUCAUAAACUUAUGAUUUAUUAUUAGACAAACUCAAUUAUAGAGGAAUUUUCCUAGUAGUGGCCACUUGGUAAAGCAAUUUUAACAUAGAUGGCAACUGUGAAUAUGAUGUUUGAUUAGGUUAAUCACACUUAAUCAAUUAGCUAUAGAAACUUACUUUAGCUUUUCCUUGAAAAUACAUAAGAGGAUUGUUCGCGAUAAAAAUAAUUACUCCUUUUUCAAUUUUAUCCUCGGUGGUAAUUAUUUUUGAAGAUUAUAAAACUCUAGUUAUGGAGUAGUGACACAUAAAUAAAGUAAAAAUCUAACUAAAAGAUGUUAUAUUUUAAAGACAUAAAUAAAAGUAAAAUAAAAGAACAUUUCUUAAUUAAUAUAUUUUUUAAAGUACAUAUAAGAAAAUAAAAUACGAUAAAUAAUUUAAAACGGAAGGAGCAACUUAUUUUCUGAGGCUGCAAACAUUCUUCAACACUCCACGUGCGGCAUGUUCCCAGAGUUGAGUAUGAAAAUAAUUUUGGGUCAAUCGAUCAUUAAAUUAAUUAAUGUGCCAAACCUAUAUCCUUCGUUUCAAGUGCAAAAUUCAAAUACACGUUCCAUUAUUAUUAUUAUUAGGGGGUAUUGCUCUUUAACUAUAGAUCAGAUCAAAUAGAAAGAAACUUAAUUCCGCGGUGGGUGGGGCUGAUGCAAUUAAGGUUAAUAUGGUGUUUAUUGAAGUUGAUGAGCUUGUAGUACAAGAUUAGAAACAACGGACACUGCAUGAUGUAUCUUAAAUAUUUCUUUAAUUCUAUUUUUAACGACGAUGGACAUGAGACUCUAUUAAAAACAAAAGUUUUAUCACAAAUUAGUGAAAAUUUUGUAUUAAUCAUUUUUUAUCGAAUUAGCUCGUUGGGAAAAUAUAUGGUAAGAAAUUGAAUUCUCACUGAAAAUACUGAAAAACUUUCUAUUUUUUUAAUAUGAAAAUAGUGAUAUUCUUUUUCUUACCAAUUCAAUCAAACAUAUUUGUAGAAACAGCCAAUGAACAUUUUUUGAUGGAAAGUUUUAGUGAAAAAAUAAUGAUUUUGUAGUGUGGGUGAGGACAAUGGUAGUUAGGGUUUGUGCGAGAGAGAAUAUAUAUAUAAAAAAAAAGAGAAGAUCUCCAAAAUUCCUAAUAUGGUUUGUAAAUAAAUAAUUUUAGUUAUGAUAAAUAUAAGAGCAAAUUUUAGGAAUAACAAACAUAAAAAUCAUAGUACUGAUUUAUAACUAUAGUUUUGCUAUUUUGCUAUGGAGCAUCUGAUUUGUAUAAAUCACAGACAUCUGAUUUGUAUAAAAUCGCAGCGAUUGUAUAUGUAUAUCGACUAGAUAAUUGUAUAUAUGUAACUACUAUGUAUAUGUAUCAAUGAUUAUGUUUGUAUAUCUACAAAAAAUUUGAAUAUGUAUACAAUUGAAUCGAGUUAAAACAUUUGUAUUUGUAUAUCAAAUAUAUAUCUCUCUCUCACGCGCGCUUUAUACAAACACAAAUUAUACAUUGUAUUUUGUAUAAUUUGUGUUUGUAUAAAGCGAGAAAGAGAGAAAGGCAAAAGAGAACUGGGCAGGGGAAGAUUUGUAUUUGUAUAAUUAUAAGUGGAUAGGACGAAGAGAUAUGUAUUUGUAUAUACAGUUCUCUCUCGCUUUAUACAAACACAAACACAAACACAACUUAUACAUUUGUGUUUGUAUAAAGUGAGAGGCGAGCAAGAGAGUGGCGAGCGAGAUUCAGGGGAGAGAGGUAAAUGACAAAAAGUUUGUUGCGAACUGGAAUUAAAUGAAACUGUAGCUAUAUCAUUUAUUUUGAAUUAAUACUUUUCUAUAAUGCACAAUUUUUCCUAAAUAUAAAUUAUAUAUGUAAAAAUCCCUUUUAUGUGAUGAGUUAUUAAUAUGCACCUAGUAGUUUUGCAUUACUAUGUAUGGUAAUAUUGGGCUGUGUUGCCAAGGAACUUGGCCAACCAGGCCCAGCAAAAAAAAGGCCCUGACCCAGAAUGAGUUACCAGGCCAGGUCAGCUUGUCGUGGCAUGGGUUCGUGGGGAUUUAGUUAUUAUCGUAUAUUAAUUUAGUGAACUUAGUUAUUAUCGUAAAUUAACUUAAAAUCAUUGUAAAAACUCAUAAAUUUUAAAUCAUGGAUAUGAAUCAUACCGUUGAAAAAAAAGAGAAGAAAAAAGAGCAUGCAUUUGCUCACUAGUCACUACGCAUUAAUGUAUAAUUAACGUGAAGAAAAUUUUCGCUAGUGAGUACUCACUCCCAUAUUAUUUGUCCACCUAUUAUAAAUAAUUGUCCCAAAUCAAACCAAGAUAAUAAAUAUAAAAUUAGUACAAUAUAAGAUAGUAAAAUUACAAUGUCAAACUCAUGUAACUAAUUUUUUUUCUUCAUAUCUUUUAAUUAAUUACCUUCAACAUUCUCUACUAAUUAAACUAUAUAAUAUAAUUAGUACUCUUAAGAAAUAUGGGAUGAUUUUCUUGUACUUCUUCCACUCUUCCAAUUCCUUAGUAUCUGUAUUCUUUGAACUGUCUCCAUGAAUGUUCUGCAAAAUUAAACCAUUAUAUAUCCUCUGAAUAAAUACUGGAAACAACAAUUUCUAAUUUAUAUUUUACUUGUCAUAGAUCAAAUAUAAAUAAUGGUGUAGCAACCGAGCACUCCUGGAUUUGAAGUUUAUAAAUUUUACACAAUUUCAAGUUAAUAUAUACAAUAAUAAUCAGGUUUACAAUCAAAUAUUCAUCUAGAGAUGUUAGUAAAUUUUUGAAUACAUAUCUAAAGUAAGAGUAAAAGUUACUGAAUUUACGUGAAUCACAAUAGGAUAGAAGAGGUAAGGUACAUACUCCCAAGGUACAUCUCCAGCAAGCAUCCAAUCUCCUUCUUUGUCUUGGUACAAUAGUGUAAAGCGUCCAUCAUUUUCAUCACAACUCUCAUGUGCUGCAUAUAAAUUAACCAAACUUAUUAAUUCAAUUCUUAAUUAAUUCCUUAUUGUUAUUUUGUGAAAAAAAGAAAAGAGGACAUGCUAUUUUAAUUUUCAUAUUUUUAUAUAAUAAUAGUAGGAGUGAAUUAAUUACUUACAUUUAUGAAACAUUUGGAGCAAGGUGUUAGUAAGGAUUUGGUAAGAAUUAUAUAACAUUAGAUCAAUUUUUCUUCCAAUGGCUACUCCUUCCAUUUUAACCUUCACAUACAUGGAAUUUCUAAUUCCAAUAUUGUGUCUAUGAUUAAUAUUAUUAUUAUUUUUAUUCCAUCCAACUUCAUGAUUAAUCCCAUGAAUAAGUUUUUUUCUCCAUGAUUUAAUUGGUGGCCACCCCACUACUCCAUUUUCUUCCUUGAAUUCCCUGCAUCACAAAUUCAUAUUUAUUAAUUAGUAAUAAUUAAUAUAUUCUAAGAUCAGCUAAAAAAAAUGAUUUUUAAUACACUUAAGGAAAUUAAACUAAAAGAAUAACAAUAUUGUCAGACAAGAAAUUAUAAGUCAAAGCCAUUAAUUAGGAUUUCUAACUUAUGAUUCUGGACUUAUUUUGACUUAAUAACAAAGUGUUUAAAGUAUUUUUUUAAUCUUACCCAAAUGGCCAAACAAUAUACCAGUGUUUAAAAUCUGUUUUGACUUAAAAACACUAAAAAAUAAGUCAAUUCAAAUAAACUCCAAGUUUCCAAGUACAUAUACAAGUAUGUUCAAGUAGUUUAUGAUAUGAGAGAUCAAUGAGGAGCAGUGGUGCAGUCAUAAUUUUCAGUAAGAGAGUUUAAAAUAUGAUAAAGUAAAUAAAUAAUUUGAAAGAAGUUAAAAGUGAUUCAACAUUUUACUAUAAAAUAGUUUAAUCAUGUAUAAAAUAAAAUAAAUUUCCUUUAAAGGACUUCGAAUAAAACCUUAGACCCUAUCUGACUCCGCAUCCAACGAAGAGUUAGUAAAGGUAUGAAUGAAACUACAUAAACAUGUAGUAAUAAUAUAUUUACAACAAAUAGCAGAUAAUUUACAUUACACACAUUUUGUAACAUAAACUUACUGAUUAUAACAAGCUUCAAAAUUUCUCCUUUUUUGAUAACCAUCAUCAUUAUCAUCUUCUUCUUCAUUUGGUUGGCCAUUCCAUAUAAACAAAGGUAAUGUUUUACCUUCAACUUUGUUGCUACCAUAAUCAUCAUUAUUAAUCUUCUUCAUUUCUGAGAAGUUGUCAUCAAAUGUGUCAAUAUUAAUGUUGUCAUUUAGGUAGGAAGAUUUGAUAGGAUUAACAAAAUGGGAAUUAGGAAGUGCAAGACCAAGACCAAGCUCAAGUUCCAUCUCAUAAAUGAUAUCACAAAAAUACCUAUAGAUUUUAUAAAAGAAUUGGUAUAAUUUGUUGUAGAUGUUUAUUUAUUUAUAUAUAAGUAAAUAUUAAUGUGGUAGAAAAAGGAAAGAGAGGAGAAGGAGAAUUGUCUGGUGAGAAAAAGAAAAAGGGAGAGAGCAUUGAAGUUGGGUCGGCCAAAAGAGUAGCAAACAUAUCGACACCUCACAAAAGCAUGUUUUUGGACCAUCUCUCCCACACACUUCUAUACUAGUGGCAUAGUUACCGUUCGUGUAUAUAUCACAAAUUAUAGUAAAUUACGAUUAAGAAGAUAAAUAUUUAAGUUAAGGUGCAAAUAUCUUGCUUUUUCUAAGGAUAUUUGAGUCUACUGCAAUAUAAUUUACACCGAUUCAACAGUAGAACUCUUGACUUAUCUCCUUCAUGAUACAACAAUAUAAUUCAACAAUGUCGUAUAACUCAAAAACUUCAAAUUACAUUGGAAUGUAUUCCUUCAAUAUAAUAUUUCGUUCUUUUCAGUAGUGAAUAAGUUGGAGAUUUAGAAUAUUUUUCGUUUUCUCCACUCUUUCUUUCAAAUACUAAUCUCACUACACAUUACAAUACUUUCCCACACUAAUUCUCAUAAUUCUAAAGAUAUUUCAUUUAGACACUCGAAUUAACACAUUAACUUUUAAUAAAAUGUUUCAAUUAGAGAUUUACUAUAACAAAUAAAGAAUUUAACGACAAUAAUAUAAUUGUCUCCAUAUUAUAUUUAACGGCAAUAAUAAAUAUGAGUGUUUAUAAUAACACUUUAUAUAAAUAUUGCUAAAAGUUUUAGCGAUUCUGGAUGCAAUGAUAUUGACUCAAUUGUCGUUGAUAGGAAAAUCUAUUGCCAUAAAAUGUCUCUUUUGUUGUAGUGACUUUAGAUUCAGUUUUGGAAUUUUUUGUGUGUAUAUUCUUAUUCGUUUAUUAAAUAGUUAAAUUAAUCAUACACAUCAAUCUUAAAAAUAUUUUUAUUUUACAUUAUCCAUAUAUAUUAGUUAGUUUAACUCUUGAAUUAGCAAUUAAUAAAGUGUUCAUUGAUUUUUCCUUUUGUUUUCAACUUUUUCAUAUAUAAAGUAGAGCUUAAUUAAUUCUCUUGUGAUCCGUCCGACAAUGCAACUGAUGGUACAAUCUCUUGUCUUUUACUUUUGUUACCUCCUAAAAAUUACAAAUGGAAUUUAUGAUAAACACUUUUUUUUCCCUUAUUAAAUUAGGUCUUGAACUUUAUUUUACUAGUCAUAACUCAAAAAUUAGUUUAACGAAAAAAAAAGAUUGUCCAAAUUAUAUACCACCUAGAGUUUUCGUCUUUCACCGAUCAUAUAGGAUUCAUUCUAUUCAUCAUCUUUCUCUCCAAGCUCAGAUACAAAUAUUCUUUAUCAGAGGUUCCACUAUCUGAUCUAGUGCGUGCAAAUACAUUCAUGAAGUACUCCUAUAUUUCCCCCGAUAACUAUUCGAGACCCUAAAGAUCCGCAUCGAAUUAGGUCUAACUCCAAUAACGUAAAGAAGUUUAAUUUCUUAAAUGAACUCAAUUUCAUUCACAUUGUCCCACAUUUCCUUCUUUUCUAUGAAUACUUGUUUGACCUAUUGAUCCAGCAUGCAGUCCUUUGUUUACCAAGAAAAAGUAAAAGAUACUAUAUAAUUUUCCAUUAACAAUCAAUGGUAAAUUGAACAUUAUAAUAAAGUAGAACAAGAAUAUAUAUCUUCUCCCUUUAAUUUCCUAGUUGUUGGAAAAUGACAUAUCAUUACUAAUUAAAGGAUUAAUUGCUAAUUCAAGAUUUAAUGCGUGUGAACGAAACUUAAACGUGUUUUAUCAAAUAAAGUAUUAAAGCAAAAUAUUUUUUUUGUCUGGCAUGACAAAUGUUUGGACAAAUUUAGGUCAUGACUUGUUUAUGUCCCCAUUAAAAUAUGAGUAAAUUUUCCUUUAAUUAAUUUUGAACCACAAAAGGCGGUUAAUACUUCAUAACGAAUUACUGCUAAUUAACUUAAGAAUUUACAGAAAUAAAUAUUUAAAGAACAAUUAUAUGGAAUUUCUUAAUUAAUUAAUCGGUAGUCUGAAGAUAAUAAUAAAUUUAUCGUUUAUAACGUGUUAAAAUUAAAAUAUAUACGAAUUUGUAAAAAAUAAAAAAUAAAAAAAUUAGUAUAACCUAAGGAUAAAAUUAAGACCAGUCUGAAUACGAUCUUUCUGGUUACACUCAUUAGAAGUAACAAUUAUUAAUCGGGGCGGAGCUAGUGAUAUAGUUACAAGUGAAUUUAAUAAUUUUUAUUUAGAUUAUAUAUAUGUGUUAAAUAAUCCAUUAAAUGUAUAUGAUGUAUUUAAUUGGCUUGGAAUCCAGUCCAUUGAUUUGAUUAUUAUUACAAUAUUAAUUUAAGAUUGUUAUAAGAUAAAUCGACGUAAAAUUAAAUUAACUUUUUGAAUUUGCCUCUGAUUAUUACUAUCAUUUGUCUAAAUAACUAAGAUUAGAUUUGGACAUGUGCUACAUGUCUGAGAUGAAAGUUCAAGAAAUUAAAGUCAUGAUGCAACCACUCUCAUCAAUUGAAAAAUCUCCAAAAAAAAAAUCAUGAGAAAAUUGGCAAAAUAUUCUAUUGGUUUUGGUUGGUUAGUUUGGAAGCAUGCUACUUGAUAUUUCUAAAUUGGAUUAAAGGUUGAUUCCUUAUGUCGGAUGUUUGUUUUCUCAUUCAGUAUUCAAUAUUCAUAUUGAAACUCGACUGAUUUAAAUUCGCAUCGUGUAGGAUUCAUUUGGGAGAAUGACAAUUAUUUGUUGAACAUAUUUCCACAUGAAAUUAUAGGAUAUGCUUUUUUUUUUUUGGGGUGGGGGUGGGGGGUGGAAUCUGUAGCUAGAUGGACAAAACAACCAACAAAGAUAGACAAUGGUUUGGUGAGUGUUUUGGGGUCAAUUGGUUUCCAAGAAGUUUACACAGUUCUUGAAUAGUCCCAUGGUGGUUUGUAUCAUUCAAUGUAUACAAUUCCUAAUUGGUACUUUGUUAUUGGUGGAACAUAUUUUUUUUUUUUCUCAACGAUAACAAUUACUCUUUUCGUUUCAAUUUGUUCUUUUAUAAUUUAAUAAAUUACACAAAAUCUAAGAAAGUAAACAAUUUACUUUCUUAGAUUUAGUCGUUCUGAAUCUCUUAUACUAAAGAUAUGUAUAAUAUAUCAGUUUUUUUUUAAUUUUUUAUCGUUUUAAAUAUGUCAUAAGAAAUGUUAUGUUAAAAUUAACGAGUUAUCAAAUUAUGAUCGUGGUAUGUAAUGAUCAUGUGGAUCUAAUAUACCAAACAAAAUGGAGCUACCUUAGUGGGCAUGAAUAUAUCAUAUGAUGAAAGUCAUGGAUCACAUUGUUGUCUAAUUAGGACUUGUUUUUUCCCAAAAGAAGUCAUAUGUCUCCCAAGACUUAACAUUUUGGGGUCAGUUUUGAUUACUGAUGUCUGAAUUUUUUCUAUCAAAAAGUAUGCUAAGAGAACAAUUAAAUAUUGAAAUCAGCUUUCUUUUAAUUUUUAAAAAACUUAAAAAGGUCAUAGAAAAAAUUAUACUUCAGAAGAACGUAAAAACACCAUUAAUUUAGAGCGUAAGACUAGUAGACAGUUUACUAUGGACGAUAUCAUAAUUAAAGGGGUCGUUUGGUUUGAAUACUAGUUAUGUUGGGAUUAGUUAUGCUGGGAUAAGUUUACUGGGAUAAGUUAUGCUGAGAUUAGUUUUUAUUGUUUGUUUGGUUUGUCAUAUUCAAACUAAUAUUCAUUGUAUAAUUUUUUGAGAAUAAGUUGUUUGUUUACAAAAAUACCCUCACCUUAUAUAGUUUUUUUUUUUUUUUUUUACAUUUUCUUUGCAAUCUUUAGUUAUUCAUUCAUAAAAAUAAAAUUUCCAUCUUAUUUAGCUUAAAUAUUUUUGUGUGUGCAUUUCCAUGAUUGUGCCAUAUGUUUUAAAAUUUAAAUGCUCAUCUUAUUUAACUUAAAAAUUAAACUUUCGUCUUAUUUAGCUUAAAAAUAAAUGUUCAUCUUAUUUAGCUUAAAAAUAAAUUUUUCAUCUUAUUUAGCUUAAAAAUAAAACUUUCAUCUUAUUUAGUUUAAAAAUAAAACUUUCAUCUUAUUUAGCUUAAAAAUAAAACUUUUGUUUUUUAAGUUUAUUAAAGUAAAAGAAAAUUUAUUAUUAAAGUUAUCUACAUUUUAAUUAUAAAUAAAAUAUAAUUUUUUAAGUGAGUAAUAAACUAUUUUAAUGAAAAAUAUGUAAUUUAGUAGUGGAGUGAACAUUUUAAGAGAAAUCAAAAUAAUAAAUAAAACAUAAAUAAUUACGCAAAUAAAUUUAACUUAUAAUAUAUUCAUAAAUAAAAAUUGUAUUUAUAAAAUGUAAAUUUUUAAUAGAAAAAUGUAUUUAUCAUAAAAACAACGAAUACUUAAGGUUGUGAAUGAUAUUAUAAAUGUUGUUAAAAAUUAUGUUAAUAUGUAUGAAUGUAAAAGUGGUGUAUAAAAGAGAGUUUAAGGGGGGUAUUUUUGUUAAUUUAUACACUUUAUCCCAUGAUAACUUAUCCUGGGAUUACUAUAUCACCCCCAGUGAGGGAUAACUUAACCCAUGACUAAUUGUUAAUCCUGAGAUAAGUUAUCCCUACCUUUGCAACCAAACAAUGAAUUAAAUGCCACUAAAAAAUUAUUCCAGGAUUAAUUCAUCUUAUCCAUCACACCAAACGACCCCAAAGGGUCAUAUAAAGAGUCCCUAAAUCCCCAUUCUACGAAUGAUGUGUCAUGUGUGGGACUCAACACAUUAAACUUUGAUUCAUUUUCUGAUAUUAAUCAUAAUUAAAUGCAACAAAUCAUACAAAAAAAAGACAAAGUACACGUAUAUGAACAAUAAAUUGUUCAUGAAUGAUUACAAGUAGAACAAAAUUAUGUUGUCUCGAUGAAAUGUAUAAUUUCUAGCUAAGUGGACCACUUCAUUUCAAAGUGUCAAUUGGGCAUGCACAAGACAAAAUUUAAAGAAAUUCAAUGUAUAUAAUAUAUAUACAUAAUUUCUUUUUACCCUACAUGGUAUAAUAUUCUGACAAAGGUGGUUCCAUUACUGUCAAGAUGAUCGAUCGUCUCUAAGUAAUUUGUUUUCCUCAACUUCAAUUUUGAUGUUUCAAUUUAUAUGAAUUUUUUCGAUUGGAUACAAAUUUAUGAUCAGUUUUAAUUUUUAAAUAUGCCAAAAUAUUUAUGUUAUAAAGAUAAAUAAAAAUGAAAUUAAAUAACUUUCAAAUUUAAGAAAAAACAUUCUUGUUAAAUGCACUAAAAAGGAAAUAUGAUUAUGUUAGAAGUGUAGCAUUCUUGUCUAGGAAAAAUGUACAUGUUCAAUAAAGCAAAGAUGAAAAGGGAUAAGAGUUUGAAAAAUAUCUUAACUUUUGCCGAAAUUGCUGUUACGAUACCAAACUUUAAUGAGGACCUAUUACCCCCAAACUAUUUAAUACCAUAUUUUAAACAUAUAUAUUUGUCCACAUGGACAUAAAAAAUAAUGCAUAAUUAUAAAUAGUAAUAUGUCCACGUGGGCACAUAUAUACCUUUAAAAUACACCAUUAAAUAGUUCAGGGGGUAAAAAAUACACUAUUAAAUAGUUCAGGGAUAAUAGGUCCUCCAUAAAGUUUGGUAUCGUAACAACAAUUUCGGCCAAAAUUGAAGUAUUUUUCAGACUCUUAUCCCUAAAAAGAAUAUCAACAACACAUGAUUUACUUUAUUCUUCCUUUGAACAAAAAAAAGAGAAAAACUUUAUUCCUCCUAAUUGAUUUAUAGGAGUCUAUUGGGUACUAGAGGAGGAGCUUCCUUUGAAAAGCAAAUACAUAGUGCAUUGUACAUUGUAAAGAAGAAAGAGAAGUUCCUAACACAAAAAAAUGUGUUUAUUACUCUACAAACACAUUCUUCUUCUUUUCUAUUUUCUUUUUUUGUUAUUUUCUAGAUUUGCGUCGUGUAGCAUAAAAUUUAUUUAUACCUAGGAAUUGAAUUUAUGGUCUUUAAGAAUCUUAUACAUUUUAGGAAAAAUUACCUAAAUACAUAUAAGAUUUUUCCAUAAUCUCUAAAAUUUUCAAUCAUUUACAAAAAUUUCAAAAAUUCCCUCUCGAAUUUAUCACUCUCCUCUCGCUGAUACAUUCCUAUCCCCUCUCAGAUACAUUCCUCACAUAUGUAUCUAGAUGUCUGCUGAUGUAUCCGGAAGUCCAGUGAUGUAUUCAGAUGUCCUAUCCCCUCUAUGAUACAUCCCUCCCCUCUCGGAUACAUCCCUCACUUAUGUAUCCGGAUGUCCAGUGAUGUAUCAGGAAGUCCAAUAAUGUAUCCGAAAUCCAUAAAUUUUAAAUUUUUUUUAUAAUUUGAAAAAGAAUAGAAAAAUAAUGUAAUUAAUUCAUAACACUCGUUUUAUGACAAGGAUUAAUGUUCUUCAAUCUUAUUUGGUACCAAAAGCACUCACGAAAAGGAUUAAAAUCGAAGCGGGCCUAGUAGAAUCACGGGUUCUCGGUGGCCCAACUUUGUUAUUCCAUCUGUGGCGCGUGAUAGGGACGUUUAAUUCCAUUUAGGAACAACAAUUCUCCCUCCCAGUCAUAAACGCACCAAAUAAGUAGGCACAAAGUCACCUGUUGUUACAGACCGAUAAAUAUUUCUUCAUUCUUAGGAUUCGUUUGGCCAUAGAUUUCUCAAGUAAAAUUUAGGGGAAAAAUUGACAAAUAGUGUUUGUCCAUAUAGUUUGUCAUUAUUUGAUAAAUAUUUUUGGCAAAUAACCCAAAUUCCCAAAUACUAGAAAAAACUAGUAUUUGGGUCAAAUCUCAUUAUUUGGGAGCUUUAAAAAAUUCAAAUUCUAUAUCAAACUUUUAUCUUUUACAAAAACAUAGUAGUUGUUUAUGUUGUAUUACAUAAGUAAUUUUUUACGUGAACACCAAACCAGUGAUGAAAUAUUCAGUGAAUAUGAAAGUGAUGAUAUGGUUGUUGAUGAAAAUGACGAAUAAUUGGCUCAGGGUAAUAAAGUCAUGUGCUCCGUCUACUUCACGAUGUAUGGAAUGAUGCUUGUUGCACUACCACAUUGCUCUAGUGUCAUGGACACUACUUGUUAUUUACUGCAACAAAGGUCCAAUUGACUUGUUGCGGAAGUCACGAAUCUUGUUACGUCGACGUUUCUAUUUUGCUAUGUAAUACAAUGGUUAGUUUUGAUAGUUUUUAAAACUUAUGGGUAUAAAUCAAAUUUAUUAAAAAUAUGAAAUACAUUUCCCAAAUAUUAUGCCAAACACAUGGUGAAAUUUCACCCAAAUAAUAUUUGUCAAAAAUAUUUGGGAAUCUGUGGCCAAACGCUAGCUUAAUAGCUUUCGAAUUUAAAUUAUUUGGAUAAAGAGUUGCCUUUGUUAGAGAGUGCUUUAAUAUCAAUGUGAGAUUUUCAGACGCAAAUUUAAAUUUGUCGGACUCCAAUAUAAAUAUCGGACACUGAAUUGAAAAAAAAAGUAGGCAGAAAGUGAUAGUAGAAAGCAAUUGAAUUGAAUUCUUUAUGUUCCACUUAGAAUUUCCUCCAACAUAAGCCAACCACAACCUUAAAUGUGCACCAAAGAAUCAAUCAAUCACCAAAAGAUAUAUAUAAUAAUACUACUAAAACAAUAACUAUAUUUUAAUAUUAGAAAACUUAAGGAGAUCAAAUUAGAGAUCUUUAAAAUGGUGAUGUUAUGAAUCAAGUAUAGUUUUAGUUUACUACUUAUAAAUGGUGUACUAGUUAUGGAAGUUUUAAAGAGGGAUGAAGAAGAUGUUAGUCCUAGAUUUUCAUUUCAAAAGAAUGGAUCAUCAUUGUCUUGUGUAGUACCACCAUUUUUGCUCAGCCCACAAAAGAGCUUGUACUACAACAAGUUGCCUGAGGAGCCAUUCAAUCUCACAAUACUCAAAUUGGAUGGCUCUUCCUUUGGUAUUUUUUCUUAUUUUCCUCCUCCUGUUGAAUUGUCUUAUGAAAUACUGAAAUUGAUCUCCAUCUUUAUGUGUCUGUAUAGACGACGAAUUCAGGAUUUAGAGUCGGUGAGUUCAAAUAGUACUGAAAUUCAUGUGUGUAUGCCCUUAGAAAUGGAUCCAGAAUUCAGAUAUUAGUAUUGUUUAUUUGUGUGUAUUUUUUUAAUUAUUCGGGCUAGGGAAUGGUAUGGGAUUACAAGGUGGGGAAUGAACCCUCACUGAGGUGAAAGUUCAAGUAGCCAACUAACUGACUUACUAAUAAUCCCCCAUAUAUGUGUGUAUAUACAUAUACAAUCUUGGAGCCAAGAAUUUGGCGAAGGGUGUGCAAAUUUUCUUCUCAGUUGUGUUAAGGGGGUGCUAAAUUAAAUAUACACUCAUAAUAGCUAACAUUUAACCUCUGUAUACCACAUAAUUUUCAAGAGUGUGCCCCAAACCAUCCUUCACCUAAGAUGGCUCCGCCCAUGUACUUAUAUGUAUAUGAUUUUUUAAAUAUUUUGAUAUGUAUAUAUGGUUUGAGUCCAAGGUAGUAGGACAUUAGGUGCUAUCACACUUAUUCUAUACUACCUUGUUUGAUCCACAUGUGGUUCGCUAGAAUUGAUGUAUCCAGGGGCGGAGCUAGCUUGGAGGAAGGGGAUUCAUUUGAAAUCCCUUCACUAUUAAGCAAAUAGGGUGAAAGGUAGUCCUUUUUUGUGUUGUUUUGUUGUAUAUUAGUUUUCAAACGCCCUUGACAUGAGAAUUCUUUUAGUGGAGUGGCAAAGGGGGUUCAAAAAUUGCUUUACUUAGUAAGCUUCAUCAUUGGUCAUGUAUCAUAUGUUUUUUCAAAUGGUCAGAUCAAUUGAAUUUUGUGUUGUGCAGAUAUUAAAGUUGCAAGGAAUGGGACAGUGGCGGAGCUGAAACAGGCGGUGGAAUCUGUCUUCAGUAAUUUUCCGAAGACAGGAACAGGCAAGGUUUCAUGGUAUGUGCUUUGCAAAAAGGAACUUUCAAACUAAACUUCUUCUGUUGUAGAUUGCUUGAGACUUAUACUUCGAUUUCUGUCUGACAUAAUUUGCAUAGCUGUUUCACUGUAUAUUACCUUAGCUAGUUCUUUCAAAUUCACUAGUUUUAUUGUGACAAUAUUACAGGUCACAUGUAUGGGGACAUUUUUGCUUGAGCUACGAUGGGCGGAAGCUACUUACUGAUAGUGAUUUGUUAGGAACCUAUCGGAUCAAGGAUGGCGAUAAGGUUUCUUCUCAUUCAUCAUAUUUCCACUCUAGGAAAGUUCUCUUUUAUCUAAUCUUUAUAUGAUUUGCUUAUGUUACUUGUUGCCAAAUGCAUUGGAAUAUGCAAUUUGUAAAAGGAGAUGUAUAGGCUUUGAAGAAAAUUGAUUUUUUUUAGCCAAAUCAGAAUCUUGACAUCUGCAGUUGAAUGUGUGUGGUUCAAUAUAUUCCCGUUUGUUUGGAAAUUACUAAGCUCCUUCGAGUACAUCUUCGUUAGCAAAUAAUUCUGAAUGCACUAUAAAGAGGUGAAAAUGGUCUGAAGAGAGACCUGUAAAAAGCAGGUUCAAUUACUAAGGUCUAAGGCUCUAAGGAGAUUCUGGUUCAAAUGAAUUCUCCCAACCGAAAAGAAACAGAUUUAUCAUCAAAAUAUUUUAGAUAAUCGUGAAAAUGUAAGAUUGCUCACGUAGACAGAUUUCACACGGUGUUUGCAUAUAGCCAGAGGCUGUGGUUUCUUUCACUAGACUGAUUGUUUAUCCGAUUUUGUCUAUAUUCUGGCUUAUGAGAUCUCGUUCAGCAGUUUCUUUCCACCCUGGAGUUAAGAAUUUUUCAGAUCAUUGCUAAUGAUUAUGUGCUUUUUUCGUUAUAAAGCCCAAGUGGAAUUUUUUAACAUUUCCUUAACGCGCUAAAGCUUGAUGUUUUUGCAUUUGCAGCUCAGUUUUAUGAGGCAUGUCUCCAUCAGUUACAAUCUGGUCAAAACGCGAUCAGAGAGAGAGGACCCUAGUAAGAAUGAACCUAGCAUGUAAGAUAUGUAUAUUGUUUUCAUCCUUAUUGUUGGUUCAUGUGUUCUAAUAUUGCACUUCACCCAUGCCUGUUAUGGUAUUGUUUGCUAUCGAUGCUUGAUUCUUCCAUAGAUUGCAAACACUAGGCCUAAGUUGCUGGAGACACUUGGUCAUAAAAGUUGAAUCUUGUUCAUCUAGGUGUUUCCAUAUAUAGUUUCUAAUACUAGAAUAUUGUCAUUUAUAUGUUCCAUUUAUAGUUUCUAGGGAAAAUGCAUAAGUACCCCCAGCCUAUGCCCGAAAUCUCAGAGACACACCUAACCUUUACUAAGGUCCUAUUACCCCCCCGAACUGAAUUUAUCUAUAAUAUUCUACCCCUUUUCGGCCUACGUGGCACUAUCCUUGAAAAAAUUGUCAACGUGUGCUGGGCCCACAAGAUAGUGCCACGUAGGCCAAAAAGGGGUAGAAUAUUACAUAUAAAAUAAGUUCGGGGGGGUAAUAGGACCUUAGUAAAGGUUAGGUGUGUCUCUGGGAUUUCGGGCAUAGGUUGGGGGGUACUUAUGCAUUUUCCCUAGUUUCUAUGUUGAUUUCUUGCCAGUACUGCUCACCACACUUUGUGUGAUCAUGCAGAGUUUAUGCAUAUUUUUAUGAAAUGUUCACUAUAUGUAUGAAUUUGUCUUGCAUAGUGGCAUUGUAAGGGCACAUAGAUAACAUCAUCUUUGAAAAUGCAUUUUUGCAGAUCAAAAGGCUGUGAAAGCAGACAACGGAGAGGUGAACGAGAGGGUAAUCACCAUCAAGAUGACUUAUCAGAGAACCAAAGCAAUAAUCAUGACAACAACAAGGGUGUUGUAGCUAAUUGUGAAUCCAGGUUGGUUCAUUUGUUUAGAGGGUGGCUCCCAUACAAAUUGACAAGCCCAGAGAGGAGAAUGAAACAGAAGAGCAGCACAUCGAGAUCACACGAUGGUCUACUUAUGGAGUUCUAACAGUGUUGUGCUAUGAUUAGUACUUUUGAAAGAGAGGAAUCCAGCAACUGUUUGCAAAUGUCAAAGAGAGUUGGAGAGUGAAAUGGAAAACAUCCACCUCUAGUUAAAGUUCUAAACUUUUGACUUUAUAAAAGAAGAUCAGUUGCCUGCCUAUGCAUCUGUUCCAUUUCCUCAUUUGCAUAUCAAAAUUAAUUGUGUACAUGAAUUUGCUUGUGUAGAACAAAAAUAUCUCUUUGGUCAUUAGAAACAGCAAAUCCACUAUCAUCAGACUUGAACUUCUGCAUUCUGGUUUGGGAUCUCCAUGAGUAUUCAAAAAGAGUUUGUGUUUUAUACACUGACGGUAUAAAAAGCUACUUACACAAUUCAGUCACUCAUGAACUAAUUAUAGGUACAUACUACAAGGAUUAAAUGGUAAUCUAGUAGAAAUGUUAACUAAUGGUAUGCUCCUCAGACUUGUUCAAAAAUGUCAUUGUGAUCCUUCAAAAAAGUUGUGCAUUUUUGGAGGAUUUUAGAAGAAUCCGAGAAACUUCAUACUAGCCUAUCAUCAUAGGUUAAAACUACACUAAUAGAGUAAACAUUAUUUACACUAUUAGCAUGUUUACUUGAACCGAGACAAGAAAUUAGGCAUAUGAAUUAACUUGCGGACCACAAUUUUCAAACUUUUUAGUCACUCUACCAACUAAUAACAAGUGUAAUUUUUUUUUUUCUGGUUUCCCAUCUCAUUAUAUCCGUCUUGGAGCCCUAUUAAUUUGGAUUCGGCCCAUUCAGAUGUAGCACCCGUUACCAAAAACUAUUAACCUUAUCCACUGCACCACGACAUUUGGAGAUACUAAAAUUGUGUAACUAAUUAAACAAGGAUAUGACUUAGAAAAAUAUACUCAGAGAGAAAAAGAAUGACCUCACGUGAGUCGCACACCCUUAGAGCUCCAAUUCUCAGCCUCAACUUAUUGUGUGGCAUAGAUUGAGAUAGCCUUUCUAAGAUCUUCCUUGUUUCCUUUUGUUAAAAAAAAAAUAAUCAAGAUUCGAACCUCUCAAAAAGAUUUUGUUUUUUUACAACUGCAAAAUCCCAAGUUGCAGAAGAGUAGAAAAAGAAGAAGAAGCCAUGGCCAACAUGAUGAUGAGCUCCUCCAAAGUCUUAAUCACUUCUUCAUCUUCCACCAUCCCUCCAUCUCCAAGAUUCAAACUUUCCCUCACCCAAAUCCCUUUUCCAAAACUACCCCUCCCCAAAUCACCCAAAUCCCUUGAAACCCUCUCAAUCCCAUCAACUCUCAAGUCCAUUUCAGUCAUUCUUGCAAGCUCAUUGGCCAUGGCACCACCUUCACUAGCAGAAGAAAUUGAAAAAGCUUCCCUUUUUGAUUUCAACUUGACACUCCCAAUCAUGAUGGCUGAAUUCCUGUUUCUCAUGUUUGCUUUAGACAAGAUUUACUUCAGCCCAUUAGGGAAAUUCAUGGAUGAAAGAGAUUCUGCCAUUAAGGAGAAAUUGAGCAGUGUGAAGGACACCUCUGCUGAAGUGAAGCAACUGGAAGACCAGGCUGCUGCAAUUAUGAAGGCUGCAAGGGCUGAGAUAUCAGCAGCAUUGAACAAGAUGAAGAAAGAGACUCAGCAAGAAGUAGAACAGAAGAUUGCAGAAGGAAGGAAGAAAGUUGAGGCUGAAUUGCAAGAAGCUUUGGCUAGCUUAGAGAGUCAAAAGGAGGAGACAAUCAAGAGUCUUGAUUCUCAGAUUGCUGCUCUUAGUGAUGAGAUUGUCAAGAAAGUCCUUCCUGUCAGUAACUAAUUCUGAAAAGUUGUAAUGUUUUUUUUUCUUGGGAUUGGUAAGAGUUAACAGCUUGUUUGGAUGGAUGGUUGUUACAUGUAAUAUUGUACUGUGUUGUUAGUUUAAAUACAAUGUUUAUUUUGAUUGUUACUUAAUUUUAUUAUAUCAUAUCAUUAAAACCAUUGUUAUGUAACCACAAAAAGUCUCAUUUUAUAUAAUGAGAUUUGGUGUGAUCACGUUGUUAUGUUGGUUUUUUUUUUUUGUUGUUGUUGUGAUGCUCUUCCCCCUCUCUCUCUCUCUCUCUCUCCUUCUCUGGUAUUCUCUCAUAUUUUUCAGCCUUCUAGCUGCUGCAUUUUUUAGUAAACUGUAAACCCAACAUUUACAUCCAUAUAUGCAUUAUGCAAACAUAUUUAUAAUUUUACCAUUUUUUGUUCUUUGCACUGAAAAGAACUGAUUGUCAAAUAGUCUUUGUCUGCAGAUAUGGACUCCCAGCUGAUAGAUUAUGGAUUAGUGUUUACGAAGAUGAUGAUGAAACUUUUGCACUAUGGCAUGAUGAGGUACAACACUGAAAGAUAUGUCUGAUGCAUUAUAUCUUUAGUGAAGUAAUAAGGUCAAUCCUUCUACAAUUAACUAGUUAUGCACUUAUGCAUGGUAGGGAUCUGGUAAAUAAAUGCUGGAGCGCAACCUUCCAUUUAGACUGAACAGAGGUGUAUUAUGGUCAUUCAAAGAUACCUAGAGAACUUCAUUGCUUUCCAAGUGAAGUGAAGUGAAGUGUAUCAAACAGCCAAAUACUGUAUUUUAAGAUCCUGAAAUAUGUAUACUGUACAGUUUCAAGAAAUAUGUAUACUGUGUUCAAACUUAGAUGAGUUUCAAGGCUAAAACAAUGUCUCUCCAUUAUGGCUUAGUCAGUGGGGAUAACUCAAAUAAUGACUUAGAAGAACACAUUUAUUUUGAUAAGUGAGAAGAGCACAUUUUAUUAUUAAGCUACCUCAGUUUAAGUCAAAGGAACCUCAUUUACGUUGGAGUGUGCUCUGUCAAAUAUGAGAAGUCUAUUGCAACCAAGUUUUAAGAAUGACUGUAUUUAGUUCACAUUUUGAUCUUGAAUGGAAUAUCUUUUGACGUUCUCGGUCUGUGUGCUUAUGCUCCCCAAGUGGGCUUGGACGAGGAGGCCAAAAAGCGCUUUUAUGAGGAUUUGGAUGAGGUAGUUAGAGGUAUACCGAAUACCGAGAAGAUUGUCAUUGGUGGAGAUUUUAAUGGCCACAUCGGGGCAACUGCUAGUGGAUUUGAUGAUGUUCAUGGAGGCUUUGGUUUUGGGGAGAGAAAUGGAGGUGGAACUUCGCUUCUAGACUUUGCUAAGGCUUUUGAGUUGGUGAUUGCUAACUCAUGCUUUCCGAAGAAGGAGAACCACUUGGUUACCUUUCGUAGCCCGGUAGCUAAGACCCAGAUAGAUUACUUUCUCCUUAGGAGGGGUGAUAGAGGUCUAUUUAAGGACUGCAAGGUUAUCCCAAGUGAAAACCUCACUAUCCAACACAAGCUUUUGGUGUUGGACUUGAAGAUUAAGAGGGAUAGGAGGAAGAAGAUGUUAUCUGACCGACCGAGGAUUAAAUGGGGUGGGUUGACCCCUGCCCUUUCUCGGGAGAUGGGUGAGGAGCUGAUGGGGAUGGGGGCAUGGAGUGGUAGCGGGGAUGCGGACAACAUGUGGAAUAAAGCAGCUAGUUGCAUUAGGGAAGUUGCUUCUAAGAUGCUAGGGGUGUCUAGGGGUAAAUUCGGAGGACAUAAAGGAGAUUGGUGGUGGAAUGGGGAAGUCCAAGGUAAAGUGGAAGCGAAGAAGGCUGCAUACACAAAAUUGGCGGAGUGCGUAGACGAGGAAGAGAAGCGGACGCUUAAGAAAGCCUAUAAGACGACAAAGACAGAAGCUAAGUUAGCUGUUUCGAAGGCGAAGACGGCAGCUUUCGAACGCUUGUAUGUCGAGUUGGGGGACAAAGGUGGGGAUAAGAAGUUGUAUAGGCUCGCAAAAGCAAGAGAGAGGAAGGCGCGCGACUUGGACCAAGUGAAGUGUAUCAAAGAUGAGGAAGGCAAAAUACUGGUGGAAGAGACCUCUAUCAAGCAAAGAUGGCGAAGCUACUUUCACAAACUUUUAAAUGAAAAAGGGGAAGCGGACAUUGUGUUGGGUGAUUUGGCACACUCUGAAAGACUUCGGGAUUUUGGAUACUGUAGGUGCGUUACGCCCGAGGAGGUUAUACGGGCUAUUAGUAGGAUGAGUAGGGGAAGAGCGACCGGACCCGAUGAGAUUCCGGUAGAAUUUUGGAAGAACAUGGACAAGGCAGGCAUAGAGUGGUUAACUGGGCUGUUUAAUGUUAUUUUUAAGACAGCGAAAAUGCCUGAUGAAUGGAGGUGGAGUACAAUGGUUCCGUUGUAUAAAAACAAGGGUGAUAUCCAAAACUGUAACAACUACAGGGGUAUUAAAUUGUUGAGUCAUACUAUGAAGAUUUGGGAGAGAGUGGUGGAGAUGAGAGUGAGAAAAGGGGUGUCCAUCUCCGAGAACCAGUUUGGAUUCAUGCCGGGACGUUCGACUACCGAAGCCAUUCAUCUUAUGCGUAGACUGGUAGAAAAGUAUAGAGAAAGGAAGAGAGACCUUCACAUGGUGUUCAUUGACCUUGAAAAGGCCUAUGACAAAGUACCGAGGAAUGUCCUCUGGAGGUGCUUGGAGUCUAAAGGAGUCCCGAUGAUUUAUAUUAGGGCGAUAAAGGACAUGUACGGUGGAGCCAAGACUCGGGUUAGAACAGUUGGAGGAGACUCAGAACAUUUCCCAGUUGAGAUGGGGCUGCACCAGGGAUCAGUCCUAAGCCCUUUCCUAUUUGCUUUGGUGAUGGACGAGUUAACGCGGUCUAUUCAGGAGGAGGUCCCAUGGUGUAUGUUAUUUGCGGAUGACAUAGUACUGAUUGAUGAGACGCGGGACAGAGUUAAUGCGCGGUUGGAGGUGUGGAGACAAACGCUGGAGUCCAAAGGGUUCAGGUUGAGUAGGACCAAAACAGAAUAUUUGGGGUGCAAAUUCAGUGAUGUGGUAGAUGAGACAGAUGUGGAAGUGAGACUUGCCGCACAAGUCAUUCCUAAGAAGGAAAGUUUUAAGUAUCUUGGGGCUGUAAUCCAAGGGAGUGGNNNNNNNNNNNNNNNNNNNNNNNNNNNNNNNNNNNNNNNNNNNNNNNNNNNNNNNNNNNNNNNNNNNNNNNNNNNNNNNNNNNNNNNNNNNNNNNNNNNNNNNNNNNNNNNNNNNNNNNNNNNNNNNNNNNNNNNNNNNNNNNNNNNNNNNNNNNNNNNNNNNNNNNNNNNNNNNNNNNNNNNNNNNNNNNNNNNNNNNNNNNNNNNNNNNNNNNNNNNNNNNNNNNNNNNNNNNNNNNNNNNNNNNNNNNNNNNNNNNNNNNNNNNNNNNNNNNNNNNNNNNNNNNNNNNNNNNNNNNNNNNNNNNNNNNNNNNNNNNNNNNNNNNNNNNNNNNNNNNNNNNNNNNNNNNNNNNNNNNNNNNNNNNNNNNNNNNNNNNNNNNNNNNNNNNNNNNNNNNNNNNNNNNNNNNNNNNNNNNNNNNNNNNNNNNNNNNNNNNNNNNNNNNNNNNNNNNNNNNNNNNNNNNNNNNNNNNNNNNNNNNNNNNNNNNNNNNNNNNNNNNNNNNNNNNNNNNNNNNNNNNNNNNNNNNNNNNNNNNNNNNNNNNNNNNNNNNNNNNNNNNNNNNNNNNNNNNNNNNGUUGUUGUUGUUGUUGUUGUUGUUGUGAUGCUCUUGCAGACAUAUAUGGGGACAUUGUUGCUUGGGCUAUGAUGGGCAGAAGCUACUUACUGCUAUUAAUUUGUUAGGAACCUAUUGGAUCAAGGAUGGUGAUAAGGUUUCUUCUCAUUUCAUCGUAUUUUCUCGGAAAGUUUUCUUUUAUCUAAUCUUUAUAUGGUUUGCUUAUGUUGCUUGUUGCUAAUGCACUGAAAUAUGCAAUCUGUAAAAGGAGAUUAUUAGAUUAGGAACCACAUUCCAAUAAUUUCCAGUCCAUCUUAUGUCCAGGCUUUGAAGAAACUUGAUUUUUUGUUGAGAUGAAUCAGGAUAUGUCAUUUUGCAGUUGAAUGUGUGUGGACUUGCACGGAUGGAGCUUAUAAGUCAGAAGUUUGGCUGUAAUUGUUCUGAUUUGCAUUUUUAUUGUUUCGAUGUAGGAGUCUUUGAUUGGAAACUAAAAAGCGGUGCAUAUGGUCUGAAGAGAGACAUGUAAAAGCAGGUUCAAUUACUAAGGCUCCAGAGAAUUCUGGUUCAUAUGAUUCUCCCAAACCAAAAGGCAACAGAUUAUCACUUACAAGUAAAGAGCUGAAUAUGGGCCAAAGCAGAGAACUCUGUUUAUUAUAAGUUAGAACUUUCUUUUGGAGAUUUUAGAUGGAUUAUCUUCCCACCUAAUGAGAUAUGUACAUUUUCCUCUAUGAAGCACAAGUGAAACUGUUUGAACAUUUCCUUGGCUCGCUAAUUCUUGAUGUUUUUGCAUGUGCAGCUCACUUUUAUGAUGCAUGUCUCCAUUAGUUACAAUCUGGUCAAAACGUGAUCAGAGAGAGGACCCUCAUGAAAAUGAAGCCAAGCAUGUAAGUUCUGUAUACUGGCUUUGUCAUUAUUGUUGGUUCAUCUGUUCUAAUAUUGCCCUUCACCCUAUUGCUUUGCUAUCAAUGCUUGAUUCUUCCAUAGAAUGCAAACACUCGGCCUUAGUUGUUGGACUUUUGGUUAUAAAAGUAGGAUCUUGUUCAUCUAGGUGUUCCCAUUUAUAGUUUCUAUACUGGAACAUUGACAUAUAUAUGUUCCAUUUAUAGUUUCUAUGCCGAUAUUUUCCCAAUACUGCUCAUCAUCAUACCGAUAUAAACCUGGCUAUGUUACUUUGUAUGAUCAUGCAGAAGAAUUGGAAGAAUGGACGUAGUGUUGCAGAGUUUAAUGCAUAUAUUUAUGAAAUGUUUAACUAUAUGUAUGGAUUUGUCUUGCAUAGAGGCACUGUAACUUGUAAGAGCAGUUUAGGUAAUAUCCUCUUUGUAAAUGCAUUUUUGCAGACCCAAAAGCUGUGGAAGCAGACAUCAGAGAGGUGAACGGGAGGGUAAUCACCAUCAAGAUGAUUUAUUAAAGAACCAUCAAACUAGUUUUAAUGACAACAGGUGUGUUGUAGCUAAUUGUGAAUCCAGGUUGGUUCCUUUGCUUAGAGGGUGGUUCCCAUACAAGUUAGCAAACCCAGAGAGCAGAAUAAAACAGAAGAGCAGUGCAUCGCGAUCACACGAAUGGAAAGCAUUCACCUCUAGUUGAUAGAAAAUUAGUAAUUUGUAUCAUCUGUUCCAUUUCCUCAUUUGCAGAUGACAGUCAAUUAGUUGUGCAACAUGAUUUUACUUGGGGUUUGGCAUAAAAAAAAAGUCUUGGGAUUGUGUAAAAGAGCACCCCCACUCCCCAAUUUCCUCUCCAUGUACACUAGUUUCUAGGUUCUGUGUAAUCAAAUCUUGAUUUUCAUCAUUUUGCCUAAGAACACAAAUGCACUAAUAUCUCUUGGUCAUUACCUCAUUGGUUAGGGCAAAUCCAUCUAUCAUCACACUUAACUUCUGCAAUCUGGUUUGGGAUCUCCAUGGUUAUUAAGAAAAAGUUUAACUUCUUAUGCAUUGACGGUGUAAAAAAAUUACUCAUACCAUCAGGUUAAUCAGGAGGUAAGGUAACUACAUGUAAAUCAUACGAUAAGCAUUAGUUGAUAAUCAAAUAAAAACAUUAACUAACCUAUCAUCAAAGGUUAAACUACACUGAUAGCAUAAAAAAUCUUUACUCUAUUUGGUGUAAUAACUUAAAUCCAAGUUACAAAAUUGGUAUAUGAAUUAACUUGUGCAUCACAAUUCACAAACUUUCAGUCACUCCUUAGUGAAUAAAACCAAAAGGCUACUUACAACUAAUUACAAUUUUGUGCAUAUCAAAUGCCAAUGCCUUUGGUUUAUUAGAAUUACUUAAAUAAAUACUCACAGAAAAAGAAAAAAAAAGACCAGUUGCACACCCAUCUCAGCCUCAUAAUAUUGUGUGGGCAUAGAUUGAGAUAGCCUUUCUAAGACUUUCCUUCUUCCCUUCUAAAACCACCAAAUAAAAAAUCUAGAAUCAAACCCUCUAAAAAAUCCCAAGUUCUAAGAAGCCAUGGCCAACAUGAUGAUGAGCUCCUCCAAAGCCUUAAUCACUUCUUCAUCCUCCACCAUUCCUCCAUCUCCAAGAUUCAAACUUUCCCUCACCCAAAUCCCUUUUCCAAAACUACCCCUCCCAAAAUCACCCAAAACCCUUGAAACCCUCUCAAUCCCAUCAACUCUCAAGUCCAUUUCAGUCAUUCUUGCAAGCUCAUUGGCCAUGGCACCACCUUCACUAGCAGAAGAAAUUGAAAAAGCUUCCCUUUUUGACUUCAACCUGACACUCCCCAUCAUGAUGGCUGAAUUCCUCUUUCUCAUGUUUGCUUUAGACAAGAUUUACUUCAGCCCAUUAGGGAAAUUCAUGGAUGAAAGAGAUUCUUCCAUUAAGGAGAAACUUAGCAGUGUAAAGGACACAUCUGCUGAAGUGAAGCAACUGGAAGACCAAGCUGCUGCAAUUAUGAAGGCUGCAAGGGCUGAGAUAUCAGCAGCAUUGAACAAGAUGAAGAAAGAGACUCAGCAAGAAGUAGAACAGAAGAUUGCAGAAGGAAGGAAGAAAGUUGAGGCUGAAUUGCAAGAAGCUUUGGCUAGCUUAGAGAGUCAAAAGGAGGAGACAAUCAAGAGUCUUGAUUCUCAGAUUGCUGCUCUUAGUGAUGAGAUUGUCAAGAAAGUUCUUCCUGCCACUAACUAAUUCUGAAAAUUUGUGUAGUAAAUAAGAUUACUGUUUGAUCAAAGAUAUAUAAAUGUGAAAAUAUUUGGUUAUUUUAUAUGAUGAAUCUCAUGUGUACAUCUUGGUUUUUGGUAAUAUGAGGAUUCUAAGUGAUUUUUCAGGAUUUUGAUUAUGAAGUUAAAAGAAAAAUUGAAACUUGAAAGCCAGAGAUCAACUUCUCUCUCUAUACUGAUUUGGUCCUAGAGCUGAGGUCUAUCGGAAACAGUGUCUCUACCAUUGUCCAAAGAAUAUUGAGACAAACACAAAUCAACUUGUUUGGGAGGAGUGAUAGUAGUUGUAAUUCAUCAAGGUAAUUGUAAGUCGUCAGUUAUGAUUUGAGAUUGCCCUUUAUUUUUUUUACGACAAGUUUUGGUUAACAGCAAGAACAUAUCCACGAAUGGAGUCUAGAGAGGGUAGGAUAUAAUUGCACGGGCAAUUGUGAGACAGUACUAAUUGGUCAAUGGCGCUUAAUUAGGUAACGGCAGAAUUGUCAACCCACAUAUCCAAUUGUUCAAUUUUUUAACUACCAGGCGUAAACUAUUACCACAUCACUUACAGAUACAGUGAAGAUAGCAGCAAGAUGUUUACAUUCAACACCACCUUAGAUAAGCAAGGUUAAAAAAAAAAUAAAAAAAAAUUUAAAGUUAACCAUGCUUUUUUUUUUUUUUUGCUUUUCCAACAGAUGUAAUUCAAGACCAUAGAGAACCCAACAGCUGAAUGCAGUAUAAGGUUGGGAAACUUCAAUCAUCAGGAAAAGAGAAGACAUAGAAAUAAUCAGUUCUGCUGCUCCUCGUUAUCCCCGUUUUGCUCUGCUUCUGCAGCCAUUAACUCAUCAAACUUCUCAGUCUUGCCCAGCACUAUUUCAAUCUGCACCAAGCGAAGAUGAUAAAUAAAACAAAAAACCUUAAUUUGAUAAAAAAGACGACACCACAGAUUAGACAAGGAUGACUGUUCGGAGAAGGAAUUUUUUAAAAAGAUGGAUUGUGAACCACAUUUAACACCCACUAGCUCACAUGAAUUCAACAAUGUUUUAAAGAGUAUAUGGGGGAAGAAGAACAUGAAUGCUGUAAAAGCAGCAUCUAUAUGGCAUAACAUAAUACUGGCUAGAUUCAUUUUUCCAUCUCUGCUGUUGCCAAAAGAAAAUGAUUUUAUUCUGUUCAACGGCUUUUGAAAACAGGAACAACAACAAUGGGAAAAACCACAAGAUAAUGCACUAAAAGGGAAUGUACCUUCAACAGGCAUGGGGGUGUAAAACUAACUUCUAAUCAAGUCUAAGAUAACCAAAUGGGACUAGACAAUUUUGGUGAAUAAGGAUGUAAACCAUCACUGACCCUACCAUCUACUCUACAGCUUUUCUAAAAUUCUGCACACAUCCGAACUCAAACAGAGAAAAAUAAGCACACACACACAUCAACUACCUCUUGAACACUUAACUUAAUCUACUGUUCUUCAGAAAGAAUCUUGAGUCCCAAGCUAACAUUUACCAUAGAACCUCUACAGAAUGAGUUCCAUUACUAUCAAACCACCAAAACUGAAGCAGACUAAUGCAUCAAUUGACCGACUCAUAAUGCUUUUGGAAUUUACCUUUGCUUUUGGUAUCGGUCGGGCUCCUGGGUCAUCCCUCAUGUCCACAGUGAGUGUCCUGAUCUCUGCAGCAAGUGUACCCUCAAAGUUAGAUGACAAGAAAGAUUAUAAAAGGGAUGGGAGUGGAGUACGAGAAGCCUCACUCUUCUCAACAGCAAAUCCAUUGUUCUUGAGAAUUUCGGCAAUAGUAACCACUGUUGAAAUAGCUGUAUACAUGUGGAAAAGGUUGUUAAUCCUUUAGAACUAUAUGGCAAGCCAAUUCAAUUAUUAAUGAGUUUGCAACAUAACACAAAAGAAUAAGUCCACAAAAAAAUGAAAAGAACAUCAAACUGUACUGUGCCACCACUAUAUAUUUCUUUGUACUUAAUAAGGUUUACCGGCAAGCCAAAGGAACCACUGCAAACAUAUUCUCAAGCACAUUCUGCUUUAUAAGUAAAAGAUCCCUGGGAAGCCGCAGGAAUAAGGUUGUGAUGAAUCAGAAUUCAUCCCAGAUACGCUCAACUAUUUUCUAUGGUUGAAAACCAUGGUCGUUUUUAUGCCAGAAGUUGGUUCAAAAUUGUUUCACUAGGAUAUCACAUCGCUGGUAAAGUGAGCAACACUGUAUUAUACUCUUCUUAUACACAAGCGGUUGCAAUAGUAAACAACGCAUUCUUGAGAUGGCAAAAAACAUCACACAUUGCAAAGAUAGGAAUUCACCAAUAAUCAAGAAAAAGCCAAUUGGGAAAAGAAAGUGAGAGUGCCUCCAUAACCCAAGCUGUAACACGGUGUAUUCUUGAUGUGAAAAGACAGCAUAAACAGAAUGUAGAAGAAGACCCAUAUGGCAUUAUAAGCAAGGGGAAACCACAAACUAGUACUCAAGAUUGAGGGUCAAGAAGAUUUACCCAUCCCAAGAGCAGAGAGUUCCACUUCAUUGUACUGUUGCAUGUACCUCUGCAAGAAACAUACCAAAUAUCUCAGGAUACGAACUCAGACCAAUAGCAACAGUUAUAGAUUCUGGUGUAAGACCAUGAAAACUAAAUAUAGAUAGUCACAUGGCUAACACUUUUCAAGAUUUUCUAAUGCAUGUCUUGCAUCCAGAAAAAGCUUCAAACAAUAUACUAUAAGUCUGACGCCAACCCUAUAAUUGUCACUAAAUAUACCUAAAGUAUUUUUUGAUAAAGAAUACCUAUGAACUGCCUCAAUUGCAGGUCCAAAUUGUUAAUUUGGAUCCUACAUAAACUCACAUCACUUCGAUUGCAAUUGCUCUAGACUUUGUGAAGUCCUGUCUGAACUGCUACUGCAGACAAUCAGAACUUGAACUAUAUUCUAAUCUUAUGUUUCUCAAACAAAAAUAUUUGUUCUUUUUAACUCUCCGUAUUACAUAUAGAAUUUUUUCUUCAAUCACCCAACUCAUCAAUUAAUUAUUGUAAUACAGAUUAGCAAUUUUCCUUCAAUCAAAAACUAAUAAAAUCCCAGAAAACUAGACCUCAGCCAACAUAAGCAAUCAAACACAUUAAAUUAACAAAGACCCUGGUUACUGUGCAUUAACUGAUAGCAUUUUGCAGGUCUCCCACUAUGAGCCAUGUCAUUUUUGAAAAUGUAAUUAAUUGUUCCCGUUCAUGAUAGUGGAAACAGUAUGCAGUCCUUAUUUUUACCUUCUCUCACAUAACUUGUCAGCAAACAACUCAACAACCGUAAAAGAAUCUAUCAUUGUUCAACAAGCAUAGACCCUCAUAACCAUUAAACGGAAACAAUUUUUGCAAAUCUAGCUGUCUUCAUAAAAACAUCCAACAAAAGAAUCCUCCAUAACCAAUUUACAGACAAAAAAGUAUAAUCAUUUUAAAACUACGUCCAAUUACCCAAAACUUCGCCAAUGGAUACACAGACUACAAUGCAUGGCUUUAUAACAUGGAAAAACAAGUAAACAAAUUUAAAUAACUAAUAGCUUAAAAUACAGUAAUAGUGUAAAAACUCCUUAUGAUUUCAAUGUAUAUAUGAUUUAAAUGGAAAAAAAAAGCACCUUUGAGAGAUUAACAUAAAAGAAGAGUGAUUUCUUGGUGUUUGAAACUUGGAUUCUGUUCUUCUUUUGUGUCUCUGAGACACUCAUCUUGUUCACUCCCUCUGUGAUUCCUUCCAUUGAUUUGCUGAUUUCUUCAGGUAAACCCUAAUUUCGCAGCCUCCUUUCCCUUUGAAGAGAGGAUCCGUAUAAUUUGGGGAAAAUUAUACCAAAACAGUAACAGAUAAACCCUCGAGUCAUAUCCAGGUGGUUUUAAGGGUUAGGCCCCUUAAACGACAACGUUUUAUGACUCUUUGAUUUUUUAUCUCUCAAAUGUACCCCUCAUCUUUCGAAAAUUAUACUUUACACCAUGAUUGGUUUUGAGGCGUAGUUAUAUUUGCUUUAGUUAUGAGAGGAAUUGUUAACCUCGGAAUUUAUUAUUAUGUCACUGGUUGUUGGUUGGGGUUUAAAUAUUUUAUGUUCAUUCAAAUCUAUUAGCAUAAUGUUUCCAAUUAAACCGUAGUUAUUAUUAUUAUUCCAUCCAUUUAAUAAAGAAUCAUUAUUAAUUUGAUAUAUUAAAGUGAUAAAAAUUACUUUGAUCCAAAGUCAUCAUGUUGGUAUAUAUGUUGGAGCAAACUGAACAGUGAAGUCAAAAUUUAGGACGAUUUAAAAGAAAUUUUGAGUUGAUCGGAAUUGAAAUUCGUAUAAGCAUAGAUUUAGAAAUAUACAUCUCUAUAUACAUGAUUAUAUAUAUAUGAUUAUUUUUUAAAUUAUUUUUUUUAUCAUCUGUACAAUUACGUAAGAAAUCCUCUUAUAUAUAAGGUGAAACAACAAAUAUUUGUGCGUUAGCUUGGCUUUCCUCAUACAGAAAUGUCUUUCCUUGAGAAUGAGAAUAAAUGAUGAAGUACAAAUUUUAAUAACAAUGCUAAUUUAUUUGUAAGUCUUUUUCUGUAAAGUAAUACUUUGGAUAUGUCAAAAUUACCCAAGGUAUUAUUAAUGGGAUCCCAUUAUUAAUUGAAGUAGAAACCCCAACUUUCAUCAUUCUCAAAUAAUUUCUUCUUAAAAUUACCUUUAUUUAUCUGCUUAACCCCAAAUUGCUAGAAAUAAAUAUAUUGUAAUAAUUAUAGCAACAAUCUUAAACCUAGUAACCAUAACAAAAGGCCAUUCUUGACAAAUAUUCCCCUCAUUUUCCUCUUCUCCUUAUUUUGAAAGUAUAUUUAUUUAGGGGUGCUUGGUUCUUCGAUUUGAUUUUAUCAAAUUUUAAUUUGAUUCUUUGAUUUUCGGUUUUGAAAAAGUAUGCACCGAAUCGAAUUAGUUCAAUUUGGUUUUAUUUAUUUCAGUAUUAUUUAAAAUAAUUUUUUUAGUGCGAAUGAAAAAUAAAAUAAGGACCAAAUCAAAGUGUAAGAUACUAAAAAAAUUAAAACAUUUAAAUGUGAUCAUUGAUCAACAACACCUAUCCCUACUCCCAACUCUCAUUAUAUUUACAAAGUUACAACUUUCGAUUCUCUUAACGAUCAACAAUUCAACAUUCAACAACUAUCAAUUCAAAUCCAAAUACAGUGAUCUAUAACGUCAUAUGAUAUGCUGAAAGAGAAUAAAAUGGGGAAGAAAAAGAUACAAUCUUUAAUCUUGGGUUUCAAGAUGAAAAUGAAUGAUAAUUAUACGAGAAGAUCGAGAUGAAAGAAGACUUAACAUACUUUUUUUUAAAUAAUUAAAAUAUAUUAUAGAAGUUUGGUUCUUUGGGUUAAAAUAUUAAUAUAUUAUAAUAUAUUUUCUAAAAAAAAAAUUUAUCAAAUAUUUUUUAAAAGUUUUCUUUGCAAGGAUUAUUUUAAAAAAAUAUAUAAUAAAAGUUUGACACAAUAAGUAUUCAUGAUGAAAAUAUUAAUUUCAAGUGAAUAUAUACAAAAUAUUGAUUGAAUAAUUGAAAGAAAUACAAUUAAGUAAUUACUGGAAUCAGUUAAAUUACUUUGUAUUUUUGACAACGAUUAAAUUACAUUGAACUUGCAAAAUUUUGCACUAUAAAUGAAUAAAACUUAACUUUUUGUUGAAUAUACACAUCUAUUGGAGUGGAUGUUAGGGUAAAAGUUAACCAGCAUAUUAUAAUUAUUUUACAAAAAUUUAAGUUUUAUGCCUUGAAAAUAUAUCUCUGACAGAAGCUAUUCACCAUUUUUCAAAGUUACCUACAAUUUCUAUUAAUUAUUAUUAUUGAGAGUUACUUGAAAUUGCAUUUUCAAUAACCUAAUUAUAUGCACACUUUUUUAUUUGAAAAAUCAAUACAUUGAACUCUUCAUAGAGAGGCAGUUCUAACAAGGUGAAAAUGUUUCACACUUUAUUAAGCACAAAUUACAAAUUUAUUUUACAACCACCAAAACAAAAAAGGAACCUAGCUACCUAGCUAGAUAACAAAUCAAACAAACACAAAUCAAGAACAAAUCACAACACAAACAUCAUUUUACAACUCAAUGAUUAAUUAAAACAAUAAACUUAACUAGCUACCAAAUCUUGGCAUUUGAUAUGCUUUAAUUCCCCGCUCUUCCCAAACCCUCCACCCUUAGCUAAUUAAUAUAAUUAACCACACUUGAAACCUGUGGGAACUUUCUUAGCACAAGCACUAACCAAAGCACUAAGUGCAACAGGAAUAUCUAAUUUGAUAAUCCCAAGUACAUUAGCCUUAAUGGCAGUGCAAAGACAAGCUGCAACUUCCAAAUCAGCCAAACCUUCAAGCAAUGAGCAACAAGGGGUUGUCACUUGGCUACCAAUUGCAACAUUUACAAGGCCAAGUAGGUCACCACAAACACCAAGCUUCAAUGUGUCCCUUGGGCAAUAAGGGUUCACUGGGGGUACCUUUGGUGUUGGGUGAGGCUUUGGCUUAAUUGGUUCACAUGAACCACAAGCACUAGUGAAUGUGACCAAAAUGAGAAGGGAAAAAAUGAAAAUGGUGGAAGAGAGGGUAGCCAUGAUUUUUCUACAGAGCUUUAGUGGUGGUGUAGCUUGGUUUCUAGAGUUUGUGAAUGAUAUGCCCUUAAGGAGUUACUAUUUAUAGAGUUUACCAACUUCUAUACAUAGACGAAGUCGUAAAAGAAUUAAGGGGUCGUUUGGUAGGCCGCAUUAAAAUAAAUAAUCCAUGUAUUAUGUGUGGUAUUAUUUAGUACUAUAUUUGGUAGGAAUUUGGGUCUAUAUAUAACUAAUCCAUGGAUUAGUUAUACCUCCUACAUGGUAUUAUAGGGUGUAUUACUAAUACCUCCAUGGAGGUAUUAGUAAUAUAUGAGAUAUAAUACCAUGGAUAAGUCUAUGUAAAGACAAAAAUAUCCCUCAAAUCAUUUUAAUUAUUUUAUUUUCUUGAUUUUAUGUUUUAUAUUUGUACUAUUAAAUUUAUUUAAAUAAAUUAGCUUACAAAUUAUUUAGAGAAAGUUGUUUGUUACUACAUAAAUCCAACACAAAUUAAUAUAAUAUUUGAAAUGUGAGUUGCUUAAUAUGUAUAUAUAUAUAUUGUGUGUGGUUUCUAAUUAUUUGUAUUUGAACAAUUUAUAAAAUUGCAUACAUAUUAAAAUUAUAACUUGCAAUAUUUUUUAUGUGUAAAUGUAGAUGAUUUAUUUAGUUUUACUAUUGUUUACGUCUUUUCAAUUUUAAAAAUUGAUAGUUUAUUCUUUUUUUAAUUGAAAAUUGACAUUUUGUAAGUAAUAAAUUUACUAAGAUGACAAUUAUUUAUCCUCAAAUAAUUUAAGUGAAAAAAAAGGCAAACAUGACAAAAAAAAUUGUUCUUCUCCUAGCUAGUUAGAAGACCAUAAAAAAAUAAUAUUUUCCGGCAAUUAUUUAUCUUAACCUAAUUACUAAUAAUUCAAGGGUAUAAUUGAAAAGAAGUUUUUUAUAAAGUUUUAACCCAAUUCCAAAAUGGGGUAGGAACCAAUGAACCAAACACUUGGUAAAAAUAAACGCUGCAUUACUAAUCCCUACACUAUUAAUUCCUGCAUUACUAAUUCCUGCACUAUUAAUCUCUACAUUACUAAUCCUAGCAUUAGUAAUCCCUGCAUUAUUAUUUUUGUACCAAACGACCCCUUAGAGUAUACCAACUUCUAUACAUAGACGAAAUUGUAAAAGAAUUUUUACGCUAUCAGAUAACAAUAUAUAAGUGACCUAUGGUAUUUAAAUUUUUCAAAAAUAUUGGCAUGCCCAUGUUAGAAUAUCUUUUAAAAAAAUAUUUUAUAUAAUUUUUGAUGAAGUUGGCAUGUGUCAUUUUUGGAGGAUUAGAUAGGGGUGUUGCAUUGUAACCCUAUCUUUAGAGAAUUUGGGCAACAUAUGUAGCAAAUACUUAACAUAAGACAUGUUACAUGCUAUAAUAAAUUUAAAAAUAUAUUAAUUGAUGAGAAAAUAAAUUUUGAAUCUAAAUCAAUUAACUCAAAAAUUAGUUUAUAAAAAUUGUUCAAGAGCAUAUAAGAAGACCAAAUUCGACUCCCAUCUCACCAUAGAUGUGAAACUCAACACCUCUUGCGCACCCAAUCUUGCCAACAUGAGCAUGGACAAUAUAAUUAAUAUGAGAUUAAUUCCAAUAUUUAUUAAAUCAAGAAUUUAUGAGAUGGACACGAUUUUAAUAUCAUGACAAAAAAAUAGACUUUAAACAUUAUUCAAUCUCAAAAAUUAAAAUUUAUGAAGCAAUAAUUAUCUAAGAUCAUAUAAGAAGCUGAUAAAUUCCUCGUCCCAUCAUUGAUGUGGGACUCAUGAAGAUUAAUAAUAUAGAAACUCUUCAUACUAUAAAUGUGUAUAAGUCAAAAUACAUUAUACAUAGGGGGGAAAUUGUGAGGUUGAAGUUGAAAUUGAUUGAGUGGAAGAGAGUGAAAAAAAAAAAACAGGAUGAUGCUGGAAUAUUUUGUAAGUUUGUGAAGAAAUUAAGUUUAUUUGACCUCAUAUGGCUAAUUUCCCUGGUCACCAUGCAACGUGUAUAGUAGACAGGACAAUGUAAGCCAGUGGGCACAUUAUCUGUCAUGGACCUACCUUAUUUUUAUUUUUUUUACGAUAGGUAAAAAAUGUAGACAUUAAUCGUUGAUUUCUAUAACUUAUUUGCAUCGAAUGUGUAUAUUAAAUCGAUGAAUAUAAGAUAUAUAUAUUGUAUAUAUAUUUUACAUGUGAAUGAUUGGAAGAUAGAAGGGAGGAAGGAAGGAUUAAGUGAAAUCGAUUUAUGUUUCUGUUAGUUAAAUAAUUCAACAUUCAAUGUGCACCAUUCGAACUUUAUGGAGCAUUGAGACGACCGAAUAUAAUAUUAGAUCUAUUCUACUUAGAAUAUAUACAUAAAAUACUAUUAAAAUUAUUUCUAAGCAUUUAUUUUUAGGUAAAAAAAAUACAAAAGAAAAAAGUUAAAAAAUUAAAAAUUGGAUAUGACCAACUUAUGACUUUUUACUUAUAAGUUACUUAAAAAAAAAAACCCAAUUCAAACACUCCUUUGUAGUAAUGGAUGAAUCUACUACUAUACCUCAUCUAUUGAUCAGUAUAACAGAGCAAAUGAUGGUACAGUAAUGAACAUAGAAAUGAUACUAGCAAAUAUAAUCCCAAGAAUCUCGAUUGUAAUUCCAUGACCAAUUAAUCCUUUGCGGUACUAGAAUUUUUGUGACAAAUCCACCCACCCUAGAUAUUAUAAAAGAGAUUAACUUCUCUCUAUAGACAAUAUAGUAUAUUUUCCUUUUUAAACUUAUUAAGUUACCACUUAAAAGAUAAUUAGAGGCACUGUAUAUAAUAUGUGAAUUAGUAACGUGAUUUGUUGGACGAAUAAUGAUGCAAUACUAGCUAGCAUAGGUAAAAUUAUAGUAUUGAUGAUGAUAAAAAGUUUUAUGCUACUAUACAAGUUAAAUCAUGUUUGUAAAUUAUAAAUUAUAAAAACCAUGGCCAUUUAAAAAAAAAUUAAAAAUUAAAAAAUGAAUUCACAAUUAAUCUUGAUGUAUAGCAAUAAUAUUGUACAAAUAUCAUAUGGAAACAAUAUAUCUUUAAUAAUGUUUCCUUGUCCUAUGUGUAUGGUUAUUUGGUCACAUCAAUUAUUGAAGCAAUACAAUUUUACAUGUGCAUUAUGUCUGGCCUGCAUUGCGUUGCUGCCAUUUCCCUCUUCUUUUACUUGUUUUUUUCUUUUGAAAAUGACAGCCAGAUGUAUCAAAUUCUGUGUAACGCGCUUUUGAAGAAGGAUUUAACGGAUCAUAUUUCCUUAAGUAUAAUACAAUUUAAUCUUACUUUUCUCCUAGAAAAGUUAGUUUUACGAAUUGAACAUGUUAGGUAAAAUUGCAUAAUGACAAAGCAGACUCGGAGGAAAAUGUAGUUAUUUAGUUGCGGGUUAUGAAGAAAGAAAAAUAUUUUCAAUUUUUCUAUGGUUGGUGUGACAAAAUGUCUUGAAAAAAAAAAUUCUCCACAAAAACAAGUUCCAUAAAAAUGCGUUAAAUGACUUUCCAAAUAGAAGUAGGGAAAACAAGUUUUACGAGUGAAAUUCCAAGUUCAUUGUCUCCUCCACAACCAUCCAUGCAUGAUGCACCCAACCAACACCCUCCGCCAUCCGCGAUCCCCUAUUCCCCACUCCAUCCCACACCAAUUCUUGAAAUAAUAAUCUAUAAAGAUUAGACAAUCAAAAAUAUUUAGAAAAGUAAAUGGUAAAGAUUGUUAUGACUAUCUACAACAAUGGGAGGGAUUAUUUUUAUCAUUUUAGCGGAUAAGAAUUAAUUAAUUAGAGGUAAAAAUUAAAUCAAUUAUAAUAAUUGUAAAAAAUAAAAAUAAAUCUUCACCAUUUAUUUUUCUAUUGUCUAGUUCUUAUCUCUUUUUUUUCUUUUUCUUUUUUUUAUAAAAUACUUUUUACACCAUUAGGAUAUCUAUUUUAGAAACGGUUGUCGUCACCCUUUUUAUCUUUUCCUUCAGUUAUAGAACGACCAUUUGUUUUUCAAUAUCAUAUAUUUGGGUAAUCAGAGUAGGUUUUCCAUCUUGAAAGAUGUCUAAUAUAAGCUAUUGUUCAAGAUACUCUUCUCAAUGGUUAGUUCAUUGAAGGAAUCAAUUAGUACAACAACUAGCUUUCUCAAUUUUCUAAUGGAAAAGAUAUUCACUCAUCAUCAUCCCCCCAACCCCCGGGAGGCUCGAGGCGCCGGCCCCCCCNNNNNNNNNNNNNNNNNNNNNNNNNNNNNNNNNNNNNNNNNNNNNNNNNNNNNNNNNNNNNNNNNNNNNNNNNNNNNNNNNNNNNNNNNNNNNNNNNNNNNNNNNNNNNNNNNNNNNNNNNNNNNNNNNNNNNNNNNNNNNNNNNNNNNNNNNNNNNNNNNNNNNNNNNNNNNNNNNNNNNNNNNNNNNNNNNNNNNNNNNNNNNNNNNNNNNNNNNNNNNNNNNNNNNNNNNNNNNNNNNNNNNNNNNNNNNNNNNNNNNNNNNNNNNNNNNNNNNNNNNNNNNNNNNNNNNNNNNNNNNNNNNNNNNNNNNNNNNNNNNNNNNNNNNNNNNNNNNNNNNNNNNNNNNNNNNNNNNNNNNNNNNNNNNNNNNNNNNNNNNNNNNNNNNNNNNNNNNNNNNNNNNNNNNNNNNNNNNNNNNNNNNNNNNNNNNNNNNNNNNNNNNNNNNNNNNNNNNNNNNNNNNNNNNNNNNNNNNNNNNNNNNNNNNNNNNNNNNNNNNNNNNNNNNNNNNNNNNNNNNNNNNNNNNNNNNNNNNNNNNNNNNNNNNNNNNNNNNNNNNNNNNNNNNNNNNNNNNNNNNNNNNNNNNNNNNNNNNNNNNNNNNNNNNNNNNNNNNNNNNNNNNNNNNNNNNNNNNNNNNNNNNNNNNNNNNNNNNNNNNNNNNNNNNNNNNNNNNNNNNNNNNNNNNNNNNNNNNNNNNNNNNNNNNNNNNNNNNNNNNNNNNNNNNNNNNNNNNNNNNNNNNNNNNNNNNNNNNNNNNNNNNNNNNNNNNNNNNNNNNNNNNNNNNNNNNNNNNNNNNNNNNNNNNNNNNNNNNNNNNNNNNNNNNNNNNNNNNNNNNNNNNNNNNNNNNNNNNNNNNNNNNNNNNNNNNNNNNNNNNNNNNNNNNNNNNNNNNNNNNNNNNNNNNNNNNNNNNNNNNNNNNNNNNNNNNNNNNNNNNNNNNNNNNNNNNNNNNNNNNNNNNNNNNNNNNNNNNNNNNNNNNNNNNNNNNNNNNNNNNNNNNNNNNNNNNNNNNNNNNNNNNNNNNNNNNNNNNNNNNNNNNNNNNNNNNNNNNNNNNNNNNNNNNNNNNNNNNNNNNNNNNNNNNNNNNNNNNNNNNCUCGAGCCCCCCACCCACCCCGGGAAGCUUGAGGCGUCGUUCCCCGAGCCCCCCCACCAUGAAUUGAUUAAGGAUAAACUCAAAGACUUUUAUUUAAUGCUAAUAAAAAUUAAAACUCUAAAUCAAAGGAGUGAAGGAAAAAAGAAAAAUUUGACGUAUUUAGGAUACGAGGAUGAUUCUGUACUUCCAUCAGCUUUAUUAGGGGGCACUUUCUUCAAAGGCAUCAGUUUUAUUUUUUCCCUACAGUAAUGAAAUUAUAGUUCACAAACCCAAUAAUUUAAGCUUGUUGAUUUUUUCUUCAAAUAUCAGCCACAUCAAUUAUGCAUCAAAAAGUAGACUUCACAUAUAAUAUUGGAACUUCACCAAGAGACAAGUUUAUUAUGCACUUCUUUUUCCAGAUCAUGCUAAGCACUUAAAAUAUCACAAGAAAUGAUGAUGAAAUUCCACUAGCUAACAAUAAAGUCAAUCUUCAAAUAAAUGUAUCAAUUGCAAUGCUCCAUUUGUGGUAAAAAAAUUCAAGAAAAUGUUCACCCAACUCUACAAAGCUAUAUCUAGUUUAACCAUUGAUCUAUGGCUUUUUAAGGAGCUCAGUAGUACUGCAAUUUCACAUAAAUAUAUCAAGGGAGAUGCUCCAAUAGUGGUUUAAAAGUCAAGACACUGAACCUCCCAACUCUACCAAGCUAUAUCCAAUUCAACAAUUAUUAGCUAAGGGUUUCUUUUCAGAGCUCAGUCAUACUGCAAUUCCUUUCUUCAUAGUUCAUCACAUUUAGACAGAACAUGCAGUUUCAAUGUCAAGUUGAAAGCAUUCAAAAGAUCAGCUAAAGGAUGAACUUGAACCUAACUCGUUUACUAUAUUUUACUAGAGCUUCAAAAAAUAAAAGCAAAAAAACUAAACAGUGCUCUACAUUACCUGACACCAAAUAUAUUAAUUUUUUUCAGGAUAAAGCAAAUGCUAUUUAUCGAUUCUAGUAACAAAAUCAUUUUAAGCCAAAGAACCACUAAAUAUUCAACAUACUAUGUCUAAGAACAGCAAAAGGCAUUUCAUGCCAUACAAGAUUGUAUUUCUCGGCAUCAUAACAUACAACACGACAAAAAAUUACCUUCUUCAACUCCAUCUUUGGAGGUGCAGGUUCCUGAUAAAAGCUUGGAAGCAGAAGUGUCACAACACCUUAGUCUUGGCUUACAUAUUACUCUUCUCAACUUCCUCUGCCUGGUUUUUUUUUUUAAGCUUGGAGUAAAACUGUCCAAAUAACAAGACAAAUGUUCUUAGAUUGACUUCACGGUGCAAGACAAUCAAGUAUAUAUUAUAAGCUUCACUGAUGCAAGCAGAGGGCUAAUAUCUUUUCUUUUCUCAGUUCUUUCAUCACACUUGAAACUGCUAUUGUAGGUUGGAAGAGUACCUACUUUGCGAGGUUUGGCAUCUGAUGCAGCAGUAGGACUGCUAUGAAGUGAUCAAGGAUAAACCGAAAGACUUUUAUCAUGCUAAUAAAAAUAAGAACUCCAAAUCUAAGGAGUGAAGGAAAAAAGAAAGAUUUAUAAGGAUACGAAGAUGAUUCUGGACUUCCAUCAACUUUAUUAGGGAGCACUUUCUUCAAAGGCAUCAGUUUUGUUUUUUCCUUGCAGUAACGAAAUUAUAGUUCACAAACCACUGGGGAAAAGUUAUCAUUGAUUGUUUGGCACGUUUUGAAAGCAUUCUCAAUACAAUUAUCAUUUGACUCCUCCAAGUAAUAGGUAAGAAACUACAAGAGAAAUCGGACAUACUUAAGGCCUUCAGACUGAGCAACACUCGGAGAAGCUGAUGCUGCUACUUCAGCAUGACCAGGUUGCUGCUAGAAGACAGUAGAAAAAGAAUAUGAUAUUGAUGACAAUAAACAAGAUGCAUAUGAAGCUAACAGAAAAUGCCUCAUGAGUCAUGAUUAAAACAUGUGUUUUAAAGUAUAAUCAAACCCCAAUAGUAGGCUCUAAAGAAAUACAGUCUCAUUUGUGGUACUGAGUUUAUUCAGGUUAAUGUAUUCGUCUUUCUUGUUAUUCUUAGAAAGUAAUUCCUGAAGAGGAUGAAGAUGAUUAUGAACAUGAGCCUCAUGUACACAUUGCGUCAAAUAAAAUGAAUCAAGAAAACAUUUCACCCUAUGUAGAAGCCAGGUCAAAAGUCGAGCAAAUUAAUACAAACCAAAAGCAAUCUCCCAAGGUCUUCCCUAAAGUGGAGUCCCCUAAAACUCCUUAUUCAUAAGAGCUUUCACCCCUGUGUUACGUCUCUUGUUUGGACAUGUUAAGGACUCAUCCAUGUCUAAUUCUUUGCAUUUAUACCAAGAGUUAAAAAUUAACUCUGCAGACUCCGAUAAAGAAAUGACAGUAUGUUUCAAACCCCUAUUUACAUGAUUUUUUCCUAUCUGGUUUCGAGACAUCUGUGAUAGUUGCUUACACAUGCAUGUGCAGCAUGAAACUGUGGGGAAAAGAAAAUGCUCGAAGGCGGAGCCUUAUUCAAUCAUUAGAAAAAGGGUAUGUCUGUACAAGUCACUUUCUAGUUUCUAAUAUAGGAGGUGAUCAAAUUUUUCUAAAUCUUUUCGAACAAUGACAGUUCUCCGAAUAAUAGUGAUAAAUGAAGUCUCAGCUGCAUUUCUCUCCCAUUGUAAGAUAAGUCGACUGCUCCAUCAAGGACACCAAAAGAUUUUGUCUGUCCAAUAACUGGACAAAUAUUCAAUGAUCCCGUCACCCUUGAAAUCGAUCAAACAUAUGAAGGGAAAACCAUCCAGGAAUGGAUAAAAAGAGGUAAUACAACAUGCCUCAUUACUAGGCAGUCUUUAUCUGCAACUACUCUUCCUAAAACCAAUUAUGUCCUGAAGAGGCUGAUAACCUUUAGGAGGGAACUGCACCCUGAUCUAGCUCAGGAGUUUUCGUACUCGCAAACACAGCGAAGUUAUUUAAACAUUUCGUCUUCAAGAGAGAGAUCAUCUGAGUCUACUCCAUCUCUGACAUUUCAUCAUCCCAAUCAUAGGAGGAUAGAGGAAAUCGUGGAACAAAGAUCACGAAGAUUUAUGCGAGUAGCUGUAUCAAUGUCGUCUCUUACUAGUGUAAUUUCUCAAGCAGCAACUAAGGCAAUUAUCAAUAACUUAAAACCUUAUGUUUCAUGUAUGUGCACUUCAGAGGACUUACAAGAAUGUGAAGCAAUAUUGUCUAUAACUAAGAUAUGUAAUGACUCGAAACUAGAAUCUAAAGGAGUUCACUCUUAUUUGUCAACACUAACAAUAGUGAAUGAAUUUGUAGAGGUAUUAUCAGCUUCCAUAAAGAGAGAUGUCUUGAAGAUGACAAUUUAUAUCUUGUCUGACCUACUAUAUGCAAAGGAUAGUGUUGGCGAGAUCCUCACAAGUGUGGACUCGGAUUUUGAGUGUCAUGCUACGUUAUUGAAAGACGAUCUUCCUGAAGCAGCAUUACUUAUUUAACUACUCAGACCAUCAUUCUCUCAACUUUCAGCUCAUAAUUUUGUACCCUCUCUUACUCAGAUUAAAUCAAACAGAAAUGAGUAUUCUAGUGAUUUUCAGUUCACAAUAGGACCAAAACAAAAAAAGAAAUCCCACAAAUCCUCGCAUAUCAAAAAUCCUCAAAUCACUUCACUUGAUUUUCCCAAAUUAAUUUUUACCCAGAAUCAUCAAUCAUCUUUUCACAAAACCCCACGUAACAUUAAUCAUUUUACUUAUUACAUCCAAGAAAGAAGACCCCCCAAAACAAAGAAAUCACAAAACCCCAUAACCAGCAUACAAAAAAGUGAACCAUCAAACAAGAUAAAACCCAAUACUCAAACAGUAAAAAAAAAGUACACAUAAUAAACAUAUAUCAAAAACAGAGAAAGACUCACAAGUUUGGAGGAAUGAUUUUUCUCCACCGCCAAUGAAUUGCCAGUCGUUUCUUGGCCGCUACAGCAAUCAACUUUCCGGUCUGAUUUUUCUCCACCGCCGAUGAAUUGCCUCCAUUGCUUGUCUCUUCGCCACCGCACUCGAAAUAGACAACGCCUAUUCUGGGGAAAAUUGGGAAAAACACUGAUUUGUUACCGUUACUAAAGAUGUGACAAUUAAAACUUUACAUUAUUCCAUUUUACAUUAAAACUUUGAUUGGACACCAAAUUUUAAAAAAAUAAUAAAAGAUUUUUUAAAUUUGUGAUCUUAAGUAAUAGUUUUGAAUUUCAAUACACUACACUAUAUAGUGAUUUUUUUUUAUGUGUUUUAGGUUUAGGUUUAUUUGAACCAUUAUCUAAAUACUGAAUAGUUUGUAAAUUCGGGAUAAACGAAGAUAGUAAUCUGAAAAGUAACUAUUUGUCAAUUUCUCCCAAAUUUAGAGAUUCAAAAAGCAGUUAAUAAUGAAUUUGAUGAUUUUAUUGUUGCUAGACAAUAUUGAAGUUCAAUUUGUAAAGAAAAAAUUGCACAAGUUUCAUAAAAAAAAUAUUGCCCACCUUUGAAAAGGAAUAAUAUUUUAGAACUUUUAGUUAACGUACUCAAAUCUCUAUAUUAAUAAAUUAUUUUCUUGUAACAACAUCUAAAGUAAUAUACAGUAAACACGUGGCUAAUAUCUUGUUAACUUAAAUCGAUACUUACACAUAUAAGUAUUAGUAUCAUCAGGUGAAUUUAAAUAUUUGAUGUCUUGUAAGAAUUAUUUUAUGAAGUUAAAUAUUUUAUGUCAAGUAAGAAUAUUACAUGGUAGAUUAUAACAUGGCAGAUUAUAACUUUGAAAAAAAAGGCUAAAAUUAUUCUUAUACUUUCAUUUAUUAGCUAAGUUUGUUCUUCGAUGUAUUAUUUGACUAUGACACAAAAAUUGUAACAAACAAAUAUGGAUAUAGCUUUAUUCGAAACAGACGAACGUCGUCAUCGUCAUUUCCUCCAAUGGGGAAAAACUUUACUGAUUUGUGACCGUUUAAUUCGGUUCAAAUUGGACAGGUGGUAUUUUUAAUUUAUUUUUUAAAAAUAUUAUUAUUUUCUUUAUCUUGUAUUUAAAUUGAGUUAAUACACAUUUUUUGUAUCCAAACUAUUUUUUACCUUCAUUCAUUAUUUUUUUCUCUUUUAUUUUUCAAUUGAUUUUAUUUUCUUCGCCUUUUGUUUUGAUUUGAUUUCAGAUUUAAUUCCAAAUGUCUUGUAUUUAAAAUAAGCUAAUUUUAAAUAGAUAUCAAAAUAAGUGAAAUCAAAUAAAACAUAAAAAAAAUUAUAAUGUUAAAAUUAAAGGAAACUUUUAAAUUAUUUUAAAUAAAAUAAUUAAAAGUGAAAAGAUAAUAAAUUAAUUUAAAAAGUUUAAAGUGAAAUAAAUUAAAAUAAAUAUUUUAAGAAGAAAGAAAUAUAAAUAAUUUAAUAUAUAUAAGUUUUAAUAUCAAUAAAUAUGUGUACUAACUAAUAAUAAACUAAAUAUUUUUCGAAGAAAGAAAUAAAAAUAAUUUAAUGUAUAUAAGUUUUAAUAUCAAUAAAUAUGUGUACUAACUAAUAAUCAAAAAAUGACAUUGUCCAAUUUAUGCAGUCAUGGCUUGCUUUCAAGAGAAUGUGCACACUCUCUAUGCCAUGUCAACAUUUGUGGUGUAUUUAUUUCAUUUUAAAUUAGUUUAGGAUGGUAAUAUAUAGGACCCUAGUUAAGUUUAUGCGUGUCUUCGGAAUUUAAGUCAUAUUCGAAUUCGAGAGGGUAUUUGUAUCUUAUCCCAAAUACUUUUUGCAAAAAUUAUAACCAAGUACAACUAUUUUAAACUCCUCCACAAAUUCUAACUAAAAUGAAAAAUAUUUAUAGUCUACAAUCAUACGUCUACUAAGACUAUUAAUUUGAAGUGAAGUUCAUUUUUAAUCCAUAGGGUUUGUUUCAAAAUUUUGGAAUUACAUUUGGAGAUUAUUUUGAAUUAAUUUUUGUUUAUUAAACUAGUCACAUUUGAAAAAAAGCUUCCUGAAGUUCAUUGACAAAAAAUUGAAUUGUAUUUUUACGUCCAAACACAAUAAAAAGAAAUGACCUAUUUUAGGUCUUAUCUCUAAGUACUUGUAUUUCAAUUUAUGUGAGACAUUUUUAAUUUAUUCAAUUCUGGAAAGAAUGUAUUUAUUUUUCUUGAUUGACAAAUAUUUGAGAAAUUAUCAAUUUUUGCUCAUAUUAGGUCUCACUUAUUUGACAAAAAGUUCAGUAAUGUUAUUCUUCUAUUUAAAAAUUCAUUUCCUAAAGAUAGUUUUGACAAUUAUAAUUUUUUAUAUUUCCUAAUAUUCAUGUUCAGUCAAUUUACAUAUAUUAUAAAAAUAAGAACAAAUGGAGUAAUUACUAUGAAUAAUUUGUCCUAUGGUUCAUAUUGAUACUCUACAAACUUUCUAUAAAUAGAAUUAUAUUCUUUUUGAGGUUUUAUUUCUCUUAAAAUAAUUUCAAAAAUGAAAUUGUACGUUUCUCCAUUCUCUAUAAAAUAAUCUGGGAGUUAAUUUUUGUCAAUUGCAUACUAAAAUUACUUUUGUUUCAUAAAAUGCCAACUAAGAGAGAAGAAAGUCUUUGAAGUGUUUAGUGUAUUUUUAAAAAAAAAACUAGAAAUACAGUAGUUGAAUGAUAUUCACAAACAUUUUUUAUAGACAAUUCUCAAAAUACGAGUGACCAUCCAUGCAAACAACUCGUUAAUUGAAAUGUAAAACUUCUUUUCUUAAAGAGAAGUAAUUCUUCCUUAGUCUGAACAUAUAUCAUAUACUUCAAUGUCAUAUUUAUAUUGAUUAAAAAUAAUUUAACGUUUACAUUAAUAUAAUGAUUCAUAGUGAUAGAAAUAUCUACGAUUUGUUUUAGACCAUAAAUUUUAAAAGUAUUUUUUUUUAAAAAUAUUAUUUUAAAUUAAACGAUACCAUAUAAAUUGAGAUGGAGUAAUAUUAUAUAUAUAGUACAACAUUUUGUCAUACGAUACUUCAAGAAAUGCUCAGGAAAGUUUUGUCAUUUUUGUAGGUCUUAUCCAAUGUAAGAAGCUAAAAAAGCUAUGAACAUUGUUUUGCCAAUUAAAAAAAUAAAUAUCCGUAGAUUCUCUCUCCUUUGGAAAAGUAAUAAUUCAAACAAUGUUGAUCCAAUAGAUUGCUAGUUGUCAUUUGUUAAGUAGUAGACAUAUGUUUCAAUUUAUUUGUCUUAUUUUUUUUAGUUUAUUUUAAGAUGCUUUUUUAUAAUUUUUUAAUUCUAUUUUUUCACGUAACAUAUUUUGAAACCACAAAAUUAAAAGACAUUUUGAUAUAUUUUACGUAUUUUUAGUUUAAGAUCGUAAGAUUCAAUUUUUUUUAAAAAAAUUAUCUUAAAUUUCGUGUCAAGUUAAAAUCAAUAACAUUGAAACUGUGAAAGUAAUGUAUGUGUGGAAUUAGAGAUAUUUGUUGCAUAGACGAAAAAAUGACAGAGAUAAUCUCUUAUAUUUAAGAUAAGUUUAAGAUAGACCUUUAAAUUCGGAGUUGAUAUAGUUUAGACAAAAUCAAAAUCCUAUUUUUUUUUUUUUAAUAUUUGAUUUGCAUUUCAAAAUCAAGUAUUUUAAAAUUUUGUCCAAGAUUUUAAAGUUUUAUAAAUCUUAAUACUAAUUGCAAUACUCUACUAAUCAAUCAAUAUACUCACUAGGCUAGAUGAUAUAUGCUAAAAACCACAACUUUUUUUUUAUUAUUUAAAGUUUUACCUCAGGUUAGUUAAGUAACUUCUCGAGCAAUUUUAUAUUACAACUCAAUAAUAAAAAAUAUUAUAAUAUACUCCUAAUCUAGAAAGCUAAACAGACUUCACAAUAGGUUACAUAAUCCAAGCCUAAUCAACUCAAGAACUAAAACAAUUUUGUUAUUUAUAUAUAUANNNNNNNNNNNNNNNNNNNNNNNNNNNNNNNNNNNNNNNNNNNNNNNNNNNNNNNNNNNNNNNNNNNNNNNNNNNNNNNNNNNNNNNNNNNNNNNNNNNNUAAUAUAGCUUAAGAUCAUACAAAAAUAAAGUUUUUUCAUUGAAAAAGAAGAAAUAACUUUGAAUUUUAAUAAUAAAAAAUUUAAUAAAUAAAUAUUAUUCCCCCGAUUUAUUUUUUUCUUUAGGCACUAAUUAGCUUGAGCCUCCACUGAAAAAUUAAGCUAUAAUGUUGAAACCAAACACAAGCGGAACAGGGAGAAACUAAAUGGAAAUAAAUUACCUUUUCCGAAGCAGCAUUCUGGAAGUGAUAAAAUGCUUCCACCACCACGAGGCCUGACUCAAGAAGCAGAGACCUGAUGCAAAACUUGAGAGUUUAAAUGUGAAGGACCAAUCAAGUGAAGACACAUAGGGUAAUGUGUCAUUUUGGGUGAUGGGUGAUGAAGGUUCACUAUAAUACAAACACAAUUUUUUAUUUUUUUAAAAAAAAAUAAUUUUUCUUAAAAAAAUAUUGUUCCUAAAAAUGGAUGUUGAGUAUUAUAUAUAUGUUUAAAAAAAUCCUAUUUAACACGAAUUAUAUACAUGUAAAAAUAACUAAAACUAUAACAAUCGCAGGUAAUAAUUCACCACUUCAAAAAGAUAAGUAGGUUUAAUACUCUUAUAACUACUAAAUUCAUAAAAUUUAAAUUAUAAAUUUAUUUUUAUUUAUUCCCUUCUAAUUAUAUAUAUUCACAAUUUUUUUGACAGCACAUUUAACAUGGUUUCAUAUUCGAUUUAUAUUAAUAUGUAAAAAAAAUUAUUUCUUUAUUGUUGUGUGUCAUUAAUAUAUUUUUCUAUUAAGAUUAGAUUUUUGGAUCCUACUUAAGUCAAUGGCUAUUUACUGUGCAUAUGAAUGAUUUGAUUUUACUUAAAAUUUAAAAUUUUGUAGAAUUGCAAUUUAUGUUAGAACAUUAAUAUAUUUUCCUAUUAUGGUUAAGCUUUGGAUUUGUUUUUGCUAAAGUAAAUUAGGAUUCUGAUUUUGCUUCUUAUAAAAGAAAAAACUAAAGAAUUUUGGUAUGUAAUUUAUUUUACAGCUAAUUGUAUUCGUAUUUGUUAACUUCAACAAGA